AUUAAAUUUCUAAUAAAUUGGACAAAAAUACUUGUGAAGAUUCACAAUAUAUUUCUGUGUCACCAAAAGAGGACAAUCAUUAUGAGACUUUAUAGAUCUAGGUUUAACUUCUGUCUACUUUUUGUCAAUCUUUUCUUCUGGAGAGGUCACACCGAUCGAUAGAGUGGUCAUAUCCACGAGAUAGGUAAUUAAAUCUAACCUGUGGGGGGCAGCCUUACACUUCCAAGUGUUUAGCCUACUGAAAUUUCAUUAGAAGAAGAAGGGGAAAAAAAGAAGCAGAACAUGAAGAAGAAAAAAAGAGGGAUAUCAGGUAAAGAUUUUGUUUUUCUGAUUUGAUUUGUGGUUUAUUUAGUCACUUUUUGAUAGUUAAUUUUGGCACAUGGAUCAUAAAACCUGCUGUUUUGUUCUGGUUUUGACCUGUAGCACUAGUUUUCUUGUGGGUGAUACAUCUUGUUAUGUCCAGGGAUAUCACACCUGUAUCUGGAUUUAGUUAGAUCUUUUUACCUGUUUGGUCCUUUCUGGUAUGAGGCCGAUAAAACACACAAAAAAAUGUCAAAUGAAAAGUUUGAAACAGUUUCCCCUUCAGCUCAGAAGCUAAAGUCACAGCCUGUGGUGUCAAUAAGCUGCAAACACAAACACACACUCACUCACUUUUUGAUUUGAUUUAAAGAGAAACACAGCCUGGUAUAUUUUCAGUGUGUUUUCCCACUCUUGAAAAAGUUAGUAAAUGUCAACAGCUUUCAGCGUCAGCCUGACAGAUUGUGGAAAUGCACAGCCCCGACUGCAGAGUGUAAACAUUAGAUGAAUCAUUUCUGUCAACAGGCAAAACAAGCAAGCGGGGCAGGAAAAGUGGCUGCUCUGGUUUUUGGCUCAAACCAGUCUAACUUUGCCCCCUUGUGACAACUUUUGUAUCUAGAAUUUCUAAAUUUAUGCGCCUGGUUUCCUGCCAAAAACAUAAUGCAGUCAGCAUGGGAGGUGAUUUACACUCUGAGGUUGCUGCAGUCCAGUUGUUGCCUUAGUAGCCUUACUUUCCUUACUGAAUUCAUCGGUUGGGCUACAGUCUGGUGUCAAGGAAUCAUGUUACAGAGCUCAUGUUUAAUGUCCUUGGUUUUGUGUUGUUUCUUGAGGCUUUGGGUCUUAUUUUUUGCACUUCUUCUCUCUCUUACAAUGCUGUUUCCUUACACAAAAAAGAUUUUAGUUAUUGGUUUAUUGCGGAUGCAGUUUAGCAAGCUAUUCAUUUCUCUGCCAAACCAAAGAAAACACAAAUAAAUCUCUUGAUGCACACUGUCUCACACAUGCUUAUUUAUUUUCAGUCUUUCUUGGUGAAAGCAUGCCUGGUUAUUUUUUUUUACUCUUGUCAUAAACAGAUGGCGCGCACAAGAUAGUGGCCAGAUUUGUGGAUGUUUUCAUUUUUAUUUUCUGGGGAAAAGCCUCACAAUAUCCACAACGGUUGUUUUUUUUUUCCUGCAGGUGCAGACAGCGAUACUCUGGAGAUCUCAUUUGUCUGUGAUGAGGCCCCUUAUCCACCAGAGACUGAAGGUAUGGCAAGACAUGAGAAGCUCAUUACGCUAUGUUGCAACACUUAAUUAUGUCAUAGAGGCAACAUUAUACAAUGUCAGAGAGUGACAGGAUUUCUACUGGAGCGCAGGAUCCUGUGACCUCUGUGGUGGUCUGCUUGGACCUGUUAAAAUAGAAUUGAAUUACUAGCCAUGUUUACAUGUGCAAAAUUUCUUGAUCCGAUUUAAAGUUUGAGGGAUCAGAUAAUCUUUUUGUAUGCAUGCAAAAGCAAAUAAUCCGAUCAUGACAUUUGCAUACUUACACCAAACGUCAUUCAGAUUAGAAGCAUUUGAACAGAUUUUGUCUAAUCUUGCUGAAACAACGGCAGAAGAAGAGUUGUAUUCACGCCUGUGCCAGUCAAUACACCAACAAAUGCAGUAGAGGCUCACUUAAUCCAAUUCAGGAGUUUUCCCACUGUUAAAUGUUGUCACUAGAUGGCGCCCUUGUGUAUUUAUUUUAAUGUUCUGUCAAAGGUUGCACUGUGUGUGCAGAGGUGACAUCAUUAUGCUGUAUGUCCGCUAGGGCUGGGUGAUAUGGCCUCAAAUCAAUAUCAUGAGAUAUUAAGCAGAUCACCUCGAUAUCGAUAAAUGGACGAUAACUACUCCGCAAGCUGCUCACCCCCUCCCAGAUUAACUUUGUCUACUUCAGCCGCUACAACUUUUGAACCGUCCUCCAUCUCCUCACCCGUCUUUCCCUCUUUGUUAUGGACUGGAUGGGGUGGAAUCACACCUCUGACGUAGGACAGCAUCUUAAAGGAACAUGAGACCAUAGCCUACCUACACACAUCCAAAACCAACUUUUAUUUAUUAAUUUUUUUGACAAAAUAUAUAUACCGAUAUGAGCAAAAUGAUGUUGGUAUUGUCAUAAAUUUUGGUAUCAAUAAAUUUUCGGUUUAUCGCCCAGCCCUAAUGUCCGCCUUGUUAUAUUAUUGGAGGAGCAGAUGCGGCACCUGCGGUUGUUUAUUAUUGGUGAGUUUUAUGUCAGAGUGUUAAUAAUGAAACCUCCUGUAUUGGCCUCAAUAAAUAAACCAAACGCUAAAGAAUGAAGGUCAAGUCAGGUAAGAGAGUCAGAGAUCGUAAGAGAUUGGAAUAAGUGUUUACAUGGAUGCGUUUCAGAAUAACGACUGGCAUAAACCACCCCUCAGAAUGUUCCGAUCGACAUGUUUACAUGACGCAUUUUUAUUCCACUCAGGCAUUUAUUCCGGUUAUUUGUGCCCAUGUAAACGCAGCUAAUGUGGUUGCCCACUGAGAGGACUGAUUGGAAUGAAACUGGAUGAGCUGUGUAACUUUGUGUUACUGCUCCUCUCUGGGGUUUAAUCUUCAUUUGCAAUCUGAAGGUAUAAAAACAGCUUUUGCACAGGUUUACCCAACGGACAGGCUUUCUGGACUGUAAAUGCCUCAUGGCCUGUUAUGACUCAUCAUGCCACAGUGUUUUAACAGACUCACCCACAGCAUGAGCAGCUUAGAAUAAUGUUAAAUGCUCUUUUAAAAGCCUGACUUUGAGCCUGCCUCCAUCAUUAAGAUAUGAUGAAGCCUCCACCUGCUGACGGAGACAACAAUCUCAAGUAGUCAGCUGUGUAGACAGGACUAACAGGGGGGAGCUCUGAGUAAAUCUAUGUUCUAAGCAGGAAAGCGAUGCAGCUAAUGAUGUGACCUCUCACCCGGCCUCCAUGAGCCGCAUGUCUGAUAUUGUCUUUGCUGCCGAGAGCAAUCAGGUGUGCUGGAGGGAGGUAAAGGAGAAAGGCGGAGCAAGGUCACGCUUUAACAAGCCUCCCCGCUGUCUUUCAUGAAACGACCCAUGGCCCUCACGCUAUUUGCAGCCUUAAUGAUAGAUAUGUAAACCUCACUUACUUUUCCUGAUGCACCUAUUUUUAUCAACAUGCGGUUACUCGACCCAGCCGGCUGUAAGAACAGUUAUAUUACCCUCAUAAACAGCGAGGAAAUGCCUCCUGCACGCCCCUGCAGUGAUUAAGAUAUAAGACACAGCAGGGGAGCAGCCCAUGGUUAAAGGAGCAUAAAAAUAUAAUACCCACUCAUUGGUACACAGUAACAGUUUAAGCAUGGUGUCAUACCCGGGCCAUUUAGGCUAACAUCUGUGUGUGAUUGUGUCAGUAGAACUAUGUACAAGUUUUUUAAUGCCACUAGACUUGAAGCAAUGUGCCUGAAAAAAACACUCGAUUUAAUUGUCAUAUAUCAGCAAACACGCAUUACAAGGUUGAAUAACUGAAAGGAUGUUUUCAGAAUAUUUCUCUUUUAAAAAUCAGCGUUUAAAUGGAGACAUUUGAGUCAAACAAGAUGACAUACCAUGAUGUGAAAGCCAUCCAUCCAUGUAUCCAUGUAUUCAUCAUGUAAUCCUGUCAGCUGUGGUUUGUCUGAUCCUUUUGUGCCAUCAUUUCCCAUCUGGCGAAGAAGAGGAAAUUUUAUCUCUACUUUUUCAAGUCUUACAGUGAAUCUGUCAUAUCAGCUGUCAUAGCAGAUUUAAAAAUAACACCUCAAUGUUCUCUUGUGCAGCUCGGCCUCUGGGAGAUGUUAUGACAUGACAUAUGAAAGGUUUAUUCGUAAUAGUUACCAGCAUGCAAUUUCAGAGAUUAUAGACUAGAUUUUGAGGAGAGAGGUCUUUGAAGACAGAGGGGUGAAAUUUUCCUGCCUGACAAAUGUUUUUAAGAAGUUAAAGUUCUUCUGAAGUAGCCUCAACUCUCAUGUUCAGCUUCACUCUCACAUCAUAUCUGAAAAAAGUUCAGUUUGCUCGACUAUCCCUAUUGGAUAAAACAUGGCACAAUUUUUUGAUCUGGAAGUUGAACUUUCUUAUCAUCUCUGGGGAAUAAGGUUUGUGACACGCCUGCAGUGAUUUCAGCACAUCCAAGCUAAAGAGCUGACAGGGUCACCCACCUGUGAGUCGCCUUCCCCCUUCAACAUCUCCUGUGCUACUCACAUUUUUUACUCUUUUUCUUUAAAACCUUACUUUUUUUAAAUCUCUGUAUUAUUCACAGUCAGAAGAGGUAAAAGGGGAGAGAGUGAUCGUAGUUGUCUACUAUAGUUUCUUUGCUAAUAUGAUCCCUGGAUCUUUGUCAGCCAGAACCUGCUUAUGAAAGCCAACUGCUGAUUGUUUUUCUCCAACAUCUACCUUUUUGUAUCCAUUUCAAAAAAGAAGAAUUAGAUAUCCACUUUUAAUUCUUUCACGGUGGUUAAAGACUGAUUAACACCUCUAUACCUCCUACACCAAGAAAUAAGAUCUUUUGUCUGCAGCUUUUACCCUGUUUGUUUGAACUCUUGUGGCAACGAGGUUUCAUUUUAAACAAGGCAGCCAAACUGAGAUGAGGGACAAGGGACUGGUUAUCAUGCCAGCAGCAGAACUUUGUGCCAGAAACUGUCAGGGCGUCAUAUUUAAGCUCUGUGCUGGGUUUAAAUUUGUGAACCUGAGAGUUAAAUAAAAAGUUAUUAAAGGGAUAUUCCGGCAUAAAUUUAAGUUAGGGUCAAACACACCAUAACACUGAGUUAGACGCCCCCUCGAGAGAUGAACGUUGCUGACUGCUUGCUUCUCUAGUUAUACCAACUUUAGCAACGACCACACGAUAACAAUACACAGCGGUCUACGUCUCCAUGUGCACUCAACUCUAUAGUCUCAAAUAAUGCUCAGAACAGCACCUAACUUCAUCAACAGUACAUAUAGGAUCCCAGCCAUCUUUUUAGCUUUGCCUGAUUUCUUUAGCAAAGAGACUAAACACAACUCACCCACUCUCCUCCAGCAGCCGCUUGUUUGUGGGGAAAGCACUGAUGAGUCGAUCACCGAGUGCUGUGGACAAUUUAUGAUUAUUGCUUUGUGUAAAUGCAAUCAGAGUUCUUGUGUAUCUUGUAUGUGCACUGCAGAUGCAGUAGUUCUUCUGCCUUAGCAUUUCGGACUGAUUGCAUUGCAUUGGUGAUCGACUCAUCAGGGGGUGUCAAUCUUGGUGUUACGGUGUGUUUGACCAUAACUUAAAUAUAUACCCCCAAUAUCCCUUUGAAAGUGUUUGAUAGGGGUUUAAUUCAAGGUUAUUGGUAUUGAAAAGGUACAUAACUAUUGUCAAAGCCUGUCCGGUUUGAUUGAUUUUUCUCAACAUUCUUCUGGCACAUUGGAAGACCUGCCCCGUAGCCCCAAAUCUAUGCAAAUGUUGUUCCAGAAGCAAUUCAUUAUUCACUAUCAAACAGGAAGUAGUAUUUUGAAGGGGUUAACAUUCUUGUAGAGCCACAUAAACUUGGUUCACAGAAGCCCAGUGGAAAAACAAGAGAUUUGAUAGUGGUGUCAUUGGUGGGUGUGGCACAUUUAAUCUGAUAAGUAGUCUGUUUAAGAGCUUAUGUAUCAAACCUAGACCUACAAGAAAGUUUCUUCAACCCAUGUUGUAAAACCAAGUUAAUCCACCAUGAUGGUGCAUGAAUUCAGCAGCCAAAUCUAUGAUUACUCCCUAAGACCUGACAACGUUUUUUUUAAGUACCUCCAUCCUCUAGUGGGCUGUUAUGUUUGUUUCUGUUGCCUCCAUUCAGAUGAUAACAGUGGGAAUAAAACUUAUAGUCAUAGGCUGAAAGUGUAGACUGUAAAUGUUGAUCAUUUCUAUGUGCAGAGCUGUGAAAACCUGAUAUCAGUGCUGACACACAGCACACAAUUACAUCAGUCUUACAGUUCCCUAUCUUUGUGUCUUUGUUAUAACAGAAGAAUAAAUGUCAGUGCUUGCAAAGCUCCCCUGUGAGCUGCAAACCCUCUUGAGCUUUUGUAAUAAUAAUGCACAAACACUGCACAGCCAGGGGUGAGAUGUGAUCUGAUUCAUGCUGGAUAGCGGACACAAAAACAGCAUCAGUCAGGGGGUUACACUGUUCAAUUUGCAGGAUGACCACCAGUGUGGAGAAGUUUCUUAGACAGUCUUAAGGUAGUGUUUUAUAGAAGUGUCUCAUUUUUUUAAAAUCCAGGUCUAAUUGAAGCUAUCUGACUUUUUUUUGUCUUUGACAAUCCUCCUUACCUCCUCCUUUGAGAGAGUCACAUUGUAGAAGGACAAGCUGCUCCUCUCAUUACUCCACUUUUCAUCAUUUCAUUUUUUAAAACUUAGUGUUUUAAAUUCAGUUCGUGUUCAGGUCUCGCAGUUUUCAAUAAGUACAGGCCACAGAGAGGAGUAUCUGUAGUUGACUUAACCUGAAGACUGAAUCAAAAGUACUCACACUCACUGUCUAUAUCAGCCUUUUCUUCUCUUCAGGAUUCAAAGUAUUUUUCUGAUAAAUGACACCAACUUUUUUUUUCUUUUCCAUUAAAAAAGCUUGUUUAUAACGUCUGUAAUUUCCACCGUCACAUCCAAUCUCAUCCUGAUAUAAACAGUCAGUAAACGUGUCUGUUUUUGCUUCGGUCAGCUCUGCUGCUUUAUUUUCCUCUUGGUUGUGAUUUCAUAUGAAAUCCACCACACAGUUUCCGGUUUAUUACUGCUGUGUCCAGCUAGUCCCUGAUCAGAUUAACCAAUGUGUGUGAUUCAUGGCUGGAGAGUAUUUAGGGCUCCUGUCAGUGGCUGGAUGUAUAUAUCAAGGACUGUUCACCAGAGAAGUGCAGUCAGAGAAACACUUGACUGAAACAUCCUCUGACCUCAGAUCCAGGACUGCUGCCGUGGUGCUUCUCCUCUGGUGUUGGCUGAGGUUUGGAUUGGGCACAGGGGUGUGAUGAUCCCUGAUCUGUGGAGAAGACUGUGAUGAGCCUGUGGGGGGAACUCUCUGGCCCAAAACCCAGUUUCCUCUGAGAGACUUUUCCUCUGUUGUGGUGAGUACAGAAGCUCUUUUUAAGUCGAAAUCCAGUGUCCUGUUUUCUCCUUGACAUAUACUGUAUGUACCUGGACUUAAACCUGCAAGGAUGACUGAAGUCUGGUCAAACUAAGCUGACACGUUUAGCUGAAAACGCAGUGCCAGGUCAAAAUAAGCUGCCGAAUUUUGAGUGUUUUCUGACCUUAACAGAAUAACCAAAAAAAAAAACACUAUAGACAUCGUGUCGCUCUGAGAUGUUAGCAGUCAUCCCAACAGUCUAUGUGGCAUUCAUCAGCUGUAAACGACAUUUCUGACAUUUACUGAGUGAGAAUAAUAUUUUCACCUUGGUCGUCUCAUCACCCCUGAGCAGAGCAGACAGCUGCUGUAAAGGCUGUGUGCAGAGAGUAUUUUCACACUGUCAACAAUCUGGUAUGAUUUUAUCAGCCCAGGGUGGAUUCAUACUUCAUCCAGGACUGUUGCUAAAUGAGGUGUUUGGAGAUAAUCACAUCUUUGUUUCCUUCUUACACUUCGGAAACACAGACUUGAGUCAUCUACCAAUGUUUGAUUUUAACCCUUAAUCACAUCUCUAAUUUAUGGAUCCUUUUCUCCUUUUGAGGACUAAUUUUGGCUUUUUAUUUGUUCCAGAUUUGAAAUGACCAAUCACAGUGAUCCUGUACUUGACUUCUUAUCAGUGUUACAACUUCUCUCCUUCUGCAUCUCUCUUUUUUUUAUCGAUUUAACUCUGAUGCAAAUCCAGGAAGUCGAUCCAUCCACUGACUUUCAGUCUGAAAUCUGAAACAGGUCUUCUUCCUGAAAUGGGAUCCAGUUACUGCUUAGACGGAGAUUUUCAACAGUGUUUUUUGAGCUUCCUAUCUUUUUAUGACCGAAUAUGCAUCCAAUUUCACUUUUUCACUUGCAAGUUUAACCUUCUGACAACAUAAAAUAAUGUGUCCUUGCAACACAGGAACAAGAAGAAUUUUGUAAUAGCCGCACCUUGUCCGAAAGAGCGCUGUUCAGUUUGAUUUACGACUCACCAGAACCAAAGUUCAAGGGUCCACGAAUAGGAGUUUGUGAUGAUUUGAAACCGAAAAAAUUUCAGGGUUUUAAAUGACCUUAUUUCAUCAAAAAAUACCAGCGUACCAAAACACAUAAAAAGAAAUAGCCCAGUAUUCCCACCUUCAGUGUAGCAGAAAAUGAGCAGCUUCAUGACUUGCUGUAAAAGCGUUCUGUAAUGCUCAAACCCAGUGAUCGUGGUAUGAACUCUUUCCAUGCAAAAAAGAGAGUAAGAGGUGAACUAAAGAUGCAUAUUUGUCCUCCUGUGAGAUCUAAACAUGGUGUGUGCUGAAAGAUGCAUGUGGUGAAGAUGACCUGCAGCUGGUCCUGGAGCUGAAGAGCAGCUCUGUAGAUACAUAUGUAUAUUUAAUGGGACUGAAUGAGAACAUGCCUUCAUCCAGCUGGUGUUUUUUUCAUUUUCCAGCUGAUCUUAAAUGGCACUUUGUAACAGAACCAACUCCUGGUGACUCUUCCCUCAUACAUUUGUUAUUGAAACACAGCAGAAGAUGAAUAUUUAAAGGACUUUUGUAUCGCUAACAGAUCCUAUAUUUGUGAUACUUGGAAUUCACAGAGGAAGGUUGUUUGUGACUACAAAAACACGUGAUGAGUAGAUCAUGGAUGCACGAGAACAUUUGGUGCGCCUUACAUCAGGUUCAGGACAAGGACAAGAAUAAAUUAGAAUAAAACUACCCAUUUUUUUAUGCCUAUACACGGAAGGCGGAAUUUACGAGCUCCACGUUUUUAAAUUUAAAUAAGUAAAUAUAUUUGAAAAGGCACCCCUGAAAUCGGAUUUCUGACUCGGAAUGCCUGACAAUCUUCACCAACCCCGACAUGACAACAACGUCAUACUCCAAGAUCGUAAUGUAUCAUUUAUUAGCACUUCUAUUUUGUUUUUUACGAAAUUAAAUAAGUGGUAUAUGUUGUUCGGCCCAACGUCUAAAGGCUGUAAAAGAUGCGCAGGGGGUCUAUUUUUGCUGCUCUAUGCUUCCAAUGCGUGUCAGUCCACACAGUGAAGAUCGUCCCAGACUGGAAAUCAAGCACGAAAACACAAAAACUGGAUGCGCAUGUCAUCCAGUAUUUCAAAAUUAAACACCAUAUGUGAACCCCUGACUGUGUAUCAGUUUGUGUAGAUAAGAAAUACUUAGAAUACUAAGAAUCUGUAAGUAACUCAGAACAAUCCGAUAGUCAAUCUCUGAUCCAUGUGGACCCCAACAGGACUUUUAACUGCUAAGGCUAGGUAACAGCACAGCAUAAAGGAACAUAGUUUACGUUAUUCAACACGAGUAAACCUGCAAAAACAGAAACUGUAAAAUCACGUUGCUUUUUCACAUAGAGUAGAGGCUCAACAGUCACUGAAUUAUACCCAAAUUAGCAGGAAAUAGACCGCAGAAAGGCAAAACAACCUGUUGUGAGCAUGUUGUUUCCUCUAUGAGCCCAGCUGACCGGGGUUGCACUACGCUGCUGCCACGCUCCAAAUACACUGAUCCUGUAUGCAAAACCAAAUGUUGCUCUACGGACCAAAUACGGAACGCGCUCAAUUGUAAACAACAGCUAACAAUGGCUAACUGUAGGCAUCCAUCUUGGUUUUCCAACUUGUUUACUGGAAUGCCGUCAACUCUGGUGUAACAUCAUUCCCAGCCCGACAUUCGACUCUCGAGGUAACUGGAACGCAGUCAAAGAUGACAAGCAAAGCAAAAGGGAGUGUAAAGUUGCGCUUAUGAGUUGGGACUAUUUUCUGUCGCUGUCAUGUUAUUUGACAUUAAAACACAUAUUUUCGAUGGCUCCCUGUAGCCUCUCAAAUGUAUGAUCAGUACUGACAGCAUGUUUGCAGAGAGUAAACAGUAAUCACAGUUGAAGCAGCUGUGGGACGAGUGUUUGAUGCUUCAGGCUGACUCGCCCGACUCAGUGACAGUUCACACAAUACUUGAAUGCGGUCCUUUUGUUUCUCUGUCUUCAAGCUGCAUUUUAUGUGGGCAACAUGGCACUCUGAAACAGCUUCCCCUUGCAGCAACACUGUGUACAGGCAAAUGAGGAAAGCAUGCAUUUUAAAAGGGGAAGGGGAUAAUAAGAAGGAGAAAGAGACAGACAGCAGAGGGAUUGAGUCAGUGGAUAGAGAAGUAGGGGUUAGUCAGUGAGUGGUGCAAAGCUGUGUUGUGUUUCCACAAAGAGGUGCUUGUCCCUCAAAGAACGCAGUCGGUGCAAAAAUGACAGCUCAUUGUCUACUCCCAAAUUUAUCAGCACUUGAAGCCGCUUUGGCUGAUUGCCUUUUUGACAGAGCAAUCUCCGCUAUGUCACAGAGAAUUUGGCUUUAAUGGCGGGGCGGACAGUGGAGGAGAACAUGGAGAGUUCAGAGCUCUGGUUAUGAUUGCAAAUAAAAAAUCCUGUGUGUAUCUGAGCCUGUGCACACCAGGGAGACUCAGUGUUAGGAAAUGAAAUGCAGUAGUUACCAGCAUAUUGAAAUUGUUUGCUUUUGCUUGCAGGUUGCAGAGGAAAAAGCAGAUUUUGCACAGCAAUGUUAAAAUGUACAACUUUCUAAAUAUCAGUGUGUUUCAGGGUAAAACAUUGUUUCCCAGUUAUACUCUGGAAAUAGUUCAGGAACCAAAGCUUUUAAAAAUUGAAAUGCCUUUUCUCAAUGUCAUAGAAAGCACAACCAUUUUUCUUUUUAUUUAGUUUGUGAAAUGGAUGGCGGUUUCUUUGGUUGUUUUCUUUUUAGAUUUUACAAAAAGCAAAAACUCAAGGCCUCACCAACAGAGACAGUACCCACUUUAUCACAUGUACCUCUUAAAAUCAAGCUGGGAAUGACACUAAACUUGGACUGGAUAUUCAUAAAUAGUUAUUUCUUAAAAUAAAGCAAAAUGUUUAUUAUUCAUAUUAUCCAUCUUUUAAUUUUCCUCACUUAAACAUGCAUGUAAAAUAGAUGAAAUUUGAUAUAAAGAACAAAAAAAGAAAUAUCAAAAAUCUAAAUGUUUGUCCUUUUUAAAAUAAGAUGGCUGGUCAUAGAAAUAUGACAUUUAUAUGUUCUAGAGACUCUUAUUUAAACCUUGAAGUUGUUUUUUUUUAUUUCACCCUCUGCUUUUACCAGCCAGACUUUAACAGGGUUCAGUACUCCAUGUUAUCAACCAUCUCUGGACCUGUGAUUAUAUUUCACUAUCAUCAAGAGAAGUGACCGUGAGAAGCUGAAGAUGAAGAAAACGUUGAAUAGCUUGAGGCUAUCUGACCUGCUGGUGAAGCCCAUUACGCACUUGUGCAUCUUUACUAUCAGGCUGUAUUUCCCCUGGAGUCUGUUUCUUAUUGAUUAUCGUGGUUUCCUCAACAGACAGAUAAAUUCAUAAAAAUAAAAACUAUUUCAAGUUAGCGGGACCUUGACCUCGUAAUUCUCAGUGUUUCACCCCCCUGAGCCAUGCCUGAGUGGUCUAAUCUCCUCUGACUGCACUCAUUUGGAAACGUAGAGGCUCCGUUACAGGCGAAUUUUCGGCUAAGCCCCUUUGAACUCAGAAACAUUAAUAAUUAUUACUCCUCCUCUGUAAAUCCCACACUUGCAGGCUUUACAUGACAAAGACAGAUAUAGAGCAGCAUGUGAACGCUCUAUUCUGCUGAAGUGACUUUAGGAGCUCUUCUAAUGUCCACUCUGCUGCUUUUCUGUCAGUGCCAGCCUCAGAGUUUUGCUCCAUCAAAGCUCCCAUUCAGCUCCCAGAACAAUAAGAGACCAUUCAGUGGCCUCCAGAGAGCUACUGUGCAGUCCAGCAAUCAAUUCUGUUAAAUUCAUAUUCACUGUAGUCCUGAGCUCAGACUGGACUUCUUCAGCAUUCAUUUUCACCUUUCAUUUAAGGUAAAAAGUUCCACGAGUAAGCUCAUCAUAUUGAGCUGCAUAGGUUUGAUAGGAAGUGGGACUUUGCUGUUCGUGAUAAGAUCGGCCAUUUGGGAUUGGUAUGAGAUGGUUUGAUGGUUUGACCAAGGUCUGUGUUUUUGUGAAAUUAUGUACAAUUGGUUCAGUCUGUUUAGCUUUAGACUUUACUUGAUGAAUCUAUGCGAUACCGUUAUCGACUACGUGCUUUACUUGUCUCUGUAAUUUACACUGAAUGGCAGGUGUCUGACGUCAACACGCUCAAUAACACAGGUUCUGAAUGUUGUAAACACAAAUGAAAUUGUCAUUCCCACCAUUAUAUUAUUGUUGAUUUUCUACUACCAACAGCGACAACUUGAAGAGACUGUACAUGAGGAUGUUCCAAGUUUGUCUUAUGAAUUUUAAUAAUUAGAUGACAACUUUAGCAUCAAUGACAGGAAAGGAGAAGAAGGGAUGCAAUCCUGUAUGUGUAGUAAAACUCUUUUUUUACAAUAUUAUAAAAUUUCCCGUUCUAGGGCAAUUUUCAUUCAACAUCAUAACGGACGCUUCUACUCCUCUCGUCAUUUUCUGAAUUUGAUAUGAAAGUCUGAACCUUUCAAAAUAAUACAGCGUAAAUAAGACAAACAUAAAGGAAAGCCAAAUGCUACAUUAGCUGAACAGUUGAAAAAAUUAUAUAAAUCACAAUAUAUUGAAUCGCAAUACUCACUGUAUUGCAAAAUGUUAACGAUUGCAAUAAUAUUGUAUCUUGGCCCAAGUAUCACGAUAAUAUUGUCCUGUGACCAAAGUAUCGUGAUAAUGUAGUAUUGUGGCCCAGGUAUUGUGAUAAUAUAGUAUCGUGGACCAAGUAUCAUGAUAAUAUUGUAUCGUGGCCCAAGUAUUAUGACAAUAUUGUAUGGUGGCCCAAGUAUCGUGACAAUAUUGUAUCGUGACAAUAUUGUAUCGUGACCCAAGUAUCGUGACAAUAUUGUAUCAUGGCCCAAGUAUCGUGAUAAUAUAGUAUCGUGGCCCAGGUAUUGUGAUAAUAUUGUAUCGUGACGCAAGUAUCGUGACAAUAUUGUAUUUUGGGGCCACUAGUGAUUCCCAUCCCUACUGCACAUCUCUGCACAACCUUCAGCCACUACAGUGAGACAAUUACAUCUUUAGAUUAAAAAGAGUGUUUAUGUUAUUGACUUCUAUCUAUAAUUACUAUAUGUGUGCAUCUUGUCCCUCACAUGCAGAAGUGUGUAGUGGUGUAAAUAAGCUUAUCUUGGAAAAGACUGCAAAAUAAUGUAACACUUCGUCUCCAGCAAGUGCUUUUUCGCUCCCUGGCUUACGUAGAAAGAGCGACUUGAUUUCCUGGUUUCUGCCUCAGAGCCGCUUCUGUGUAGCAACAAAGACUGCUGUGCAAUAACAUAUGUGUCACUUCCUUUGGAGAGAAAUAAUAGAGGGGGAGGAAUAGGGGGAAAAAAAUCAAAAGAGUGAGACUGCUGACAGGGAGAGUUUACUUUCCCCUUCAGCUCUUCAAAGUUUCCUGGUGAGUUGAGUGUCAGCUUGUUUUCCAGUGAAGCAGCAGGAGGAGGAAGAGAGAUGGUGAUAAAAACCCUUCAGAAACAGACAAUAGACGCUGAAAUGCUGCCGGAAUUAACGACUGGUAUUUCAUCGUUUCUGAUCUGAUUAAGACCCAGUGACGAUCUUCUUGCAGUGACUAAUGUACUGUGAUAUCCUUCUCCCUGUCUCUCUCUCUCUCUCUGUUCCCUCCAUGAAAAACUCUGAGACCUUCAGUUCACAUCACGACCCCCUAGCCUCUUCUCACCCUCUCCCCCCUUUUAUUUGCUCGUCCUUCAUGCUCGCUCUCCUCCCCGCCGUCUUUUGUCUUGUUCCAUUCAUUUGGCUGAUUUGAUAUUUGGACUUGAAAGAGCUCUGAAUGGAGGCUCGUGUUCGCACGUACAUUUCUUCUACCUCCUGAUCUUUCAUUCUCUUUCUCGCCCGUCUCUCUCUCUCUUUUUUCAGAGCGGCUAUAAUGAAAUCAGACUGCAGCCUUUCAUCUGUAUUAGCAGCGUUUGUGGGUCUGAGAGAGACUAACAGGCUGCUAAUUCUCCCUCUGAUUCAUGAAACUGACAGACGUUUGCAUAAUUUAGCCGCCCGCUUUCUUCUCAUUAAAGGUUGCCUGCAGAUGCUCCUGUCGUUAAAUGGAGUUGAAAGCGGUCAACGUCAUGACUUGUUUGAUCAGAUUUGAAUAUUUGUGUGGAGAUUUGUGCAAUAAUUAGGGAAAUGUGCCUUUAAUUUCUUUUGAAGAACAAUGUUGAUUUUGAAAAGAAGCUUUAAUUAGUUUUCCUCCAGAAAACUGGUUGAUUUUAGUCCUUUUAGUCUUCCAUCUUGAGUUGUUGAGUAAAGAUUGAGUCAAAGAAACCUGAUUUUCAUUUUAGUCAGAUUUCACUUGGUAUCGAUUAUUGUCAAGGGUGAUGGUACGUCCUCUUUUACCCAGACAUGUCCUCUUUUUGGGGGUCUGUCCGGCCUUGUCUGGCUUUGUCUGGGGAAGUUUAUAAAAUCCUUCAAAUGUCUGGGGUUUUGUAUGGAAGUUUAGAGUUUGUGACACUCGAUCAAACCCGAUAAACUCUCAAAAUUAACUACGCACAACUCUGUGUCUCCGCACCCCCGUAGUCGUUGUACUCUUUUUGGGGAUUUAGAAUAUAGUCAUCCUGUAAUUGUCUAAAAUUUAGGGGAACUUGAGUGUUGGGUGUUUUUCAACCUGGAUCCUAAGAACAAGAUCUGAAAUUUGUCAAGUAUUGAGGGACAGCGGGGCAACUAGAAGCUGCGAAACGGGCAAAAGUGUCAAAUUGCAUAUACUAGAAGAGCUUUGUUUCACCACUGGCAGGCUCGGUUAUAUUGCAAGUUGCUUGAUUUUACUGUUAUUGUUGCUUUUUAUUUGUUAUUGUUGCCUGUGCACUUUGAGAUUUGUUUUCAAAUGUAAAGUGUGUUACAAAUAAAAUUAUUAUUAUUAUUAUAAUUAAGUUCGGAGAAUUGCAAGGAUUUCUGGUAACACUUGACAACAACCAUGAUUUAAAAAUGGUAAAUAGAUAGUUUAUUAAUGUUUAAUCAUCAUUAAAAAACAGCAUAUAGACCAAUUAUAAAUGGCAAAUAGAUUAUAUAUGAAAGUUAAUAUUUACUUUACCAUUAACAAGCAGUUAAAUUAUGAUUAAUAAUUUAAUUAAUUAUUAAUGGACUGUUUAUUAAAGGUUUAUACAGGUUUUAAAUUUUGGUUGUAAAACAUUUAGAUUAAAAUGUGUGUUUGUAGCACUUUGUAAAUGGUUAAUAUUUGGUUUUUAAACCAUCUGUAAACAUUACUUAGAUGGUUAUUGUUAAGUUAUGGUUAGGGUUAGGUUUUUAAAAUUGUAAGACAAUAUACACUUGUAUGUUGUUUUUAUUUAUUUUAAUUAUGUUUCUAGCUGUGUUUUUAUACCCUGUAAAGUGUCCUUGGGUGCUCAGAAAGGUGCUUUUAAAUAAAAUGUAUUAUUAUUAUUAUUAUUAUUAUUAUUAUUAUUAUAAGAUGUACAAUUUAUUAAUGGUCUACAUGCUUUUUAUAAAUGAUGAUUGAACAUUAAUAAACACCCUGCUUACUGUUUAUAAAUUGUCUAUUUACCAUUUAUAGAUUAUGGUUAUUGUAAAGUGUUACAGGAUUUCCCUAACCUUCCACUUUUGCAACCAAAUCUCAGCGAUGGAGAAGACUUAUGGUUGGACCUGUUUGCUUCCUCUCACCAUUUGUUUGUGUCGCUCCGUCACUCUUUCCCCUUGAGCCUCCCAGCACACCUGGUGAGUAAUGUAUGUUUGCACACGCUUAAGCCACAUGAGUCUUUAACACACACAUUUACUCCCAGGGCUCCACACAGAUCAUGCCUCUCAUUUCCUGCAGUGGAUUCAUAAAGGUGUUUCAUUAACCUCACAGGCUGAUAGGGUCUCCGGUAGUUUCAUUACCUUCCAAAUGAUUAGCUCUAAACUGGGCUGUUACUUUCACAUCUCUCUCUCUCUCUCACACAUGCAGUCAUUGUUAAAGGGCACCCACAAUAGAGUCAUGCUUUUCUUUUCACCGUAUACGUGAGAAAUUGCAUGUGCGUGUGCAGCUGCAUAAUCGUAUGGGAUGUGUUGCAGGUACACUCAGUGAGAAAGCGAGGGAUAAAAAGGGAGGAAGAAAGGUUGGGAGUGAUUUGGCAUUUUCAUUUUAAUGACUCUUCAGUCUUGCUGGGAUUAUCCAGCCGGCACGCUGUGUCACCUUGGAGAGAGCGGGACAAGGUCUGUGAGGUGGAAGUGUCAGGAGAGUGUGGAUAUAUUCUCGAAAACGACUUAAGGUAUGCAGCUUUCCAAAAAGUAAAGAGGCUUAUGGGAGUUUAUGAAUUAGCAUCCCUUCAAGUGACUUUAAGUUUGGAGGAAACUGAGCCACUCUUAGAGAGUAUAAGCUGAAAAGAUUAAGUAAAUAAAUGAAAAAACAUUGCUGGAUAAUUAUUGCAUGCAAAGUGUUUGAAAAUGCAUAAUCAGUGCCUCUGAACGGCCCCUCUUCACAAACUCACCUUCCUUCCCUCUUCUAGCUCGUUCGUCUCUGUCACCCUAACUUUAUUCCUGGAGUCCCCCCCUGUAUACCUCACAUCUGUCUUCCAGCAGCCUUUAAACGAAGCUCUGCAGUAAACAGUUUGUCUUCACUCUUUAAUGUCUUUUCUACACUGCUGGUGUCACAGAUCAGGCUUCAGUCCAUCUUUACAUGCCUGAUUUAAGCACAUUUCCUCAUAAAAGACCCGCGGGCUAUCAUAGAUUACAGAAGAAAUGCCGUAGCUCACACUUCAGCUGUGGAUAUGAAGACGCGUGGUUCAAACAGUUCAUUUCCUGCACUGGAAAUGGAAAUGAGAGGCAAACAGAUAAAAGCUGCUUUACAAGGAAGCAUGAACAUAUCCUGUGAUGUCCAUGAGAAUCCCUUUGAUGGAAACUAGAAGAAGAGUCGUCUCUCUUUUGAUUAGGAUGAAACGGCAACAAUGAGGCAUGUCUUGAUCCCACAUGGUAUGAGAUCAUGAAAUGUCUUUAGAGAGAGAGAGACGUCUCAUUGGAGUAAUGUUUGGCUAAUUUAAACUAGAUUGAGUGAAGUGAUAGUUGCACAGGUUGGACACAGGUUCUUCUGCAGAGCUUCAGUAGCUCAUUAGCAAUUCACCUCUGAGUCGUGCGCGGAGACAGCGCUGCUCUGCACACUCUUCCUCAGCCUAACAUUGCAGAUGUAGUAGAAGUGGCAGGUAACAUAGCUAUUCAGCUCUCGGACACUAAUGUGUUUAGUGGCAUGAUGGAAACUAAUAUAAUUAGCUUUCUUACAAGCAUUGCAAUCCGCUAACCAACACGCUUUUUCCGCGAUGAUUCUAUCUAUUUCUCCGAGCCUGGCUUGCAUAGCAGGGCUCUGUGGGCGGAGCUUGGAUUUGCUACAUAGGAAAUCUCACUGCGUCUGAACCUGCCAUUUGGGUUUGCCAGAGAUUCACAGCGAUUUGAAUGCGGAAAUGCUCAGAAAUUCAACUUUGCACUUAUUUUCUCAUGAUAUGUCCUGUAGCAUCAGAAAAAUGCCAUAUGAACAUGUAAAAAACAAGAAAAAAAAAGAUAGAGUGGGUCUUUUUGCUGAGCUCGCUCAUAGUUCGAUUAGGAAGAACUUUAUUGAACUUUAUUGAUCCCAGGAGGGAAAUUCAAUUGUCUGUUGUCUCAUUUGUCGUGUCUCUUAAAGUCAUCUACUCUUUAUGGAAGAGUUGUAAAAUCUGAUGGCUGUGGGGUACAAAAGAUCUUCUGAAUCUUUCUGUCCUGCAGCGAAGAGAGAAGAGCCGUCCACCACCAUUGGCCCUUUGGUCCAAUAAGGUGUUGUGAAGUGGGUGAUCCAUGUUCUUUAGAAUAGUCUCCACCUUAUUAGGCGGUUUAACUGGACUUCUGUCCUUGUCUCAGUUUACAAGGACAGAAUUAAGUUAUUGACAGGAUCAUGUCUGCUACCACUAGACGACAUGCCCCUGCAGUUCAUCAUUAUCCGAUCAUCUCUUGCUGACCUUUUAGAUUUGUCAGAAUAAGGACAUAAAUCCUCCCAUUUGGGAAAGUUCAUCAAGCAAAAGCUUUUCCAUUUGGUCAAACGAUAAUCUGAUAAUCAUCAAAAUGGCAAGCAACAAUUUGUAGUCUCUAAAUUUGUGAUAAUUGACGGUUUCGGCUCCUUGAUGCAGGGUGUUGAAUUUCAGAACAUCUGCCGCUACCAACAGAAAUGGAGAAACUGUUUCUGCAGGCUGUCAUUUCAUCGUCUAUCUUGCAAAUGUUAUUCAGGCUCAGAGUUUGCUGAUGACAUUACAUCUGUCAAAUGUUUAAAGCUGUCCAGUUGUGCGCAGACACCGUAGAUAACUGGUUCUCAGCGCAGAUAGGUCGAGCUCUUCUAUUUAUAUCAAACAUUUAUCUGCAUUUGUCCAUCCAUCGAUCUCCCUUCACUGUAAUCUCUCCAGCUGCUGGCCAGCCAAAGCAAAUGAGACAUCACAUUACUUAUUUAACGCUGCUUUAAAGGGGACCCAGGUUAACCUAUAGAGCCGGCUCGCUGUGACAACACUUGCUGGGCCGUCUCAAACACAGCGGGCAAAAGAUCAGAUCGAAUCAAGUCAGUGAAAGACACCGAGAAUGACUCGACCCCGUGGUCAGACAGUUAAGCAGCCGAGGCCACGCCAUGUAAUCUGGAGGCUCUGUGGACGGUGACAGGAGGAGACAGGUUUGUGGGGCCAAAGUGGAAACAGUCUUCUACCUUAAAUAAAAUAUAAAUCGAUGUGAGCAGAGGAGCAGAAGGACACAUCUUACCCCUGUAUUAUAGAGGAUCUUUGUCCUGAGGAGGGCAGCUUUGGGUGCGUUGAGAGCUCUCAGGGAAGGACAAAACAAAAGGACACAGGAAAGAGAGAGUGGACUUGCCAAACUUUUAUUUUUGUGAGUGUUUAAGAGUGAGAGAAAGGAAAGAGAGGGUCUCAGAGCCACAUUGUGUAACAUAAAUAGACCCAUUCGGUCUGAGGUGAACCAAACUCCUACAAUGAUUUAGCACACACCUCAUUCUCCUUACUGGCCUUCUCUUCCUGUUGGGUCAUUUCAGCUCCCCCACUGUUUGUUCAUUGCUCAUGUCUCUGCCGUCUACUGGGUCAUUAAUCUAUACCGCUCCAACCGCUCCUCUGGGCCGGACCGGGCUGCAGCUGUACUCACUGUGCAACUCUGCUCAGCCACUGUGUCCAUACAGAUAUGAAACGACAGACUGAGGCCCGAACUACACGAAUGCGGAUAUAUUUCAAACCGCACAUAUUUAUGUCCGAUUAGGCCUCCCUACCACACCAAAACGGGAGUUUGGAACACUCAAACUGGAUAAAUCUGAAUCCGGAAAAACAAGUGGAGAAAUAAAAGAAUAUCCGUACAAGUGGUUUUGUGUGGUUGGACUUUUACGGAUCGAUGACGUCAAACCGCAGCUCGCGCAUGCGAAUUAAAAAGAAAAACAACAACAAUGAUGGCGGACAUACAGGGUAUUCUUUACGUUUGUUUUGCCCUUUUGGGGCUAAUUUUAGCCUUGCAAGUGAACCUUGUUUUAUACAAUUACAUCCACCAGUCAGCCAGCUCACAGAGGCGUCUGCUGCGGCCAAUACUUUUAUUGGUCACACGAUCUGUCACAUGGACCCGACGCACUAGCGUAGCUUUCGCAAACAAUGCAUCACACUGUUACGAUUCAUCGGCCAAUCAGGUAGCUUUGUUCCAGAAUUUUUUUUAAGCGACACCAGAUAGAAUUGAGUUUGAAGGCUACGUGUGGACGCAUAUAUUUUUGAGAACUAACACGUGUGGACAGAUACAUUUAUUUAGACGGGAGUACAAAAAUAUCCUGAUAAAUAAAUAUCUAUAUACGUGUAGUCCGGGCCUGAGACUGACAGUGGCUUUAAGAGAAAGCACCGUUCUUUGAGAUUUGAGGAGAUUAAUAUACUCUUGGAUCAAGAUUUCUGGCUUGCCUGGUACACAGCAGCCAUCAGGGGUGACAGGGACCCCAGCAGGUAGAGUCUAAACUAGUAAUGCUUGAGUGUGCCUGUGAUUUUUGAAGGAUAAGAAAUAAAUAGAUGCAUCAAUUAAAUAUCGCCUGCCUCCAGACUGUGUCACUGACAGUCGUAGAAGUACUGGAGCUCAGAGGGUUGGGGAUUUGUCUCUGCAGCUCAUCUGAACUCUGUUUGGCUGGAGCUUUAAUGUAAUUGCCUCAGUUGGAAAUAAACAUCAGCCUUUGAUUUAUUAGACGUUUCCUUGUACUGUGCCAUUUUGACUCAAAUCUGAACCGCUCUUUUCAUCAAGCAGAGUGCUCAAAACAGCUCACUGAUGUAGAACUGCCUGUAAACAUUAUUUAUCAGCAUGCUUUCAAAUGAACAUAAUUUAGUUUUUCUUUGUCCUCUUCUAAAACUUGGCACAGCAAACGACCAUGUCCUUUCAACAACAUCACGUCAGGGGAAAAUAAGAGCUGAAUGGGUCAUUUCGGAUGAAUCUGUUUGUAAUUGCAUACGUGGUAUCAAUGAAGAGUGUGUUUUUAUACGUCCUCUGUUUACUCUGACAGUCUCAGACUGUUUGAAUGUACUCGUAUAGAUUCUGAACUUGUAUAUUACAGAGGGAAAGACUUUUGCAGUUACUUUGGAUAUCAUGGAAAUUGACAUAGGAACAAAUCAAUUCCUGGAUGACUCACAUCCGUGCACAUAUAUGAGUGGAAAUGAGGUGUAAAUCUGACUGGUUAGUCUUGGACAGCAGUGGGAUUUGUUUAAUUAAAAUCACCAGUCAUUAUGGGAAACAUUUCUUGAUCCGAUUAAAAAAUUGAGGGAUCGGAAAAUCUGAAUCCACUGUUUAUAUGGGUGCAGAAUCAAAUAAUCCGAUUACGACGUAUGCAUAUAUGCAACCAAACUUUGCACAGAGUUGUCUGAUUUCGCUAAAACGUAUGUAUUGACACCUGUACUGUCAACACUAGAUAGCGCCAUUGCAUACUUAUUUAACUGUUCUGUCUAAGUUUGCACUGUGCGUGCAGAUUCGACAUCACUACGCUGUACGUAUGCCUUGUUGUGUUGCUGGAGGAGCAGGCACGGCACCUACGAUUGUGUUUUAUGCCAGAGUGUUAAUAAUGAAACCUCCUGUACCAGCCUCAAUAAAUGAGCCAAAGUCUAAAGAGUGAAGACCGAGUCAGGUUCGAGAGUCACGAUCAGAAUAAAUGUUUUCAUGGAUGCAUUUCGUAAUAACGAUCGGCAUAAACCACCCCUCCCAAUCGGAAUACAAUUUCUUUCCGAUUGAGCCAAAUUGGAUCAGAAUCUUCCGAUUGACAUGUUUACAAGGCGCAUUUUUAUUCCAAUCAGGCCUUUAUUCCGAUUAUUUGUGCCCAUGUAAACUCAGCUAGUGAUCCAGCAUCACUGAGGCCUCCAGAGCCGGUGAAGGUUGAAAUCCCUUAAGCUUAAAGACCGCGUAACAGCAAUUUAAAAAUUUGUUAUGGCAUGUAACAGGAGGAUGGAGCUAAAAGUAGAGCCUUUGUUGCUCAGCAGGGGGGCGUAAAGAUACGAUCCAACCCUGGAGCCUCUCUGUGGUGAUGACCAGAAGAGCAACAUCCCAUUCCUCCAGGGCAUCUCCAUGGCAACAGAGGUGAUGCUCUGAUCUCUGUUGCCGGAGAACCACAUUCCAUAAGGACUUUUUUUUAGUAAAAGGCAGUUGCAAACUUCUGUUUCUCUAUAUCCUGUAUCCUCCACAUUGUGUCCCAUCUCCUUCUCUCUUUUUCACUCUCUCAUUACUGCUUUGUCUGUUAUUGUUGUCUCUCUAUAUCCUGAUCUCUCCUCCAAUUUUGGCCGUGCACUCUUAGCUGGUUGUGCUGUUGAAAGAGAUGGAUGCUCACUGCCCUCAGUAAUCUCUGCAGCAGCCAUUAAGAAAACUAAGACACUAUUCUGGCUCUUCCCUUAAGUCCUGUCCCACCAUCACCACAGAUGUUGAGCUUACACACACUCACACACAUUAGUGUGUAUAGCCCUGUCUGUGCGCGGUGAAAGCUGUUUGUCUGAAGCUGUUAUUUGUUUUUGUUUAGAGAACAGAGAAAUCUGUAGAAGGAUGCAGCAGGGAGAGACAAGGUGACAGCUGCCACGGGCCACAGAGAAUACACAAACACACACUCACACUCGCACAAACAUGAACACACCACAUGAUUGGCGUCUGGAAAUCUGCUGCUCCCACAUCCUCACAGAAAAAAGAAGGCACAGAGAAGUGAGUGCACUAGCCUUGGGGUUUUUCUCCUGCUUUCUGUCUUGUUGUUGUUAUAAUGCGGUGCUUUAUUUUGAGUCUGUUUUAAUAAAUUGGCCGUCAGUGCGCGGUGAUGGAGGUAGCUUUUUCUUUUUGGGCCUCAGGCUAAUAACGCUGGAGAUACUGACGGCAAACAAACACUGGCAGGUGGCUACUCACUCUCAUUUUAACAUUUCAUAACUCGGUGGUCAGUUCUGCACCGCAAGGGGACUUUGAGAUUUCUGGACAGCAGAGGUACAGUCGGGCUCCUGCUGUUUCCAUCAUGCAUUAGUGAAAAGAGAUUCUUGGAGUUCAGCUGAGAGAAACAGACAGUGUUGAAACCCUUGCAUCAUGUUGAACCCCAACAAAAACACGCUUGUAGUGCACACAUAGCUGCCCCCUUUUCCUCUUUGGAUAAAAGUUUUACUUAUUAAUGCUCUGCUGAGUGUACACUUGUGACUAUCGUUCUUCUUUAGCUACAUUGAAGGAUUCCUAGUUUCUCUGCCAGCUCAAGAAAAGCAUGAAAAAGAAAUGAAAUAGAAAAGUUGAACAAAUCAGGACAGAUCCCAACAGAGAAAAAGCAAGUUUAAUUUUAGAGGAGAGUUUUUGAGAAGACAAAUAACUAAUUUUUUUGUUUGUUUGGUGUUUCAUUUAUCCUUACACACUGGCUUAUUAGCGAGGUGACGCGAAAAUGCGAAACAUUCGGCUUGGGCCUUUUCUUAUACACAUCUGGAGCGACGCAAAUAAAAUUAGCUUAUUAGCAUAAAAUACGCCACAGGGGAACAGGGGAGAGAGAGAAAAAGGAGAAACAAUGGCGACAACAUCCUUUAGUGAUGACUGGGUCAUGGUUGUAAGUCUAUUAAAUAACAAAAAGAAAAAAAAGAAAUGAAGUUUCUGGGUACAUCCAAUGUAUCAUCAAUCAAUGAGCUCCACACAACGAUCCAGGAACUUAAAUCAUAUCCGGAGAAAUUCCGACAAUUCUUCUAAAUGUCCCUCGGACAAUUUCAAGAACUGCUCCAUCAGCUGACUCCAGGUUUGCAGAAGGAGAGGACAAAUUACAGAGAGCCCAUUGAUCCAGAGCAACAGCUUGUCACAUUUCUAAGGUAAGAUAUAUAUUAGGCUAUAGGUUAAAACAGCAGUUGCUUUUUCGCUCUGCAGACAUUCGUAGCCGGUGUGGAAGCUUGCGUUGACUUUCAGAGGUUUUUAAGAAUUUGCUUUGCUAAUUCGCUGGUGUGUAACGAACUUUAAGUUCUUUAUUUUGAAGUUAAAACCAUCUAACCUGCAUCUUCUUUUAUGAGGCAAAUAUUCCCAGUGUAUAUUACUGCAACCAAAUGAAAAUAAACUUAGUCAUUAUUCUCUAAUUUCUAAUGUACUUUAAACUGUUAAUCUGAAAAUAUGACAUAUAUGCAGGCUGGAAACUACACUAUGAAGUUUUGGGUAAAGCCAAUCAAUCAAGUAUUAUCCCAAGAUGCUGAAUUAAAAAGCUGGUCUAGACUCUAUUUAUGUAACAGAUGGGAUUAGAUUGGGCCCUCUUUUGUAAGAUCACACCCACUCCCAUCCCAUCUUCAACCACAUGAGUGUAGAACUUUGCAGCAUUUAGCAGAUUACAGUGGAGAGGAAAGACUUCUUUUAACAGGUGGAAACUUUAAGCAGAACCAGACUCAUGUUAGACAGUCAUCUGCCACUAUUGGGGACAGAAGAAGAUGCAAAAAGUGAGACUUUUGCAUGUAGUUGAAGCAGCUUGGAAAGUAGCGGAAGUUAGAGAGGAUAUGGAGAGAGCUAUAUGAUCUGUCAACUCUGAGAUUCCUGCUGAGAAUCUCCAUGGUGACAGCAGUAAGGUCAUGAUGUCAACGAUGAUUGACCUUCCUCAUAUGCAGACUCCCACACAUACGCACACACACACAUUUCCCUGCAUUACUCUACUCUCUCAUCUCUCCUCUGUGGUACUGGUGUUCUGUCCAGGCUGACACUGACUUCAUUGGAUGUGAAAGAAAAUGAGCAAACCUUUAUUGGCACACCCUCCCUGGAGCAUCAUAGCCUGAGCAAAGUGUCACUGCAGGUGUGAUGUAUACGGGUGUUUAUCGGCUCUGACAGAGUCCACAGGUGGCGCUGAGUGUUGGUUUCCACAGAGCGGAAAAAUCCUCCCUCAGGCAACAACACACACAGCUCCAGCCUGCAGUCUCCAAUGGAAAUAUACAGAAACGUAUACAUGCACUUUAAAGUAGUUGCAGAAACCAAGCUGGGAAAUGAAAGUUUUAUAAAAGUUAAAAAGUUUCUGUUUACCUUGGGCAGUGAGACUUUUCUGACACUCAUUCUGCAGGGAUCAGUUACAGGCCUCUGGUUACAAAGGCAAAGUGCAAAAGAAUGACUGAAAUUUACCUGUGGGUAGGGCUGGGCGAUAUGGGAAAAAGUUUAUCACAAUAUACGUUUUUCAUAUCAGUCAAUAUUGAUAUAUAUCACGAUAUAACAGUAAUCACUUGUCAAUCAACUCACAGUUCGCUACUGCAUCUUUGAGGUCUUUGUGUCUCUUUGAUGUUUUGUCAGAAAGCAUUGGGCUAGAUAAAGUGGAUUGAAUGGUCGGUCCAGCGCAGCGCAGACCAGGAGCAUCUCUAUAGUCUACCAAAACAUGGCAGUAUGCCGGCUAUCGAAAAGCAUAUUGACCAUGUUUCAUAUCAAUGUCGAGGGAAAUUUUUGAUAUAUAUCAUUAUUGUUUUAUUGCCCAGCCCUACCUGUAGGAUGGGAAGAUGCUUAAAACAAAGUUAAGUUAAAGGCACACAAGUUUAAAACUGAAGAGAGAAGAACUACUAAAAUGAAAAAAAGCUGUUCUUUAUAAUUUAAUGAAAAAGCCUGGAUAAAAUAAGAUGCAAACUGAACCGAAUCCGAAACCGAAGUUACUUUCCUUGGAGUUUCUAUGUUAAUAGCAGGAGUCAGUGCUGCAACAUGUUUGGACUUUAUUACUUGAUUGUCUUUGUUAACAUCAAGAAUCCUGGUACAGAAAUUACCAUAUUUUUCAGGCAAUAAGGUUCUCCAGAUUAUACGCAGCGCGUAAAUUAACAUGUCUAUGUUCACACAUAAGGGGCAUCAGAUUGUGAGGCGCAUUAAGCUUUGGCGCAUUGAUUGGUUUAUUGUUGUUUAUUGUCUGCAACUCCAAAGUUGUACUUCGACAGAUUUUUAAGCGCAUUGAACCACAUAAAAUCAGUCAGUAAGCACGACAAGUAAUUGUACAUGAGGCGUGCUGGAUUAUUAGGCACACUGUCAAUUUUUGAGAGAUUUUAAGUGUCUUAUAGUGCUAAAAAUAUGGCACCUGAAAACACUGCUGGUAGUUUUAAUGAAAUCAUCAUGGAUAAGUGCUGCAAAUGUAAUAUAAAUCCCAUCUUAAUCCACCAUGAGUGAAACAGUUUGCAGCAUUGAGCGAGGUUAUAAUGAUGAGUAAAAUCGUCCUUUUAACAGGCAGACACCUCAUGCAAAUAUAACAAAAGCACACGCUACGUACUUUGAAGUCAUUUUCACUUUGUUGUAUCCCAGCCUCACUGAAGGUUAUUUCACAAAGCUCUCUCUUGCGUGGACUCUUACAAACUUCUCUCAAUACUGUCUCUGAAUAAUGUAAUAGAUUUGUCCUCGCUCAUUCCUGGAGAUUAACAGGAAGACAACAAUUCUGGUCUGCUUUCUUUGUAAAUCACAAAACCAUCUGGAACAAAGCGAAGAAAGCCCACGACUGAAAAACACUGAUAAAGUACAUUGUUCAAAACUAUGAAUGCAAAAGCACUCUGCCCUCCGGUUCUGACUGUUAUGAAGAUAACAUUCCUUAUUUUUCUUCUGUGUUUCUCUAUGAAGGAAUCUUCUGCCCGUCCUCUUAUUUCUCUACUGAGGCUGAUAAGAGAAUAUUACCUCUCAUUGUUCAGUUAGACUCUGUUAUUGUCAGCAAAUGUCGACAAUUUUUUUCGAUUUUUCAAAGAAUAGUUUGUGCAUGUCCUUUUGUUAAAUCGGAGGUUAAUAAAAGGGGUUAACGCAGAGUGUGAGUGUGAGUGUUCCAGCCUAAAGCUUUUAUUUGCUCUGCCGGGCUCUAUCUCUUUGCAUCAGCUUGUUGUGUUUGGACAGAGCAGGGCUCAGAAGAGAGAUAACUGAGGAUAAGAGAGGAAAUACAGUGCAUGGAAAAAGAGUGAAACAAAGACUUAAUAAAAAGAGAGUCUGUGUUUAAACGGGAGAACGAAGAGGUCAGCGCUCCCUGUCAUUCCCAACAGUCUGCUCACACAAAACUGAUACUUUUGCAAGCAUUAAACAUAUCCAGCCAUUCACUUAUAGUAAAACCUGCUCGCACACUCUAAACUACACACUGAGAUGUCAGUCAGAGGCUCUAAUGCGAGGUAAAAAGCAGCGUGGCAUACCCCAGCGUGUAGAAUAAAGACCUAUCAUCUGCUGUCAUUCUCUCCUCGCAGACCUGGGGAUUUUGCGUGGGGGCUGGCUUAACCUGGUUUGAGCUUGUUAUUUAUUAAUUUCAUCUGUUAUCAAAGGCUCAGGAAGCAUAAUGUGCCUUUGGUGAGGAGGAGUACAACGUGCAACAACCCCCUGUGACGAAUUUCACUGCUUAGAUCCUGCAUUGCUUUGAUUUAUGAUAUAAUACAGAGUGAUACACUGUUCAUACUUCACAAUAGCUCCAUACUGAUGUAACCCCAGCUCACUGUCGCCUCUUUUCCCAUUAGAGCAUCCCCCGCUAAAAGUAAGAGAACUUUUAAGACACACUUCAAGAGCAAUCUGGGUGAAAUACUCUGCCUUUUACUGUGACAUGAGCUACAAUUGAUGUAAAAGUCUAUACUCGAGAAUGAGUUUUGACUGCAGGGUCAUGAUUAGGGAUUAGGACUUUCUGCCGUUUAUUGGCACCCUAAGUCUGAAGGAGAGUGGUGUGAAUAAAACGAUAAGUGAUGGUAGUCUAUGACUCUGUGGUGAGACCUGCGCCCUCAAUUCUGCUUCAUUUUUCCUCUCUCAAAGGAGUUUUCCUUCGUCAUGAUGGUGGCUUGAAACUCAAAACGCCAUCAGCUCACAGAAGUCUUACUGACUCUAUACACCAAGCGCGAGUAAAAUCAUUCGCGCGAAUGAAUUACAUGUUAAGUCAAUGAAAAGACGCCAUUAGACGCUCCUACUGCUCUGGUGACGCGAAUGACGUGAAUCAGGCGUGAGCUGAAAAUGUCUCAACUUGAGCGAAUAUUUACAUAUCGAUAACUAACCAGCACAAAGGUUGCUGGGGGACGUAUGAAAACAGACAGUUGGUAUCUAAAAUGGAGGGCAAACUGGUCGUGUUGGUGUGUGGAUUCCCUGAAUUAUUCAAUACCUUUUCUUUCAAUUACCUAAAUCGGAAUAAAAAGGAGCUCACCUGGAGGCAAGUGAGUGAGGAGGUCAGAUUACCUGGUAAAUUGAAAUAAAAACCUUUGUCUAUCACUUGAUCCCGCCAGUUGAAUUGGCAGGGAUUACUGUUGAAAUUACCGUUGAAAUUGAAGCGAGUAAAUACUUUUCAUUCGCGCGAAUUAAGCGAGUGGAUGAUUUUAUUCGUGCUUGGUAUGAUCAAUGGGCAUGCUUCCAGUCAGCGUUUUCUCACAUCUGGCAUGGCGCAUGUACCUGUAAGCUAAUGUAGCUAUGAACAAGGCAUUCAUGAGAAGUGUAACGAGUAAACAACUCCUCCAGAUUCAGAUUCUGAUUCAACAACCGCUGCUUCGUUUGGAGUCGUCAUGAAAAUGUCUUUGUGUUUCAUCCUGCUCUACAAAGUUUGUUCUCCUUUUUUGUCUUUCCCUGUUUCAACUUUUAAAUCUGUGAAAACUCCCCAACUGGACAUAAUCUCCUACUUUCUUCAUGCUUUUCAGACUUUGUACAUUCUCCUCUCAAAUGUUUCUGCUCUGUCCAACUUGCUGGCACACUCAUCUUUAUGGUCCAACCUCCUCCUCCUCCUCUCCCACACACGCUCUUCCUCUGUCCUUUACUGUCUUUUUUUCCCUCUCUCCACUCCUGCUGCCAAACCAUUUUCCUUCCAUCUUCAUUUUCACUCUGUGCCAAAUGGCAAACUCAUCCUGCUUUUGCCUCCAUGGUUUUUUUUCUUCUUCCAUUAUGUAAAUGACCUCUGACAGCGGCACAGAUGGGUACUGCUCAGAGAAGUGAUGGUUGGUGGUGAUGCUUUCCUGAACCAGCAACAAACUAAAUGAGCAUUUUCAAAUCCCUGAGCUCUUAUCUUUGACACAAUAAAACAGAGCAUAUGUCUGUCAGAUCUGCGUAUUUUUAGUCUUUAAUCUACCUAACUGUGGCUACUUGGAUAUUUGACCCAAUAACUGCUGCCAACCAAAAUCCAUUUGACUGUUUGCAGCGAAUUCUCCAUAAUCUGUAAAUUUAGUAUCUAUGCAUAGACUCUUUAUCACAGAAGUUCCCUGCAGAAACAUUCAGCUUGUGCACAGUCUGUGCUCUUCACUCUCUUGUAAGAGGAUUCACUGGUGAGCUGGCUGUCAGCAGCGUGCGAAGACAGCGGCCUUUACCAAAAAAAAUCAUUUUAACAUUUCUCCCCCCCCCCCCGGCUUUGUUUCCAUGGAUACCAUUCAUCUUUUCCCCCCAACGCUUAUCCUCCACUAUCAAAUCAUUGAACUUAAAUUUUUCCUUCCUCUUUCACAACCUUGCUCUCUGUGGGGCACGCAGGCCUGGAGUAAACAAAACUUCAAAACUGUCAUCAUUAAGUGGAAGCAUCUUUCAAUUUGGUGCAAUGACUCGCACCUUAAGGUGUGAUUAUGCCGCUGGAAAGACAUAGGGUAAAUUCUCAGAGUUUGGGCUCUGUUUUGAUGUUGUUUCCAGAGAAAUUAAAGAGGUCUUAAAUAGGGGUGGGAGAAAAAAUUGAUCAUGAUCUUUUGUUUUAUAAUUUUUAAAUUGAUUUUUAUGUUCAGAAAUCAAUCUUUUUUUUUUCAAAUUUUAGAAUAAAUCUUAAAAACUGACAUACAUGUGAUGUGUAGUUUUAGGGGAAAUAUGUCUUGUGGAAUAGUCAGUAGACAAUCAUAAUAAUUCAAUUGUUUUUCUGGUGUUAAAAAUGCAGACUUAAAGAAUCAAGAAACUUAAUAAUAUCGUAGAAUUGCAAUUUUAAUCGAAUCGGCAUCCAAAAAAUCGUAGAUGAAUCAAAUUGGGAGAAAAGCAUAUCGCCCCAGCCCUCGCCUCAAAGUCACACUCCAAUUAUUAUUUUUUUUUUUUUUCACAAUUCAAAGUGUUAUCAGUGGUCUAUAAAUUGUAAUUAUGAAGUUUUUAGCCAAAAUCAUGUUACCUGUGUCAUUUUCAAGGGCUUUUCUUCAGCAAAGCUCCAGUAGAUCAUUAGCAAUUUGCCUCUGAGUCGUGGGCGGACACUAAUGUCUUCAGGGAAACAAUGAAAGCUUAUAUCAUAAUUAGCUUUUCUACGAGCAUUGCAAUCUGCUGACGCACAUGCUUGUUACGCGAUGGUCCUCUUUAUUUGGCCGAGUCUGGCCUGCAUAGCAGGGCUCCGGGGGCGGAGCUUGGAUUUGUGAUGUAGGAAAUCUCACUGUGUCUGAGCCUGCUAGAGAUUCACCGCGAUUUGAAUGCAGAAAUUCUCAGAAAUGCAAUUUUUUACUUAUUUUCUCAUGAUAUGUCCUGUAGCAUCAGAAAAAUGCCAUACGAACAUGUAAAAAACAAGAAAAACAUGAUUUUUUCUGGAGCCAGACUUUGCCACAGGUGCGGGUCUUUCCAGCUUCCUCUCAGCUGUCUGAUGUCCUCACUUCCUCUCUCGCUCUUUCUGUCAUCUUUGAUCAAAGCUGCUCAAGGUCACAAAGAGCCUGAUGGUCGGAUGCAGCUCUCUGUCUGUGUCUCUGCUCCCUCUAUGUCUACUCUAAAAAGCUGACAGGCUUUUAUUGAUCUCUGGUGUUCAGAGGAUUUUUCCUCAAAUACACGACGGUCGAAGAGGGGGCACGGUCCGAAAAGCUUGACAUGGGCAGGUGUGUGAGAAUGAGUAUUUAAAGAGCUGUAGGAUCUAGAUUUGAUGGACUCUUUGUUCAUACUGACAAAAUAAGAUGUAGCGCCUAUUUGGUCAUUGAUUUUGAGCCAGGUCAGCUCAGACUGUCCAACAAAAUAUUGUCUCCAAAGCUCAUGUACAAGCUGGAUAAAGGACACACAUAAGGGUGGUGCUCUAAAGGUUGGCAUGUGAGAUCUUUUAAGACUAUAUUCAGAUUUUUAAAAAAAGUUAUUUUAUCACAGAGUGAGAGUCUUUAAACGAACACUGACAACUUCCAAGAAGACAGGCACAGCGGGGAGCCUCAGCGGCUUUAUGAGAGAAAGAAAAUCCAGCUGAAGAAAACUGAUUUCCUCACAGCUUGAAAUAUGUCAUCCAGCUUUUUGUCAUUUUUCACUGAUAAACAUAAAGUGAUAAAGCCUGAUGGAGAUUGUUUUUACUGUGAAAUCUUAAAUUUUAUGUCUUAACAAACUGAUACUUUUAUCUUUGCUGACAUUUGGACCUAAAUUGAAAUUACACUCCAAAUACUUUUUCCUCUGAGGAGCAGAGAGAUAAACAGUUUUGACUCUGCUGUCAUGGAAUUGGUGUUUUACUUUCCAUAAAAAGAUAAGUAUUAUCUCACCGCUCGGACACAAUAAAUGCUGUAAGGCGUAAAGACAUGAUGGACCUCAAAAACAGGCGCGUGUGGGAGGAUAACAAUGGAACCAGUCAAAGAACGGGUUCAGCCAAAUGUUAUCGUUGUCUGUGUUGUUGAUCUCUCUGUGACAGGAUGUUUCACAGAUUUUAUCUGAUUCUUAUCCCCUCCUGGGUCCUCCUGUAUCUGUUUUUCUGUCUCCUCUGCUGAGGUUUAGAUCCCUGCUGACCUUUUGUACCAACAAUGAAAUGCUGCAGUCAUUCAUCCUGCAUGUCUCAAUUCCUCACACCUGGUUAAAGGCUCGCUCUGGUUUACAUGGAGUUUGUGUGUAUGUGCAAUUGUGCAAAAAUGCCUACUGUCUGUCUCAUGCUUCAAAUCUGAUGGUCUGAUCGCUAAAUCUUCUCAGCAGUCAUUAAAUAUCAGAUUAAAAUCUCUGUUUUCUCUCAAAGAAAAGCCCCUUCUCCAUUUAAAGGUAGGGUUGGUAAUCACUGCAAACUAGCAUGAAUUUGAAUGUAGCAUCUCCACAGGACUUAGCCCUUUCCCCCUUUCCUUGGAGCUCCUCCAAAACAACACCCCCGCUAACAUGCACAGACGCUGCUGUCUGCUGACUCAAAACUUUGGGACUUUUAGAUCGGGAAGUCUUUGCACGGCAGGGACAAAGAUGGUAACGUUAGCAUCCGGAUGACCACGUAAUUAGCAACAUGGCUAAAUACUUGAUCAAGAUUCAAAAUCGCCCUGAAACAAACUCUCAACAUACCUUUCCAACAGAAAAUGAGCGACCAUGGCAGCACUUUGAAAGCCCUUAACCUCUUUCAGUUCUCUCCAUCUCUAAAAAGCUGUCUCAAUAUUGACUUUCGUUUUCGCCUUUGCUUUCUCCAAACUCUAUCCUGCUUCGGCCCUCUCUGCCUCCAACUUUCUUUUCUUGCUCUUUUAUGGAGGAGGAGUUGUCAGCAUUAAUCCGGGUAUAGGUAGUUUCUCUGCCAUUCUCCAGCGUAAGUGUUUCGCUCUCAGCUCGGCUAUGCGCAUUGAAUCAGGGCUAGUGUACGCCGGAGACAUGUACGUGCAGGAGGUGAGCACGGGAUUUGAUUGGUUUAAAAAUGUGGGACCCACAAGAUGUGAUUGGUUGGUGUUUUCCCAGUUUUACUCCUGGUAUUCUGCCCUCACUAUAUGUUGGCUCCAUGUAGCUUGACAGAUAGCUAACAGUAAACAAUGAGGAGUAGUCUUUUUAGUCUUUUUUUUGUAAGACUGAAAUGACAAAUAAAAAUAAAUAUUACAAAAUGUAACGUCUAUUGUCCUUAGAAAACGACAGAUAUAUAGUAACAUACAUUCAUAUAUAUACACUCACCGGCCACUUUAUUAGGUACACCUGUCCAACUGCUCGUUAAUACUUAAUUUCUAAUCAGCCAAUCAUAUGGCGGCAACUUAGUGCAUUUAGGCAUGUAGACAUGGUCAAGACAAUCUCCUGCAGUUCAAACCGAGCAUCAGUAUGGGGAAGAAAGGUGAUUUGAGUGACUUUGAACGUGGCAUGGUUGUUGGUGCCAGAAGGGCUGGUCUGAGUAUUUCAGAAACUGCUGAUCUACUGGGAUUUUCACGCACAACCAUCUCUAGGGUUUACAGAGAAUGGUCCGAAAAAGAAAAAAUAUCCAAUGAGCGGCAGUUCUGUGGGCGGAAAUGCCUUGUUGAUGCCAGAGGUCAGAGGAGAAUGGCCAGACUGGUUCGAGCUGAUAGAAAGGCAACAGUGACUCAAAUAACCACCCGUUACAACCAAGGUAGGCAGAAGAGCAUCUCUGAACGCACAGUACGUCGAACUUUGAGGCAGAUGGGCUACAGCAGCAGAAGACCACACCGGGUGCCACUCCUUUCAGCUAAGAACAGGAAACUGAGGCUACAAUUUGCACAAGCUCAUCAAAAUUGGACAAUAGAAGAUUGGAAAAACUUUGCCUGGUCUGAUGAGUCUCGAUUUCUGCUGCGACAUUUCGGAUGGUAGGGUCAGAAUUUGGCGUCAACAACAUGAAAGCAUGGUUCCAUCCUGCCUUGUAUUAACGGUUCAGGCUGGUGGUGGUGGUGUCAUGGUGUGGGGAAUAUUUUCUUGGCACUCUUUGGGCCCCUUGGUACCAAUUGAGCAUCGUUGCAACGCCACAGCCUACCUGAGUAUUGUUGCUGACCAUGUCCAUCCCUUUAUGACCACAAUGUAUCCAACUUCUGAUGGCUACUUUCAGCAGGAUAAUGCGCCAUGUCAUAAAGCUGGAAUCAUCUCAGACUGGUUUCUUGAACAUGACAAUGAGUUCACUGUACUCAAAUGGCCUCCACAGUCACCAGAUCUCAAUCCAAUAGAGCAUCUUUGGGAUGUGGUGGAACGGGAGAUUCGCAUCAUGGAUGUGCAGCCGACAAAUCUGCGGCAACUGUGUGAUGCCAUCAUGUCAAUAUGGACCAAGCUCUCUGAGGAAUGCUUCCAGCACCUUGUUGAAUCUAUGCCACGAAGAAUUGAGGCAGUUCUGAAGGCAAAAGGGGGUCCAACCCGUUACUAGCAUGGUGUACCUAAUAAAGUGGCCGGUGAGUGUAUAUAUAUAUAUAUAUAUAUAUAUAUAUAUAUAUAUAUAUAUAUAUACACCAACAGAUGUACAUAAACCUGUUUGAGGCGACGUGCCACGACUGAUGGGCAGAUUUAAUGCUAUGUCGGCAGAACAAAGCGCGAUUACAGCGAGUUUAACCCAUAAAAACUACAUCAUCACAAACAUGUUAAACCGUAUAACAUAAAAUAAACACAUACACAGCAAAUUGACAAUAAUGCUGUAGCGUUUUAACUUACAAAGAUUUUACCUGGUGCUGUAUCGAAGCAGACAUGCAUUGUGUGAUUUCUGUGUUGAAAUGACCAUAGUCGGUCCGUUCUUCAAAAUGGUCUGACUGGGAACUUACUCAAAAACGCCGGAGGGUUUACCUGCUGUAGAUAGCGGUUAUGUUUCGCUCUUUUAUAAAAACAAGUCAUGUAUUGCCAUCAGAACAUAAAGAUAAUUUUAACAACAAUAACAAAAAGUGUAACUGAAUCAGAUUACCAACCCUAACUUUAAAUCACCUGACUGUGCAAAAUGUACAUGUUGCUGAAGGGCUGCAGAGUGUGUUGGCAUCUGAUAUGGCACAGCAUGUCAUGCAUAUUGGGUCAAGAUGGAGAAAUCAGGUUAACACUUUGCAGCAGCUUUACUCCUAUGAGUAACGUUGCUCUUUGCUACUUUACAACCUUUUCAUCUGUCUUUAUCGCGACUGUUUUAUCUAAUUCUUCAGCCAGCUGCUUUCACCCUCCGGCAGCUACUCCGACAACUUCCCAUCUUUGUUGAAGCUGAGGUACUUGUUCCUACAUCAGCGCCUCCUCCCUCUGAGCCUCGUACAAAAUUGGAUUCCUGAUCCACCGGCGCUGAGUGGCAGAGAUGUAAUUUGAGAUAGCAGCAGCUGCAUGUUCUGAUGCCUGAGACAUCUGACCGACCACAGAUGAUGCUCGGCUGCUUGUUCUCAUCUCGAGACUGGAAAUGCUCUCAGCAAAUCUCAUGACACUUAAAGGAGAACACACUACUGAACAACAGCCAGAAUACACAAGGCUGGUGCGGCACAUUUCACCCCACAGCGUGUUGAGGGUUGUUAGAUUUGACCACCUCUCUCUCUGCUGUCAUUGUAAAUCCUGGGGUGAUUUACGGUGACUGACAUCUUGGCUUGUUAUUGCAUCUCUCACACCUCUGCACCCUCAUCAGAGGUGAGAGGUUUGUGUCAAAGAGGAAAGUGAUACUUCACACAGUGAGUGUAUGGCAAUUAACAUGCCAUACAGGCAAACUAAACAGGUGGCUAAGUUUUUAUUGGGAUGGAGGGACCUGAAAGUGCAAAUAUUUUUAUUCCCCUCAUUUUGAUUCAUCGUGAAACAGGAUGCUGCUCUUGGUUUAGGGCUGAUCUAGGGAUGCCAGAAGAUGAGGACACUGUUAACACCAUCUUCUCACACAUGAGGCUAAAACUUACAGCCAGAGACCUCACCAAGCAUGUUUGGUAUUAACACUCACUCUGGAAGGGAAAGUUUUCUGAAGUUUGAGGUUAAGUCAAACUUCUAUAAACAAACAGGAUCGAAGAGUCUGUUGACAAAGGAAAGGUGCUUUAUGCAUGCAGUCUCCAUCUUUGAUACCAGGUAAUAUUAGCUGCGUUUACAUGGGCACAAAUAAUCGGAAUAAAAGCCCGAUUGGAAUAAAAAUGCACCAUGUAAACAUGUCGAUCGGAAAAUUCUGAUCCAAUUCGGCUCAAUCGGAAAGAAAUUGUAUUCCGAUCGAGAGGGGUGGUUUAUGUCGAUAAUUAUUCCGAAUGUGUCCAUGUUGCCAUAUAUUCCGAUUGUGACUUCCUAACCUGACUUGAUCUUCACUCUUUGGCCUUUGGCUUAUUUAUUGAGGUCAGUUCAUAACAAAGAUAACAUAACAUAACAAUGCAUCCAUACAGCGUAAUGAUGUCACAUCUGCACGCACAAUGCAACCUUUAAAAGAACAGUAAAAAUAAGUACACAAGAGUGUCAUCUAGUGACAACAUUUAACAGGGGGAAAAUCCUGAAUUAGAUGAAGUGAGCCACUAACGCGUUUGUUGACUGCACAGGCGUUAAUACAAUUAUUCUUCUGUGGUUGUUUUAGCAAAAUUAGACAACUCUGCGCAUGUCCAAAUGCUUCUAAUCUGAAUAAAGUUUGUUGCAUAUAUGCAUACAUCAUGAUCGGAUUAUUUGAUUUUGCAACCAUAUAAACAGUGGAUUCAGAUAAUCCGAUCCCUCAAAUCGGAUCAAGAAAUUUAGCUCAUGUAAACACGGCUGUUGACAGAUUAUGUUCAAGUGUCUUUGACUGUGUGAAACUGCUCUGUGAUGCAGUCCUGGAAUGAUUUUGCAUUUUGGGGUGAAGAAGACAAACACAGUUUUGGCAUUUUUGGCCUUGACUGGCCCCUGUUGGUCUUUUCAAUGCCGUCCACAAGUAUACUUUUACUUUAGUCCCUUUAAAAAUGAUGCCUCUGUUGGUAUCCAGGCCUGUGACACUCUCAGCAUCAGUUACAUGCAAUAAAACAAACUGUUUUCUUGUUUGACGACUGAUUGAAUGAAUUUUUCCCUCAAGUAGAGAGGUUACGGACGAUUGCCCUCAGAAGCUGCCCGAGGCUGAAUCCUGACUCCUGGUUUAAAAUGAGAUGUUUACUCCAUUACUCUUAUUUCAACAAAGUAGACAAAAAGAGCUCUCACUUGCUUUGAUUGCAAACACGUAUUGAUAGCUUUUGCUUUGAAAUUUCUUCGCUUCACUUCGCUCGAUGAGGUUUUUCAGUUGGACGCUCUGAAAGGAAAAUAAGCAAACUUUAGAGAGGAUGUAAUAAAAUACUUGGAACCAGAAUCAUUAGCCGACUCUGAGCUCCUCUUCCUCCUUGAGCUGAUAUGAUUUUAUGUGCAAACUGCAGGAUAAAGUUAUCAUAAAUUGUUUGAGGAUGUCUUGCUUUUUUAAAGCUCCUGUUAGGAUAUUUCAGUUAGGGUCCACCUUAGCGCCCCCCUGUGGACCAAGAAGUCUUUACAUGUCUUGUCCACAAAAUUCUUAAACAGUGUCUUCUGACAAUAAUAAACAUUGGACAGACAAACGGGUCAUUUAUUGUGAAAAUUUGAAGAGGAAAUUUUAAAGAAAAGGGCUGUGUCUUUAGCUGCUCAGUCAUUAAAGAUUAAAAUAUGAACAUUUCCACCAUAUUGCUGUUUUUUUUUUGUUUUUUUUUGUUUUGGAUAUCAUAGAAAAACAAAAAUAUGUCUUUUAGUCUUUUUCAAUCAUGCAGUAUUUUGUAGUCUGACUUUAACUUGGAUUAACUAACUGCUGCAAGCUCAAAAUAAGUGAUUUAACUACUAUCUAGAUGUAAUUAUUAACUCUAAAGUCCGUGAGAUAAAAUACUAAAAUUCAAACAGAAAUAUCGACAGAGACUACACAGUUUGUAUUCCUCUGUAUUUCUGCUGUAAUAACAAUCCUGCCAACUUUACAGCAACCGCAAUCAGAUGACACACUUCUGGGAAAUAACAGCUGAUAAUGUUUGAAGAGGAGGAUAAAACCCCGGUCUAAAUUAGUCUGCAAAUUAGAAAGAAAUGAAUUGUUUGUUCAGCAAAAUAUUUUAUUGAGUCUAGAAGCAAAACAACCCCAAAAUAAGAGUAAAUAAUCAGAAUAUGAUUACUGCAUUUGAUUAAUCUGCUGCUUUGUUGUCUGGUGUGGAUCAGUAAAACAUUUUUCACAUAAACCUUCAUUUGUUUUGAUAUUGCUCUGUAAAAAUGAAGCUGCGUUCUCUUUAGUUAACAGCCAUAAUUUGAAUUAUCAGAGUAUUAUCAUAAUUACAUUAAUCUGCUCUACAGUUUAGAAAGGCAGAUAUUCAUAAAUUACCUUGAAAAUGUAAGUCUUCUCUGAGCUUGUCUUCAGUCGUAUAAUGCUCAGCCCAAAAGAGGGGAGAAUAGGACCUAUUUGAUAGAAACAAAGAGGUGGGAUGUGAUUAAUUCCAGGUCAUAUCUUCUGCCAGUAUCAUCUCUGACGGAUUCACCAGACUGUGGCAACAAAAAAAGGAGCAGCCUUUUAAUCAGUUAUAAUCCUAGAUCAGCGCUUAAGCAGGAUUGUCUCUAAAUAGAGCGAUUGUUGUCACUUCUCAGCAUGUUUAUGCGGCUCACAGACAAAAAGGUGAAACAAAUCAAACAAUGAGCUUGUCUUUUGUCAUCUAUUAAUCAUAUAAAUUUGGCUUCACAAGAGUGUUUCCUGUAUGUCUUACACUCAUCCUUUUGUAAUCUUCUUUAAUCAUCUAAGCUUUUACUUUCUGUGACAAAUCUGAGUUAAACUAAUUAAUGGAAAUAAUGUUCCCUCUAAGAAAAAAGACAACAUUUGUGAUAUUAUUCAUAACCUUAUGUUCAAAUGACAGAAAACUGUCGCUUUAAAAAUCCUGAUUAGAGCUGGAGCAGGAGAAAACAGGGACCCGUUAAACAAGAGGCGGUUUAAUAGAUUUACAAAGUUCUUUGGGCUGUUAAGUGGACUCUGCUGUUCGCCAAAGGACCCUACGCUAAGGUUUCAACUGGAAAACAUAAUGUCGAUAUAUUUAUUUGUAGAGCUGGCCUUUCUUUUGUCUUGACAAAGUUAUAAAGAUGGGGAAUCUAUUUUUAAAGGUCAGACUUUCUUUGACAGUUACUACAGCCACCUGUUUAGUUUGGCGUUAUUGAAUUUAAUUGAAGUGUGCUGCAAAAAAGUAAAUCAGAUCAAAUCUCCCUAUUCUUCAUCAACUUUUACCUGAAUCAGAUCAAGGACAAACUUUUGUACGAAGAGCACAUUGCACUAAAAGAUUAAGAUCACGAGAGUCUGCCUUGACUUUGCAAAACUCUUACGAUUUUAUCCCAACCUUAGAAAUCUGUCCAUGACUUUGAAACUGCUUGAAAAGUUGUCUGGUGAAAGGCCAGCUCGUGUUUAGUUUGUAAUCACUACUCUGAAUAAAGUUUCAACCUCGGCGACAUCUGCCAAACUUCUGAAAGCCUUUUAUUGUCAACUUUGGACACAGGAUUAGGACCUUGAAAUUACUUUUGCCAUCUGUGUGGAACAGCAUUAGCAUUUAAAGAACGGGCAAUUGUGGACCAAAUCAAGAGAAGCUCAUUCAAAGCGUUAUAAAAGGUGGCUGCAGACAGACAGAAAAAAAAACCCUCCUACGGUUCAAGUAAAGCUGUGUUUAUUCACCUGCUACAGUCGAGUUCAUGGUUAUUUCUCACUUUCUUUGAGGGUCCUCUGUGUCUAAUGAUCCCAGCAUGUCCCUUCAGUGUAUAUCUUACCCCAAACAGAAAUGUGUGGACUCCCCCCACUGAGCUCACAAAAGUACAGAGCCGCACUGACCGCUUCAUCUUGUGAGAUAAACCAGUCUUUCAGUCCCCCUAUCAAACCCUGAGGGAGCAGAGCUGGAGCUCCAGCACUGAAACCUCAAAGGUUGGAGCUCUGCCAUAUUACACAUGUGGCUGCUCAUGCAUGGCUUUCUGUGCACUGUUUGGCUCAUGAAGUCUCCGCUAGAUGUCUAUAUACCUGCAGGAGUAGUGUCACUUACGGGGAAAUGAACUGCACAUAUCUGCAGAAUGAAAUAUUAAAAAUCAUUAGGCAUGUUUGCGCACCUCGGGGAGCGGUUUCGAAAGGUCAGUGUAGCAUGCAAAGUUUGCUUUUCCUCUCUAAAUGCAACUCUGAAAGGUGAUGUGCAAUCUGCAGCCAACUGUACUUAUUUCAAGAGUUGAUGGAUCUGCUCAUUGUAUGCUGCUGCAGCUCUGCACAGACAGUUAAUUAUACCCACACCAAGUCUGAGACAUUUCACCCUUUGAUGAUACAACUAUCAAAAAAAAUCAUGCAUGGCUGCUUGAUUCUGUUACGUCUUCACAAAAUGUACACCAGACUUCUCAUGAAGAUAAUCCUUAAAGACAAUACACUGAGAUUUAAUUUUUCUCAUUGCACAUUUGAGCUUCUAAAUCUAAUUAAAAUCAUCAAUGCAUGUGGAGUAAUGACCCCUCAAGAGUGCUUGUAUCUCCUUCUUCCAGGAGUUACUCUUCAUAACAAUUGACUUCAAGGGGGUGAUAGGAUGUGAGUAAUGUGUGUAGGUGUGAGGUUGUGGUCAAAUAUGGAUAUCAGGAGGAGGAGGAGGGCAAAAUGUAAACACUUGGUAUCAGAAGUUUGCAACUUUAAUCCUCUAAAUAUUGAACAACAGCAGCUAACUUGAUAUGGAAGAUAUUAAAAAGAUGAUUAAUGAUAAAACAGUUGUACAUUCUUUACAUGAAAUAAAGAUUCACACUCACUCUUCAUUCUAAGAUGAACUGGUCAUGUUAGGACAGCAGCAUGUAUAAACACUGUGUGGCUACUUAAACUUAAAGGGAUAUUCCGGCAUAAAAUUAAGUUAGGGUCAAACACACUGUAACACCGAGUUAGACACCCCCACGAGAGAUGGAUGUUGCCGACCGCUUGCUCUCUAGUCAUACCAACUUUACUAACGACUGCACGAUAAUACACAGCAGUUUACUUUUCCACACACCUCAACCAAAAAGCCACUCUAUAGCCACAAAUAAUGAUCAGAACAGCACCUAACUUCAUCAACAGGACAUAUUAGGCCUGGGCGAUUUGGCAAAAAAAAAAAAAAGAUCAUGAUAUAUUUUGUCAAAUCGUCCGAUCUUGAUUAUUAUCACAGUUUUUUUUUUAAUUGCCAGUUUUAAAGUAUCUGUACUAAAAACUAUAGAAACUAGAGAUUAGUUCAACAUUUUAUUAACACACAAAGUAAAUAACAAAGCAAAUUGAACAAGAUAAACUUGGAAAAAUCUAAAAACCAUUUUAACUCAACAGUACAAAUACAGAGAUACAAAUGUAGAUAAAUACUAGAUAAUACAGUGAAUUAGUUUACAGUCCUGAGUGUUUUUGCAGGUGUGCAAGACCCAAAAAUAAACAAAUUGCCCCCUCAGAGAUAAUGACGACACCUUUAAAUGUAAACAUUAGAUUAUGUAAAUAUUAGAUGAUAUGAUUGAUUGCUGCUUUGGUCUGGUGGCUGCACCGCUAGUUGGAGCUAAACUGCUAAUGCUACUCGUACCGUCAGCAGUGACAGGCUGUGCAGACUCCGCUCGCAUUUUCAUGCUUUCCACAUAAUCACUCGGGAAUUUCCAUAUUUCCAUGAAGAAAUGAUCAUAAAUGUUCUUCCUUGAGUUGCGUCAACCCGUUGCAGUUGGUGAUCGACUCGUCCGAGCUCUCCCUAAAAACAAGCGGCUGCUGGAAGAGUUGGUGAGUUGUGUUUGUGUCUCUUUGCUAAAGAAAUUAGGCAAAGCUAAAAAGAAGUUUGGUGGCUAGUGCUAUGGCUGGGACCCUAUAUGUACUGUUGAUGAAGUUAAAUGCUGUUCUGAGAACUAUUUGUGGCUAUAGAGUGGUGUUUUGGUUGAGGUUUCUUUAUGGCUCCUCAGACCGCUGUGUGUUGCUAUUGUGCAGUCGUUACUAAAGUUGGUAUAACCUAUAACUAAGCAGUCGGCAACAUUCAUCUCUCGAGAGGGUGCCUAACUUGGUGUUAUGGUGUUUUUGACCCUAACUUAAAUUUACACCUCAAGGCUCUGUGCUUUAAGUAUCCACUGCAUAUUUCCCAUGAUUCUCAGCUCUGCCAUAUGGUUGUCUGGUUCUUCUGCCAACACAUCCCUGCUCUUGGCUCUCGAACUGCAUUCAUUGUAAAAUGAAUUUAAAAAAUUCCCCACACUACACUCUUGGCAAAGCAGACAAUGUAUUCAUUCAUAUUGUAACAUCAAUAUAAAAUUACAUUUAUUCUUUAGUGUUAAAUGGCUCUCUGCCCAGAUAGCUCUCACUUACCGCUGCUCACAAACAUUGUUUUAAAUUUUCCUCAGUUUAAAUCACAGCCAAGAUCUAGACAGUCGUAUCUGUAUCUCUGAGGCUGCUGCUGCUGCUGCUGCUGUGACAGGUUCUUCUAACACUCCCCACAUAUCAGGCAGGGGUCAUGACCUUGUGCAGACCUCUGUCUCUCACUGUCCAGACAGAGCCAGUGGAGGCCAACAUGGUCGCUGACGUGCUCCACUGGGAGGUGUUUGCAUGACAUAAAGACGUCUCCACUGCUCACAUGCUGGUCAUCUCUUAGAAAUGUUACUCCUGCUGCUGUCGAGUCCCACGUAUGCACACAACUUCUGCCAAGACAGACGAUGAAAACAUCCACAUGGAAACAUAUACCUGCAUCCAUCCUAUCCUGAUUUGUAUGAACAUAUACCUCCAUCCCUAUAUGAGUCUAACCUUGAUCAUUUUGUGAGGUGAGAGAUAAUGAGCAAAUUGUUUAAGGCAGGUACAGCCCUAAAGGAAAACACCAGAGUCAGUGCUGCAAGUUAAUGAGGAGCUGUCUGUACAGAGAGGAAGGUGACACAUGGCUGGAGAGGAAUACAGUUAAGUUCAUAGAGCGGAGGAGGAAAAAUGCUCAUUAAAACAAAUAGAGUGCUAUAAAAAAAAACAACUCCUCACCUUGAAAACAGUGUGAGUGUUCUCUCUUGGAGUCUCCAGGGCCCUUGGCUGGGAUUUUUCUGAGUGAAUCAUUUCAGUUUUCUUUUGUCUGAAGUCGACAGGUGGAGCUGGACAGAAACACCUGACGGACUAUUUUUCACUCUUACUAUUUUACCUUGAGGGGUUUCUCUUUACUUUGUCUGCCUCCCAGCACUUAAAAACCAUCAGAUAAAUUUCAGUAUAAGAUUAUAAAGUCAGUGACACUUGCUGAACAAGUCGAGAUAUUGAGAUUUCAAAGUAAAAAUGUCUUUAAGUUGAGCACAAUGUCAGCUCUUUUUGACAUUUCAAAGACUAAAUUGAUUUACAAUUAUUUAAAACUUUCCCAAGAUUAAAGGGUGAGUCUGUAUAAUCCAGAAUUUCUCCUGAUCAACUUGAUAAAGCUGAAAUUGUCUGCACUGAAUUUCUCUCUCCCUGUGUCGACACAGCUGUUGAAUUGCAUGAUGGGAGCUUGAUGAAUGGUCUGGCAGGUCAGGUAGGAUAAUAGAACUGAGGGAUGGAGGGAUCUGCCAGGAGGACAAAUCAGGGGCCUGCUGACCAGGUCUUUUCUAUUAACUCAGGGGUCAGAGUGAGGCGAGCGGGGGGAAUCGGGCUCUGCUCUGCCCUCUCUCUGCCUGCUUGUCAGACCAAAGCGUCCAAACUGCCGAGAGGCGAGUAAUGAGAGUAAUGCUCACGGGUCCAGUGGUGAUUGACCCUGUGUUUUCAUCAGCCUGGGCUCUCCUGAUAACAUUUCUUACCCACUACAAGGCAAAAUAUAAGAGGUCUGGUGCAAAGAUGGGCUUCGUUUGGUUUGGUGGAGUUUCAUUGACUUCAUUCCUGCACACACAUUGUCACUCGGCUUUUCAUUUUCUUUUUGAAAUUACUUUUUUUUUUUAUUUCUUUGUUCCCUGAAACAGAUAUUUUUUGUAUUUACUUUAGGUGUGAAACUUUUGUUCAGAAAUUUAUUUUCUCACUUGACUGAACACAAUGUCUGAUUCAUUAAAAGUUAAGAUAAACACACUCGCAGAAGGAAGGUUCUCAGUCUGUAUGGAGUCCUGCUGAGGUCAAACUGUUUUUAGGAGGUUUGCUGAAUAUAAUAUUUGUGAUUAAUUGCCUUCUUCUCCUGAUAACAGUAUAUUUUUAGUCAACCAAGAAUUUCUUUGGCUGUUUGCAGCCCUGGUAUUUAAAUGUUUACCGUGGGCAUGUAAUGCAUUAAAACCAACAAAAACGUCUCCUGCUGUCAUGGUGAAAUCCCAACAGGAAGUCCACAACUUUUAGUUGAAUGUCUGGUUUAAGUUUUGGUGCACACUUCGGUAAAGAAAGAGGUUUUGUCCUAUCAUCCUGUAAUCUUCAGGUCAGUGCAUUGCAGACUCACUGAAGAUUCAAAGUUAUCACUGUUUGCCAUGAAACAGGAAGUUCCUAUAGCUAGGAUGACCCUAUUCUGAAUCCCCAAAAAGGGGACACGACUACAUGAGGGCGGAGUCACAGAGUUGCACAAAGUUAAUUUUGAGUUUUUGGGUUGGAUUGAGUGACUUUUAUGUGUUUCUAACUCAGUAAGUUCAUGUGACACAAACUCAAAACUUCCGUAGAUACAUUCCAUCCAUUUGGAGCGGCAGUAGCUCAGGAGGUAGAGCGGUCGUCCAGUAAUCAGAAGGUUGGCGGUUCAAUUCCCCCCUAUCUCUAGUCUGUCCGUUGUGUCUUUGGGCAAGACACUCAACCCACCUUGCUCCCAGUGUGUGUCCUCCACUGGUGUAUGAAUGUGAGUGUUGUGUAGUGGUGGUCGGAGGGGCCGUAGGCGCAAAAUGGCUGCCACGUUUCCGUCAGUCUGCCCUACUAAGGUAGAUUACCACCACCAAGGUGUGACUGUUGAGCGAAUGAAUGAUGUAUCCAAUGUAGAGCACUUUGAGGGUCUCUGAUGAAGCGCUAGUAUGACAUCUGAUGUAUUAUUAUACAAAACCCCAGACAUUUGAAGUAUUUUAUAAACUUCCCUGGACAAAGCCAGACAAGGUCCGACAGCCCCCCCCCAAAAAAGAGGACAUGUCCGGGUAAAAGAGGACGUAUGGUCACCCUACUAUAGCUCCUUUAUAUAAUGUUCAACAUGUGUGAAAAUGUAUAUUCAUGUUCAAUGUCCAUCCCUUAACACAGCUACAGUACAUUCAGAUUUUUCAACCUGUGAGAAUACUUAUUUACUCCAAAUUGCAGAGGUUUCAUGCAAGUCUAAACCUCAACUUAUCUACAUACAUUAAUUCCCAUAACCCUCCUGAAGCAGCUUACAAGCUAAUCUGUUUGAUUAAUGCACAGUUGUUAUCACAGUGCAGUGUUACAGCUAACUUUAACAAAGCCACAGCCCCAAGGCAGGACAACAAUACUCACUGUGCUCAGGAAUACACAUUUAUGCUGACAGUCCCUGUCUGAGCACAUCUCCACAUUUUACUCAGACUGCACACCCAAUAUGCAAAAAGGUGUGAGGGCCCACUGUGGCUUUGAAUCUCUGUGUUUUAAGUUGGAUUUCUAAUUUGUAAAUACACAAGACCAUGAUAUGUUAAACAGUAAUCACAGAUUUGAGUUUUAUGCUCUGCAAGUCUCAGUGUUUCCUGCCAAAGCCCGGGACUGCUGCCGGCUCCAGGGGUUGGUUGGGGACGGAUCGUCAGUUCAAACCUUGGAAUAAGGCCGCCUUGCCAAGCAGCGUUAAGAAAGGAAGCUCAGUCGUAAUGCAUUUACAUAUGCACAUAUGCAUGUACACACAGUGACAGAUUUUGUACACCCACUUAUUCCAACUGAUGUGAGUGAUGUCGGUAUUUCAUCAUCCCCGCUACACUGAGUGAAUGUAAGCAUGUACUACACACACACACACACACACACACACACACACACACACACACACACACACCGUCCCAGCUGGCUCUGAUCAGCUUGUUCAGCAUCCAAUGCUAAUGAGACAGCUUGGCUGACUCGGCGUACAUCGAAUAUACCCUCGCCUUCAUAUUUGAAUAAUUUACAGACACAAACAUAUCUUCAUAUUAAUUGGCUUAAAUAUGAAAUAGACUUAAGUGUUAUUAUAAAAGUUUAAAAAGAUAAAAGAAAGCUUCCUGUUUUAUUUUCUUCAUGUCUCCUGCUGUGCAUCGAGGAUUUAGCUAAAUUCUCCAUGAAGCUCCCCAGUCCACAAUUUGGAUCUUUAUCCGUGAGGCUUCGAAAUUCAGAAUCCUAGCAUAACUGAUUUUUAUAUGUGUGUGUGUGUGUGUGUGUCUAAACUGUUUCCAAAUCUGCAGCGAUGCCAGCUCCUUUCCACACUCCGCUAAACUUUUUUUUUUUUUCUAAGUUCUCUACCAACUGUGUGCCAGAAUUAAUCAACACUUUCUUUCAACAGAAACUUCUCGGUGACGGUUCAAAAAAAAAGUUUGGAUUUGGAAAAGAACUCGAGAGAAAUGUUGUUGGCGAGAAGUCAUUUGGUUUGAUGGUAUGCUUUAGAGUUAAAUCAGCUAUGAAAUGAGCAAAUUUAAAGGAGGAUGAUUUAAGUUUGAAAUGAUUCAUUCUGGUAUAUUUGAAAGAACUCAUAACCUCUUUUUUUAGGUUGUCUUUUGGAGAAGGUUCCUCUGAAUUAGGAGCAAUACAUGUAUGCAUGUUCUUUUACGCAUGCACAGGCUUCUCCACCUAAAUCAUCCAAUUCCACAGCAACUGUUUUAACCUUUGAGACUGAGAUCUAUUCAUCGUCGAUGAGAAUUAGCACCUCUUCUCAUGAGUCCUCUUUCUCACUAUAUUUCCCCAUCCUUUCCUGACUGUUACACUAGCAGAGCUGGUUUAGCCUUUGGCCCCUCGGCAGACUGCUGGGCUAUUUCUGGAGCUUGGAGAGGGGAGCGUUUGAGGAAAGGAGGCUCUUGCCCACUUCAGCUUGUCUUCCGAGCAUCGCCUCAGGGUAGACAAAUGCUAAGCUGAGAGUGUAAACUGAAUAGAUAAUCGAGUUGACCACAGAGUGCGUUCACUUACUUUAAGAAAAAAACAAACAAACGUAUGAUCAAUUUUCUCUCAUUCUUUAAAUGCCCGAUCAGGAUAAAAAUGCGUCAUGUAAACAUGUUGAUUGGAAGAUUCUGAUCCAAUUCGGCUCAAUCGGAAAGAAAUUGUAUUCCGAUUGAGAGGGGUGGUUUAUGCCGAUCGUUAUUCCCAAACACAUCCAUGUAAACACUAAUUCCGAUCGUGACUCUCUUCCUCAAUCUUCAGUCUUUAGUCUUUGGCUUAUUUAUUGAGACCAAUGCAAGAGGUCUCAUUAUUACGCUCUGGCUUAAAACAUAACUGCAGGUGCCGCGCCUCCUACUCCGCUAACAUAACAAGGCGUACAUAUAGCAAAAUAAUGUCACAUCUACACACACAGCGCAACCGGGGGGAAAACUCCUGAAUCGGAUGGAGUGAUACUACUGCAUGAAUACAACUCUUCUUCUGUGGUUGUUUUAGCAGAUUAGAUAACUAUAUGUCCAAAUGCUUCUAAUCUGAAUAAAGCUUGUCAUGAUUGGAUUAUUUGAUUUUGCACCCAUACAAACAGUGGAUUCAGAUUAUCCGAUCCCUCAAUUUUUUAAUCUGAUCAAGAAUUUGCACAUGUAGACAUGGCUUUUGAGAGGCUGAAACAAAACGGAUCUGUUCAGAUGAGAACCUGUCCUCAAAGGGGAAUCCAAACAGGGAGCUGUUAGGUAUUAAAUCAAUGCACUUUAAGCUCCCUUUUCAUCGUGACCUCCCUUUAUUUGAGGCUGUGCUGGAAUGAAACAUCCCCUUGCCCCUCUCUGUCUUUGUACCAGAGCGGUUUCAGAUGCCAACAGUCAUAAACAAGAUGGCCAACAAUAAAGCAAGAGGCUGUUAAACUAAAACCAGAGCCAAUUCAUUUCAAAGCUGCUCCAAGGUCUCAAAGGACAGACGUGGACCCAGAUCAACCUCUGAUACUGCUACCGUGAGGCGCAUUCUUUUGAGAGAAAAAUAUGUUCUGAUCCUAAACAACGGCGCCAUCUGUACUUUAUUUCACCUUUAUUUGUUAUUCCCUGCCCUUGGUUUUUCUCCCUGAAUCAUUUGAAGUCUUGUUGACUCGCUCCGUGUUUGUGAUGGCUCCUCAGAGCGAUGCCGGAGUCUGUGAGCGGUAACACGGUGUUUGGUUUUACCUUGAGAGUUUAUGACGCAGGGCCUUAGAAACAGAUGUUUGCAAUUCCCUGACCAAUUUUCCCAUUAAAUAAAGCUUUUGAUUUAUUUUGGAUUGUUUUCUUUUUAAUGAUGAUUUAGAUUGGUAAAAUGUCAGUAAAUGAACUUGUAAAUGGCAGAAGAGCAAUUAUUGUGAGGGCCAUCUGUGAUGCGCUGGAAUGAGACUGCAGGUAGACGUCCUCCCAUUAUCUUUUUACUGCGGUAUACACCCUGGAAAGGUCUAUCACAGGGCUGACAUGUAGAGACAUGCAACCGUUCAUGUUGGAGUUACCUAGAGAAAACCCACGCAUGCACAACCUGCAGCUGUCAAUGCAAACUCCACACAGAAAGCAAAAACUUCCUUUUUCAUACCGUAUUCUGGCAACAUGCCCUAAACAGGCCAACAACUGUUGCCACGCACAAGUAGGUCAGGGUUUCCCAAAGCCCUCUGCUGCAUUUUCAAACUACGAUACGUAGAGGAGGCUUCAUGCUAAUUUUGUCAGCAUAGAUCAGGAUCUCGAAGGAGCUGGUGGGUGCGUGCCCAUCAGCGGUUGUACGCCUGCCCGGCUUCUUGGGUGUGACUGCGUGAGAGUUGUGUCAGAUGUCAGCCUCGCAGCCUGAAAGCCAAACAGCGCGGUGACAGAAAUCAGACUUUGAGUUUGAUUUGUCUUCAAAGGGAGCAAUUUAUUUUCACUCUGCAUGAGUGGACACAUCGACAACUGUGUGCUCGUCUCUGCGUGGGAGUGGGUGUGUCUGACUAAGUAAUUGCCUGUCUUUCUCUGCAACUGUCUUUUGUUUACAGAAAACAGCGUUUGUUUUUGUUCGCAUGUAUAUCUGACUCGUGGAAAAGCAGAUUGCAGAAGCAUUAACCUGAUCACCUCCUGAGCUCUGAUCUUCCUACCUGCUUCCUACAUCUACAGCAGAAGGUUGCUGUGCUCAUUGACUCUCAGAACUGCUGUUUUUGUUGGUAGACGCCUUAAGAAUAAAGAGCAGAACAAGCACAGAACCUGCUGGAGGGUUUUUUGCAAAGAUUGAGGUCACAAACCGGUCUAUCUCUGCAACCUGCAGCCAUGAAGAACAUACGCAACACGAGGCCAAUCCCUGUUUCUCUCUCAUAUUUGCAGAGAAUUCAUGCACAUGCAAAAACACACCCACCAAAUCCAUGUUUUUAAGCGCCCACUGUCACACAUAUUUGGCGACACAGCUUAUUUUACUUGGUCUGUGGUUUUACAGAAUGUGAUAACAGCUGUUUAAAUACUCACUUUGCAUACUAAAAACAUCCAAAAUGAUCAGUAUUGUUAAUACAGCAUAAAUAUUCAUUUGAUUUAACCACAAGGAUUCACUGCCAGCAUUACAGCCAGUUCAAACCAGUUAUUGAAAACAAAAAACAGCCAGUUUGUGAUAGCCUCACUGGGACCAUUAAUCAAAGUGAGAACAUUCAUUAAACCCUCAUCCUCCUUCCUCUCUCUGUCUCUGCUGCGUUGGAUAGAGAGCCGAGGAUCUUUCUAAUACAUCCUCAUUAAAGACACUCAUGUUUUUCAACACUACAAAUGCAACACCAACUUUUUUUUUUUUUGCAAGAGUUUUAGUUUCUAAUUUAUUCAAUUUCUAAAAGCAAACUGGAACCAGAGUCUGCAGAGUGAGCAGAAAUAAAUCAGUGUAAGUCACUGAGGUGUCCGCAUCUAGGUUAGCUUGAGCAGAACCCUGACGCUUUAGCAGGCGAUUCAAAAGCUGAACUAACCUUGAUUAAAACACGCAUGGAGUUUGAUUUACAUUUUCCCAUCCCCUCAUCUGAACUCCAAGUAACUUUAUUAGGAGCUGAAAUGGGAUUCACAAGAGCUGUGGAUGUUGUAAAUUUUUAAUGAGUGCAAAAUUUAUUCAAAUCACUGCAGACUCGCUAUGUGCAGGUAAUUCUCUGAAAUAAUUAUCCGCUGCACCUUUAGGCACAUGAAGCUAUUUUAAGUAGGAUCACAGUCGGUAUGUUUACAUGCAGGGUCAUGUCGAGUUACAGUUACAGCCCCUGCACCUGGUAAGACCCGAGUCAUUGACAAAAGUAGGUCUGCCUCUGCUGCAGUAAUAGUUGGACACUUGAGACGGUUUUGGUCUCUUUUGUUAUCACAUAUCAAAGGAGAUGAGCCCCUCCUGAAGCCCCAUACAUUAUAUCCUCUCCACAGUUAAAACAGGGACAAAGAAUCGCUCAUUGAGAUUAAUCAUUCCUCAUCCAUCUCCUCCAUGUAGAACACCGCCUUCAUUAAUCACCAGGAUUUUCAAGAUACAGCACAGAGGCAGGACCAGGACCAGCCUGAAAGCCUCUGCUCUUGAACUGCAGAGCUCCCUGCCACGCUAGAGGAGGCUCCACAUCCGUCCCUCUCUCCUCCUCCUCCUGACUUCCUCACUGCAAUUGUCUGUCAGAUUCUUCCUCUCCACUACCUUGCUGUGCAUCCGCUCUAGAUCCCCUGCUGUGCUAACAUCUACCUGCUAUCCAUACCCGCAUCUACCCUGUUUUCACAUCUCUUCUUUUCCUCUUUUUAUUCCAUAUCCUCCUUCUUUACUCGCCACCUCUUCUACGCUUCACCGACUUCUCCUCUCCCCCUCCUGGUUUAUCGACUCCAUUGAGAAAGUUGUCUAAUGGCUUGAUUUGCAAAUUGGUGGGUGAAAGUUUAAGAGAAGAAAGAAACAGAGAAGGAACAAAAACAGCCCACUCUUUCCAGAUUGCUCAUUUGCCUUUGACAGAUGGGGAAAGUUUGAGACGGCUGGUUUUUAUUUAAACCAUCAAAUCAGACUGUCUCCUCUGCUUUAUUACCUUCAGAAAAAAACAUGCAGCUUUAUGCAAAGCCUGAGUUUGCUUGUUGAGAAUUGAAAGCAGUGAAUACUUCGAGCAAAUUCCUUAAACAUCAUUUAUGAUGAAGAAAUGUGGAUGUAAAGAGCUUAAUGUGGAAAAAUGAAUCUGUGUAAUGCAGUGACUAUUUUCCAAUUUUACAAAAGCAUCUCAAAAAUGUAUCCUUGUUUCAUUACAAUUCUUGUCAUGGAGCAUUUUAGAAGCAUGCCGAGGCCCUUUGGGUCGAGUAGACUCAGUUACCGGUGUAUCUGAACCAGCUCGCUUGCCCCGACUAUUAAUCACUGCGCUGUUAGUUUGUCAUGAUAAAUGGUCUAAUACCUGGUGACCUAAGGGGCGCCCGAAACAGUGGGGGUGCCUUGAAACUGCAGGUCAAAACAAAAGCAGUAGUCGUCUCUGUGCCUGAAUCAAACUUUAGAGGGGGAUAUGCUAGCUGCUGCAUUAAUGUCUGAUCAUUUAUCACUGUGAUUUUAUUAUUUAAUUCCUUUAACUUUUUAAGGUGUUAUCUACUAAUACCAGUUGCACAAAAUCCAGACUGUAUUAUUAUAACACCGAGGCCCCGUUUAUACAUCCCCAGUUAUUUUUAAAAAUGGAGAUAUUAACCAUCAUUUGCAUCCUUCGUUUGUACGCAAACUGAGAAUUCGCCCCUGAAAACGAUGCUGACUAAAAAGUGUGGCGAUUUUGGAAAACUUUGUUUGCAUGUAAACAGAGAAAAACAGAGGAAAACUGAGAUUUGGGUAGCCGACAGCAGAUUGUGCACUUGAAAGAAGGAAGGGAUGUUGUUGUUGUUGCUGCUAUGCCAGAAUUUGAUUGGCUAACGUGGGUUUGAGCUUCUUGUUACACUGCCACCUCCAUGUUUGAUAUGUUCUUGACGGCAUAUUUACACGGGUUAGUGGGAACGAAAACCUCUCUAAAAAAAUUGUAGUGGUGUUAUUUGUAAACGGAGACGGUGAAAUGUCCGUUUGUGAAAUAAUCGGACACGUGUAAACCUGAUUCUUUAUGAGACAUUCACUGUCCUCCGUUUUCUUGCUUUAUAUUGUUUGAAGUGUCCUCACAGGUCUGACUCUCUGCUUUAGUGACAACCUGAUGGAUUAAUCACACCGAGUCAAAUGCUCAUGUGUUAUUUUUCACAUUGGCCAUGAAAUAAGUGCUAAUGCGUUAUAAAUGAGACGGAGUGUAAACACAACAGAUGUCAGCAGGAAGCAGUCAAUAGAGGAUGUUUCCCUCUAAUGAAAAGUGUAAUUGAAACAGAGCGAGAACUCAGUUAUCCAAAACAGGAGCAGAUGUGCAACAUUUAGAAGAAGUUGUGCGCUUGUUUGCUUAUCCGACUCAAAAGUCUCAUUUUGUCCUUUAAACUUUUAAACGCAUGCAGAGAAUCUAAUAAAUACUAAUGGCAGGAUAUUAAAUCCUAAUGACAGGACAUUAGCUGGAAUUUUCUCUCUCUCAAACCCAUUAAGCCCGAGUUUCUGCAGAGCAUCAGACGAAGCAUGUUCGUUCCUCUGUGACUGAGAAAAAUCAUAAUGGCAUGAAUCACAAUCAGGUGGUGCACUCUCUGAGCUCCUAACCCCUUAAGUCUUCAUAAUCAGUCCCAUUUAAGCCAAUGAAUGUGUUUUUAAUACUAGAUACUGCAGCUCUGGAGUAUUUGAUCACAUUUCUAGUGCAGCAGGCACUCUCCUGCCUGAUAGGAUGUUAAUAUCUGAUGCUGCGUUCCAGUUAGCUCGGGAGUCGGAUGUCGGAGCUGAGAAUGUAGCUACACCCGAGUUGACAGCAUUCCAGUUAACAAGUCGGAAAACCAAGAUGGACGCCUACAGUUACCAGUCGUUAGCUGUUGUUUAAAAUUGUCAGCUGUCGUUGGCCGUUGUCAGUGGUUGUUAGUUGUUGUUAGCUAUACAAGUUAUAAACAAUGCAUGACACAGUAUUUUACUCUUACAAACACCAUAGUACCGUGUGCGCAGCUAGACAUUGGGCAGCACAACAUAUACUACUUAUUUAAUUUCACAAAAACAAAACAGAAGAGCUAACAGAUAAUACAUUACAAGAGCUUUCACUGUUACUCUUUACUGUUGCUGCGCUGCGCUGCCAUCUUGGAUUAAGAUGUUGUCGUCAAGUCGGGGUUGGCGAGGAUCGUCCAACUUUCCGAGUCAGAAAUCUGACUUCAGGGGGGCGUUCCAGAUGAAUUUUUUGUCCCAUCUAGCAGCAUAACAUGUAAAACUGGUGUUCCUCAAGGUUCUAUGUUAGACCCCCUAUUGAUUACUCUCUAUACUUAUGAUCAGUGCCUCGAUAUAGAUCUGAAAAUAUAUGGUGAUUACUCUGGCUCAACCAAUCAUGUUCCACCUUCACGUGAGCACGAGUCUGCGUGUGCAUCCGCCUUUGUGUUGUCCAUGUUCAGUUCUGUGCUGUUGGAGAGGUGAUGUUGUGGCUAGACCUCAGAUUUUAUUCUUGGUGAAUCCUUGAUGACAGACAUGUACUUUUAAUAUACAAGCUAAAUUGUAUUGCAUUUGAAGUCUUUGAAAGGUGGCAUCAAUAUUUAUACACAAGACCUCUGAGUCAUUUCACUCUCUUAACCCUGUUUAUCCACUGAGGCUUACUGCAAAGCUCUGACCCCUGCAGUUGUCUCUAUAAAAACAGUCGCUUUACUUUUUUAAUGAAACCCUGGGAUGCAGAAGUGUUGCACACCCACUCAGUUCAUAACAAAUCCCCUCAAAGCAUGCAAUAUGUUAUCUGCACAUACCAGCCAAUUUCUUCAAACACUGCUUUUUAUUUGGAUUAUUCUCCUAUGAGUUUGUUUCGCCUAAAGAGGAGUGUGUGUACAUGCGUGUCUGUGUGUAUGUUGGUACAUAUUUCUGUAUAUGCAUGGUUGCGUGUGCCUCUCUGCAUCAGUGCUCUUGUCUUCCUGCACAAUGACAGUGUCAUCUGCUGUAAAGUGAAUGAAUUACUGAACCCUGAGCUUUGAAUUAUGCUUCAGCACAGUGUUUGCAAAUCUGUCAUGGGGCCCAGUCCACUUUUGGGAUAUAAUGUAGAAAACUUUUAUUUAAAAAAGAAAAAAAAGCUUACUGGCAUUUUGCCUAUUGGCUUCACAUUUUCUUGCGCAAAAUAAAGAGGCUUUUUGAGUUGUACUUUUUAAGCAAUUUAACCCAGUUUCCUGAGGCUCCUCUUUAUAAAGUAAGAAGUCUGUAACAUUUUCUUUUGCUCUUGUUAGCUACAGGGGUCUCCUCACCUCUCUGUCUGGAGGAGAAUGACCACCGUCACCUUCUCUCCCUCCUACCCGGCUAAUGAGGAUGCCGCUUCACCGUCUGAGACCAGAGGGAGAAUUUCUCUUUAUUUUACUUCACACAAAAACAAACAGCAUGACAUCUUGUCUCACAGAGCUGCAGCGAGCUAACAUGAGCACCCAGGGCUCUUCCUGUUCUUCCUUUGAGCCUGCUCGACUGUUUGUUUCCACUUGGGUCUGCCGGUGCCAUUUUUCUUUUUCUUUGCAUAUGUGUCUUUAUGUUUAUACUUAUCUGACCUAUGGUUCAGAGUGCAGGCAGGACAGGGCAGAGCUGUGCUGUCUGCUCCUCCAGGUCUUUUCUCGCAUGCUGAUUGGAGAAAGCAACAAAGGCUAAGUCGAUGCUUCAGAAGGACCUCUCUCUGUUCCCUCCCUCGGCUCAGUCCAGGCUGGUUGACAGCAGCUCUGAGGCUCGAGCAGCUCGGCCCAGCAGAUUGGAGCAAGGGGAAUAAAAAUCCUUUUCUUUGUGGACUAUUUUGUAAAGCUGUAAGGAGCCUCUGCUACCUUGCAGACUGAAAUCAGGGCACAGAGACACUCAAGGAGUCUUGAGGACUUCUGGUGUAGAUGAACUGAUUUUCUGGGAGUAAACUCAGACUCUUGAGACGUCUGCAAAAAUGAAUGAGGCUGUGAUUAUUAGAGGUAUGUUUCACAUUCUUUUUAGGGUGAUUGCUCCAAACACUUGACUGUAUUUAACACAGAUCUGCAAUAUUCAAUUCACAAAAAGCAUCUUUUGUACAGAGGAUAACAAAUUGCUGUCAAGUAAAGCAUGAAGAAGCCACUGAAGCUACUGGUAUUUCGUCCCUUUAGUUUUAAAAAUUAGCUGAUCUGUGGUGAAGGUGGCUGAAAAUAAUGGUCUAUCAAAUAUUUGUCUUCAAAAAGGUCUGAAAAAAUCACAUUGUGGUGCUCUUAUAUCGUACUUUAACCCUCUCUGGGUUUCUUAAAAGAAUUCUAAGAUGGAGAUUAUCUAUGUGACAUAUGCAUUGAUACUGCCGUAGAAAUACUUAUUUAUUUGUGUUGAGUUUUUUUUUUAAUUUUUUUUAUUGACAAUUUAGAUAAAAAAUAAAGUAAAAUAAAACAGCCAAUCCAAAUUUUUAUAGUUAUUUGAGAAGCGUUUUGAUUUGAGUCAAAGAUAAACAGUUUACCAGGUUUAGUCAAACUAUCCUCUAAAUUAUAGGUUUUUUUCAUAGAUAUAUAGAAUAAGUGCGGAAAGAGUAUUAUUCAAUGAAAGAUUAAGACCAUAAAAGUCCUAAUUAUAUUCUUAAAAUCUAAAAAAAAAAAAACCUCACAAAAAUGUGAUAAAAAACAGUUAUUUAUCUGAAUGUCUUAUUUCUUUAAAGCUGUUAAAUAAACUACACUAGCUUGGCCCAAUGCAUGCAACAUGGAAUGUACCAGACUCUAUUUAUUUAUUUAUCUGCUUUGUUUAUGAUAAUUAAAAAAUGAAAUUGGACGUACAUUCUUGUAAUAUGUUUUCUUAUGUUUGUUAUGUUUUCUGGCUAUCUCUCUUUUAAUAAAGUAUGUGAGUAAAUUAGAUUUUUGAAGUUAGGCCAAGUCCUAGCAGUUCACUCCUUAUUUUACAGGGGGUUUAUUUAUUGAUUUAUUUCAAAAAGGUGAUUUUAUAAGAAACCAUCCUUCAUUUUUUUUUAAUGGCAUUAAUCUGGUUUGCAUUUCUUGGAAAAAAAAUAGAAACCCCCCCACAAAUGUCCAAUAUAAUUAAUAAGUAAUGUUGAAAUAUUCUAUCCAUAUUUUUAAGUGUUUUCGUGUAUGUAGAAAUUUGGAUUAAGAUAGGAAAGAGGAGACAAGAUAAAUAAAGUGAAGUGAUUUUAGUUAAAUUAUUCCUACAUUUCUUCAAAAUAAUGUAUAAAACUGAUCUUCUCCACCAUAAUUGACUAAUUUAUUAUCUGUAAUUUAAGCUUCUAUCACCAUGCAGCCCACGGUUUCAUCAUACAGGAACAUACUGACAUGAAACACAAUCAGCCGACACAAAAGAUUGAACUUUUAAAAUCAUAAUGAGUAGAAUAAUUUUAUUUUUCAGUAAAACAAACUAAAAAAAACAAACAAUAAAAUAUUUAAUAAGAUGGAAUCAACCAAAAGAAUUUUAAUUGAAUAUCAUUUUUAAUACCCCACUUCCUUUGUUCCUUUGACACGUCUUCCUCUUAUUUCUAUUUUUCUCAUUCUAACUCGUGUUUUUUUUUAUUGUAUUGCAUUAUUUGAUAUUAAACAGAAUAUGAAUAAUGAUGAUGCUAUUGUAAUUAUUGUAAUAGUUUUUAUUAUAACAAAACAUUUUAUAUGUGAAAUAUUGUUUGGGUUCAUUUUUGUUAUUGAAUUUUUAAUUCCUUUUUAUUGGAGAUUAAAUAUUAUAUUUGUGUGCAAAUUAAAGAAAUGCACAUCACCUUUUUUUGCUGUAACUUAAGAAAAGCGCAGAAAACAUCAUGAACAUCUGCAGAUUUUGAUUGAAUUAGAUUUUAGCAUAAAGACAAAGACAGAAACUUCCAAUUCAAGAUCCAAUGACUGAAGGCCUCGCCCUUCAAUUGCAGCCAAUAACAGCGCAGUGAGAAGACCCACUACACCUUAGAGUAAAGGGAAUACAUGGAGCUCUCCCAUUGGCUACUUGAGCCCGCACCCUCUGACUCCAUUGGCUUGAUGGUUUAUACUAGAGUUACCAGGCUGAACAGCAGAGUCUGCUGUGUUUUCAUUCAGUUUGUGUGCUGUGUCGACCAAUCAGAAAGAGGCAGCUCAGGUCUUUACUGCUGCAGAGGCAAAAACCAUCCUGGUAUGUUUCAUUUCCAUUUGUAGCUCUUAACAUUCGCCAGAGUUGUCUCACAGUAUACCCCAAUGCUUUUCCAGCCUAUAUCUUCAUCUGUGUAGACUCCCCUCCAGAGAUCCUUCUUUAAAAGUAUUGAGACGUCAGCUGUUUCAAAUCCGCUGUGGCCACACUGAACUCAGCCUCAAUACACGUGCGCCAUGUGCAUUUCAUGGUCCCUGUCGUUGGUGAGGUUUUCCGGGGGGCCCUCGUUGUAUUUUAAUAAAGCAUUCAGGUGAGUCUGCACGGCUCAGAGGGGGGGCGGCCAUAGUUUGCUGGCAGGCUGAGCUCUCUGUCCCCCCCUCUUUCCUCUCGGAGCUGAUCGGACGUGAGAGCCGUAUCGGUCGCUGGAGAUUCACCAAAGCAAACCCAAAUUUACUGUAUGUUCAUUAUUCACUGUCUACGCCUGCACGGUAGUCAGCUAGCUGGUCUGCAGAAGAAAAAAACAGAUGGAUGAAAGUCAAAUCUCAGUCUUUGUGCUUGCAUGUGCACAUACGGCUCAUUCGAACUCAUGCUGCAGUGCAUCUUGGUUCAAAUCCAACAGACAUACUGUCAAAAACUGGUUUUGUUAUUGUGUUUUCAUGCUAUUCUGUAUUCAGCAUGUCGAACAACAACAUUUUCUUCCUGCUCAUUAAUUCUUUGGUGCGAAAUUCUGAAGGAUGCACCGAAAAAGUGCAUGAAUCGCCCCUUAUUUGUCAUGUACCGUUUUUUGUCUAAUCUCAUCUGCUGAAUGAAUUCAGAGCUGAUCCCCCAGUGUCAGUCAGGAGAAAGGAGGCAUUAAACGAAAGCGUAUUUCAGCCUCAUAGAAGAGGAAGUGUCAGUUUUGGUCAAUUAAAUCCUUGUUUUGAGUCUUGUGUGUUCUCAGAUCUCUUUAUUUCCACACCAAUAAGUGUCAUGAAUACAAUCAGUCUGAUCAGUAUCUCCACAAUCAGAUGUGCACACGUUCUUUUCACUCUUGACCAGAUAUGAGUCACUUUGUCUCUAAAUAUCUGUCAAUUUUCAGUUGAAAGUGUGUAAACUGGCUCCUUCUGUAAUCACUCACAUUAUUGUGCCUGCAGCUCUCGUUUGAAUCUCCUCACAUCCUCUUUUAGUGGCGCUCUCGGUAGAUUAACAGAGCUACACUUUUAACCCUCCUGAGGCUGUAAAACAAGUCGCUCAUCUCCCGCUGAUUUUCCCUCUCAGCUUCCCCUCAUGGUGCCUCAUUAAGACGAAGAGAAACAAGAACCUCCGACCCAACGCUACUGUAACACCAGGCUUGACAUGAGGCUGUUACACUUAAUUAUUCCACCAUUGUGUGCUGUGGCCUGGAACUGCAAACAUGUGUGUCCUCUAAUGUCUUCUCAGACUGUCUUAUAAUUUUCUUUUCAAGGGUGGGGGAUUGUUCGAGGCGUCAUUUGUAAAAGGCACUUAGAGAGUGUUUUGUUUCAGUAGAAAUAUCAUGUCUACAGUGUCUCUUGUUUCAGCCCACUUUUCUUCUGGAUGCUUCUGUGGUCUCAUUCAACUUUUUUCUUUACAUUAACAGAAGUAAGACACACCUAUUUGAGAAUUUCCUCUUGGUCCUGAAAGCUUUUUCAUUCCCAGCCCUUCACUGUACGUAGGCAAACUUUGUUUCUUUUGCAUUUGUUUCAGUUAAGCAUUGAAAAAAUGCUACAUAUUUGUUAAUAUGCAGCAUUUGCAUUAGCUACAUAUGUCCCCUCCUCUGUUGACUAAUGAACGUAGUUUCUUAAGAAUGUUUUUAACACCAAAUGUCCCAGUUUCCUGCAGAGGGACCUGUUAAAAACCUCCCUGUUUUGCAUGUGUGUGAAGACUUUGGUUCAUGUAGCAGCUGUUUCUUUCCUCCUCUUGCUCCAUUAAUGUAUCUAAAAGUAGAAAGUAAAGGUCAAACCUUUCAUUACAUUUUCUUCUCAGAGCGAUUUAACCGCGCUUCCAUUGUGAUGAGCAGAGGGAAAUUUCCAUGGAUGUUCUGAAUCUUACCAAAGAGCCAGAACAAAAGAAGUGUAGACAUUUCAGAGUCGUAAACGAAGGACAAAAGCAGCAAAUACGGACCAGCGUUUUUCCAGGAUAACACUGCCCCUUACAAAGGCUACGUUCACACUUCACAGGUUAUGAUGCGCAAUUCGGAUUUUUUGUUAAAUCCGAUCUUUUUGUGCGGUCGUUCACAUUACAACAAUGAAUGCCGCAUCUAAUGUGAACGGAAUGCAUCCACGAAGUGACGCAGUAUGUUUGCGGAAGUUAAUAUGGCCUCUCGCAUAGGUCUCAGUCCAGACUCAUUGUGGCUUGAACUGACCGGUCUCCCUGAAUAUUUACCAACUCUAAUGUUUCUUCUUUUGCCACUGGCUGUUCUCUGUUCCCUCGUCCGCCAUUGCUUUCCGCACCUGUUUGUGUUGUUGAACAAUGGUGACGUUUGUCACAUAUUGACGACGUGAACGCAACCUGAGCGUCCACACUGCAGUCACAUCGGAUGCAUAUCUGAUUUAUAUCCACAUACUAAAGAAGCCUGGGUCGGAUUUGAAAACAUCAGAUUUGCACUGCUCACACUUACAUGAAAAAAUCUGAUUUGUGUCACAAAUGGUUAAAAAAUCAAAAUUGACCUGCAGUGUGAACAUAGCCUAAUAUUUCAUUUGCAUUCGUGAUAGAAACUUUCAAGUGUACUUAUACUGUAUGUGAGUAUGACUGUGUUAAGUCUUACUGAAAACAGUCUUUAUUUAACACUAGAAUCCUUCCACCUCCUCUUCCUCACUUCAGAUUCUCGCAGCUGUUCUUGACAUGAUUGAAAGUGCACUUCACCAGAUUUCUUGCCACCUGGUUGUGUUUGUGUGUGAGUGUGUCCUUGUGUGCAUAAGAGGUAAAAUAUGCAAAGACAAAAAGAAAGACAGACAGGCUGUGGCCUUGGAGUGCCUCAGGGUAGUUUUCCUCUUUGCCCUGCAGCCAUGCUGUCUUCACUAUGAAGCUCAUCAGAGAAGCAGAGGGCUGAUAGUCAGUGGCUGGACUUAGCGCUGGUACACUUCUUGUUCCUCCUCCUGAAUGUGAAUGGAGUGAGGGAGAGCAGAGAGAUGGAGCUUUUCUCUAGCAGGACUCCUCAUCUCCAUGACAGCCCCACUCUGAAUAAAAAAAAGAGACACAGAGUCCUUUUCGACCUCGACAACAGCAGAGCAGCUGUCUGACAGACCAAAGUGACUUUGGAGGGAACUGAAGCCCCCAUGCUGGUCAAACCUGUCCAUCAGACCGACACGCUUUUGCCUCUUAUCUGACACACAGUCGGAUUAUUUAUGUGGGAAAGGACCCCUGAAAUAUGGCCCCAAGAGGGGAGAGAAACUUUGAUCAAAUUCGUCCUCAUGCUGCAGGUAAAUGUUGGAUUUUUCAUCUUUAAUUUGGCCGUUUAAUAAAGCACAUUCAUAUUCUCUUCUUCGUAACCAAUUAUAAAACUACUGAGAAGUACAAUGAUUACACUGGAUUCAUUCAAAAAUACAAAUCUUCUCAUUUGAUUCCACAUUAAAGAAUAACCUCUAAACUUCUUAAAAUAACUGUUUUUAUUUAAGACUUGAAAUUAGAUUGAUCAGAUGUUCAGCUCCAGAACAGCAAAAGUGUUACAAGUUCGAUCUGAGAGACCUUCAAGCGGUCAAAGGUCAUUUGUUAGCCUCUGAGAAUCCAUGUGUGUCACUGCUGUCCACAUCUUAAUGAGGUCAAAUAAGAAAGACCAAUACUUUCUCCCUACAGCAGCCAGUAUGUUUACAUGCACAGUUAAGUCCAGCUCCUGUUCGAUCAGGUGUUCUUGCAGGAUGAUUGUCCUUGUCCCAGUUUACAAGCAGCUGGCAAGAAUCGAUUUAUUGACACAAGUAUGUCAGCCUCGGCUGUGGUGGGUGGCGAUAUGUACCCUUUCAGUUUGUUUCCAGCCUGAUAUGCAAACAGUAAAGCAUGUGCAGGAUGCUUGGGACAGUAUGAGCCCAACUGCAAGAGAAAAUCGAUACCCAUCCACAUCAUUCAGGUAUGUUAGUCCGACUAUGAGACAUUGAUUCUGUGCAGAUGGACUGAUGUGUUUGCAUGGAUUUUAAAAGACAAGUUUCAGUCUUACUAACACAAUAAAUUUUACCAACAGUAAAAUCAAAAUAUAUUGUUUUAGUAGUCUAAUAGUCUAAUGGGUGUCCUUCCAUGUAGGCCUCCAUCUUUUAUCUUUGUUUUGUUGUAGCACUGAUCAGAAAAACUAGUUACAUACAUGCUUUUGUGUUUAGUGUGUGGCUGUGUGGACUGCAUCAGUUGGAAAAUGAAAAAGAGAGUUUUUGCUGUGUUGAAACACAUUUAAAUUGAUAGACAUUUUGAUAGAAUAGACUUGACAAAUGAAGGAAAAUACCUACAAUGCAUAACAGCUUCUUGUCCACUACAUUUUCUCAUUUCUACACACUGCAACUUUAAGAAACAGAUUUUACAAUUCCUUUAUAUAGCAAAGCCUCUCCUGCAGUGUACAUUUAUUCAACCUUCCAUCUUACCCCAUAAUACCUAGAGCAUGGAAUGCUACUUUAAAAUGUCCACACGCCUUUGACUCAUGCUUUCCUGCUGUUUGUUUUAUUCUCUCUGUGUCAGCCCAGGACUUUUCUGAGAGUGUGAGUAAGAGUGUUAUGACUGUGAGCUGGUAUAGUGUUGUGUUAAAGCCUAUUACAGUGUGAACGCUGCAGCUGAGCCCUGAGCUCUCUGCUCACACCUCUGCUGAAACUCUCAGCCGAAGAAGAAGACAGGAAACAGUGAGACUUUCCUCCAAUUUCAAUUACUGGAUUACUUUGACUCUCUGAUUUUAAAGGAACAGUUCACCCAAAUUACACUUGCGUACAUCUGGUGAUAUCUAGCUGUGCAGACUGGUAGAUAAAAAAUAAGUCACUUUCUUGUGAAUGGGUGCACAUUUUUAUUAUUUUUAGUCAUUAAAAUAAAAGCUUACCUUAAAAAAAACAAUGAAAUAAAGACAAAAAGAAAGAAAUAAUGAAGCGUCAUCAACAGUGAGACACAGAAGGAAAAAAAAAAAAACUUUCUACUGUUUGAACGGUUGGUUCUUAUGUAAGGACAGAAGUUCUGAUAACUCACAGAACACCCCUCUCGAAAGUUUUGAUGAAAAAAGUUUUAGACUCAACAGUCAAGGACUUUCCUUCUGAAUUAGAUGUUAAGAUAGUAAGAGGUAGUUUUCUAUAUUAUACGGUGACCAUUGGAACUCAAUUUACCUUCAUUUAGUCUAUUGAAGUAGGAAAAGUAAGGGAUGAAUUAAAUGAAAUUCUUUAGCGUGGCAAGUUUCAACGAGUUUCUGACAAUACGGACAAUGUGUUUUUCACAGCGUGCAAAAGCGUAAAUUCUGAAGCUAUGGCCUUGCGAAAGUGUAACAACAGUGUUAAGGCAGGGUUCAUCGUAUGCUGAAUGGUUUAUUCAACCUCUUGAAAUUGGUAAAAGAUACAGUCUUUCUGCUAUCACUCCCUCUCCUAAAACUUGUACUUUAAAGUUAAGUCAUUUUUAGUUUAGAAAGUUCAGCCUUGCAUUUAAAUCAUCUUGUCUGCACACACAUCUGCAGUCUGAAUAUGUGUAACCUAUAUGUGUGUUUCAGCUCUCCUCCUUCAUCACUAUUAUGUCAUUUUCUGUGAAUUAUUUUUCACCAACAGUUUAUUUUAUGCAGCAAAGAAUUUUUUAUAUUCAGGCACUUUUUUGGGCAGCUAAGGGUCUUCAGGUUGCACACAGGCCGCAGUUAAGCUAAGCAGAUGCAUUUCUGUAUUUCCAGGUGAGCACAAAUACAAACGUAAUGAAUAUAAAUGUAGGAAAUUAGGUUGUCGAAGGUUUAUGUGAGUUAACAGACGUCUUUUCACACAAAUAAGUCACUUUACAUCAAAAUUAGCAAGUUAAAUGAUAUGUUUUUGAUGUACCUCACCUGUCGUGUGUGUUAGCAAAAACAUCUGUUGUGUAACCACCUGUAGACGGUGUUCCGGUUUAACUGGUGAUCAUAUUAACUGGUGAGAUUUUGAACCAGAUGUUGGCUGUUCCGCAGAUUCGCCACAAAAGCCUCAGUCCGAACCGAACGGUCGCCGGCACUUUCAAGGAGAAAAACUCCGCAAACAUCAGCGCUUUUCACAUAUAUUGACAACCAGCGAUCCCGACCAAACUGCCAACUCAAAUAAGCACUAAAAAAAUAAUAAAGAUAAAAACAUUACGAUAAACACAGCUGGGCGUCGCAAGGAGGACUCGAACUCACAACGCAAAUAAGAACUAACAACGAGGGGCGAGCGCGCUGCUGUAACGCCACGGAUCGGCUUACUGAACUCCUCGUGUACCUCAUACUUGACAUCCACUUUUUACAGGGUGUCACUACAUAAUCUGCUUCUAUAGAGAAACACGCCCAUAUUAGCUGGUGACUCCAGAAGCCUGCCUGUGUUAUAUUGUGACGAUUAUCUCAUAAUACACAGCAUUUCUUCUUAAAAUUCUGCGAUAGCGGUCACUCAUGGGUGUAUCGCAGUGCCUUUGUGUAAAGAGCCCAUGUUAACUCGUGAGAAGCAUGUGUGAUAAAUUGUGAAGAUCGACCAUUAAACACUGGACUUUUUUUUUUUUUUAAAAAGAGUAUUCAUUAAAACUGCAUGCAGGACAGAAAUACUCCUUAUCAUGAUCGCGAUUCCCCACACAGUCAGAAUGAUGCCAAUACUGGCAGUUUGUACAUUCAAUCUGAAAAGGAGAGCAAAGACAAUCACAGCGGUUUUGGUCCUACAACAAAUGUCGUCAUAUCCGAUCAGAACCGAGGGGGUUUUAUUGCCAUUGUCGAUGAACAGGAUUCACAGACUUAUACGGAUCGUGCUUUUUCCAAUGAAAAGUGAUGCACUGCAACACGCCCAUCAAUGUGACCGCGGUCGUAGACUUUGCUAAAAAGAUCCAUGAUUAAAAUGAUCACCGAUGCUAACAAUUUCUCAGGUGCUACUGCUGUCACCAGGUAACAUGGGCGUGUUUCUCUACAGGAGCAGGUUAUGUGGUGACACAUUGUAAACAGUGGAUGACAAGUAUGGGGUACACGAGCUGCUCAGUAAACGGAUCUGUGGCAUUACAGCAGCGCGCUCGCCUCUCGUUGUUAGUUCUUAUUUGCGUUGCGAGUUCGAGGACCAAAACCGCUGUGAUUGUCUUUGCUCUCCUUUUCAGAUUGAAUGUACAAACUGCCAGUAUUGGCAUCAUUCUGACUGUGUGGGGAAUCCCGAUUGCGAUAAGGAGUAUUUGUGUCCUGCGUGUAGUUUUAAUCAAUAAUCGUUUUAAAAAAAGUCCAGUGUUUCGUGAUCGAUGUUCAAAAUGUAUCACACAUGCGUCUCACGAGUUAACAAAGGCUCUUUACACUUGGUAUACAUGGUAGACAUGGUACACUGCGAUACGUCCAUGAGUGACUGCUGUGGCAGACCUUUCAGAGGAAAUGUUGUGUAUUAUGAGAUGAUCGUCACAAUUGAACACGGACAGGCUACUGCUGUCACCAGCUAAUAUGGGCGUGUUUCUCUACAGGAGCAGAUUAUGUGGUGACACCCUGGAAACAGUGAAUGACAAGUAUGAGAUACGCGAGGUGCCAAAUAAGCCGAUCUGUGGCGUUACGGCAGCGCGCUCACCCCACGAUAUUUGUUCUUAUUAGCGUUUUGGGUUCGAGUCCUCCUUGCGACGUUCAGCUGUGUUUCUCACAAUGUUUUUCUCUUUAUUUUUUUGUGCUUCUUUGAGUGGAUGACAGUAGAUGACAAGUAUGAGGUACAAGAGAUGCUCAGUAAGCCGAUCUGUGGCGUAUAUUUUUUGUGUCCAGUCUGACUGUCGUGUUGAUUUGUGUCUAAUUGUCAGGUAAACUAGAAGAAGGCUAAGCUGAGGUCAGGACACUGUGUGUUUCAAUAGUAAGUGCGAGAGGUAAGUUGUGUUUGUGUGAAAGGUAAGUUACAGUAAGGCUGGUAGGUAAGAUUCAGUUAAGUGAAAAGUAACAGGUAAGAAAAACAGGUAGGGCUGUUGAUAGGGCUAAUUCUGUGAAUCCUGUUGAUCGCCAGUGGCAAUAAAACCCCUUCUGAUCUGAUCGAAUAUGACUACAUUUGUUGUAGGAACAAAACAGCUUUGAUUGUCUUUGCUCUCCUUUUAAAUUGAAUGUACAAACUGCCAGUAUUGGCAUCAUUCUGACUGUGUGGGGAAUCCCGAUUGCGAUAAGGAGUAUUUGUGUCCUGCGUGUAGUUUUAAUCAAUAAUCGUUUUAAAAAAAGUCCAGUGUUUCGUGAUCGAUGUUCAAAAUGUAUCACACAUGCGUCUCACGAGUUAACAAAGGCUCUUUACACUUGGUACACAUGGUAGACAUGGUACACUGCGAUACGUCCAUGAGUGACCGCUGUGGCAGACCUUUCAGAGGAAAUGUUGUGUAUUAUGAGAUGAUCGUCACAAUAUAACACGGAAAGGCUACUGCUGUCACCAGCUAAUAUGGGCGUGUUUCUCUACAGGAGCAGAUUAUGUGGUGACACCCUGGAAACAGUGAAUGACAAGUAUGAGAUACGGGAGGUGCUGAAUAAGCCGAUCUGUGGCAUUACGGCAGCACGCUCACCCCUCGAUACUUGUUCUUAUUAGCGUUCGCUUCUUUGAGUGGGCAGUUUGGUCGGGAUCUCCGGUUGUCAAUAUAUGUGAAAAGCACUGAUGUUUGCGGAGAUUUUCUCCUUGAAAGUGCCGGCGACCGUUCGGUCCGGACUGAGGCUUUUGUGGCGAAUCUGCGGAACACUCAACAUCUGGAUCAGAUUUACCUUAAAUCUCACCAGUUAAUAUGAUCACCAGUUAAACCCGAACAACGGCUGUAAUAUUGGCCGUAUGAGUGUUCAGAGUAUAUUAAUAGUGUGUGUGUAAAAUGGAGCUAAUAGACAUUCAAUAUAAUGUGUCUGAGUGAGCAAAAGUAUUAAAUGCAUAUUCGUGCAAUUGAGGUAAUGCAGUGUGCACAUAUUUGAUAUUUCCAGUUAGGCUACAGUUUAUGUUUCGACCUAUGCAUGGCUGAAAAUCUUUCAUUUUCAUAUGCUCUGCCAUGAAUGCAUGUCCACCUGUGAAACAAUGCAUAGGAGAGAGUGGGGUAAGUUGAGCCACCCCCUGCUGCUUGGAAAUGGUAAAAGAAAUUGAUAAAGUGACCAAAUAUUCAGGAGAUGGGCAUCAAUUCAUGGAGUCUGUGAGGGUUAGAAGCACAUAGGUGAAGGGGUUAGACCUUUAUAUAUUAUAUUAUUAUAUAUUAUAUGGGAUACGGCUCAACUUACCCCGCUCCUAUGUUCAACGUUGACCAUAGGAAACCCCUUUUUUUGGCAUGCUAUAUUAUCAAGACAGUUAUGUUUACACUCAUUCUGUUGGUUUGCAGGGAUGCACAACAUCUUGAAAUAUAUGCAGAUACACUAGUUACAGACAAAACUAUGAUUGCCUUGAUGUAGUGAUCUGAAAUAUGAAAAAUGGCUCAUCUUACCCCACUCUCCCCUGCAUGAAAAGACCUAAGUGAAAAGCAUGAAACAUAGCAAUAAUGCUUAUUUUCCUUAUUUUUGUUUGGAAAAUGCUAACUUUCAACUUUGAAAUGUCAAACUGGUCCCUGUUUGUUUUUCAGGGCCAAGACCCUGUUACAAACAAGUGUCUGCAUCUCCUCCCUUGGUAUGAAAUGUAUGUGUUUAUGUGUGUGAUUCACUUGAAGGUAUGCAUGAGAUACUCCUAUGGGACCUGUCCUGCUAAAAAUACCUCUCGCACACCUUUUUAUUUUCAGAAGUCAUUCUUCAUCGAUUUUCACAACCUUACAAGACGUCUUGUGUUGAUGAUGACCCCAGGCACAUCAUGUUCUUUUUCAUUAUGUUGCCAAGGAGACACGCCAUGUGAGAACCCUGCCUGCUGACGCUAUUACAGGUGAACACACUGUCCCUGAUCUUGAGCCAAACUGGGAGAUUUUUGAAAAACUCUCUGUACCCUAAACUCUAGUGGAAUAGAGGAAUAGCCAAACAAAUGCAUAUUCAGACUAGUGUGUUGAGAGGCAUAAAUAAGCAGGCGGCUUUAGAAACCUUGAGGGUCACAUGCAAAACAAACAGCAUGUUCCGGGAAUUAGAUGGUAACAAACCAUAAAAGCUGCAAAUGUCAGGUUUUGCAUUAUUUCAUUUUAUGGAUCUUUGUGUUUGUGUUGUUUAGAGUAAGUGCAUGUUAGGUGAAGAUCGGUAGCUGCAAAGCAGAGCAAAUAAAGUGAAAGAGAACCUGUGACCUAUGGUAUUGAUUUGUUUUUCUCAGUAAGAGGAAAAAAAAGUUUUGAGUUGAGAUUUUUGCCGACUCCAUUGCCAGUGAGCAUUUACUCCAUUAUACCAUGACAAGAACUAUGACAUUUCAGCUGAUAUACAGGAGAAAAUACACAUGUAGAAGCGUGUCUUUGUGAAAAGAGAAAUGUUGAUAGUGUUAGAAAGUUGUUGAAGGUUGUGACAAAUUCACGGAGGAGAAAAUACAAACAUCUCUUUAACCUUAUACCCCAAAUAAAAAGAAACACUCUUUUGUGUCGCUGCGUUUCUUCGAAUAAGGACUCUUUUAUAAUCAAAAGAUCUACAGAGGAGAGGCAAAUUACUUUUUCCACAAUGAAAACGCUUUUCAAACAUUUUUUAGAUUGUAAAAUGUUUUUUAGGCACGCUUUUGUGUCACAAACGAAACUAGAAAUCUGGCUGUGAAGCAUUGAAACUGAUGAAAGGAGUGUGAAACACAAUAUCCCCAGUGUGCCAGCAUGCGCAGUGAUAUAAAUGGCAUUUCAAAAGGACAUUUGCAGACAGUCUUUUGUGUUGAGUCCUCGCUUUAAUUUUCUCUUUGCUUUCGCUUUAGUUUUGGUGGCGAUUGAACAGAUACGAGGUAACCUUCAUUGGUAGAAAUCUGUUCAGGAAAAACUCUUAGAUUCUGUUUUUACUGAUGUAAAGCCUGAAACUACAUCUGUUUGAUAGCUGGUGUCUGAUCAGACCUUUUUCAAGGUUGAUCUGUGUGUUUUCUAUGAUGAAUGGUGCUGUGUUAAAAAAUGGAAAUACAGAGACAACGUGUUAAGUAAAGCACUCUUUGUCAGGAGAUCAUAGACUGUAGAGCAGAUUUCUCUCUGCUUUCGUAGACUCUGAGAUUCAGCAAGACUUUUUAAAAGUGGCACAGUAAUCUGAAAUCCCACUUCCUGACAUCCAGCACCUCCUGCCUGGGCUGAGGGUGAUUGAUUCCCGCUGUUUUUUUUUCCUCUGAGCUGUUUUGAGUUAUUGUACUUGUGCUCCUUUAGCCUCAUCGGCAGAUACACUCUCUGUUUGGCCGUGCUGCCUGCAGCUACUUUUCUGUCUGUGCUGGCUUUUAUACAUCUGUGAUCUAUUGAUAAAAACGGCCUAAUGCUUUUUUCCCUCUGUUCUAAUCUGUCUGCAUCUCUCUGUGUUGUUUUGUUCCCCCAUCCCCUGUCUGUCUCUGACUUCAGAGAAACACACACCUGACUGGAGUGAACUGUCCAACAACAGUCUCAACACCAAGGCUGAGGAGCUGGUCUACAAGACAGUCAUGGAUCAAACAAGACCUUCAAGGUAAUAAAAAAAUACAAUGUUUGUGUGGUGUGUCUGCACAGUGUUUUCAAAGACGUACACAUGUAUGUGUGUUUCAUGACAGAAAAAGGCAAAUGAAGCCCUUGUUCCCUCUGACAGUACAGACAGUCUGUCUACAGAGCUGAACCAGUAUACUUUCUCUAUCUACUCCCUGUCAGCUCGGCAGAACCAGCAGACAUGUGACUCUGUGUUCUCUCCCGUGGUGUUCAUCAGCUUUGUGCUUCAGAUGCAUCUGAACCGAACAGUUGUUUUUAAUCCUGGGAGUGUCUCGUUCUCAAGAUGUGCUUUAUUUUUAGUUUGGUUCUGUUUGUUUGUGACAAACUGAACUUUUUCCUGUUUGUCUAACUGUUGUUUGACUAUUUCUGGAGGCUGACAGUGAUAAUCAAAGGUUUUUUUCCUGUAGAUGGAAUAAUGCAAGAUACAGCAUGUAAGAUUUGAGCAAACCUGGAAUCAGUGUUGUUUUCAUUGACGAAGCACCCCUUUUUUUCCACGACGAAGACAUGACAUUGAUGAGUUAAACAUAAGUCUUAGAUGACUAAAAUGUGACGAGACGAAUGUGCGUUUACAUUGACGAGACUAGACGAAAACGUUAAUGGUGGACGACGAGCAGAGUUGCAAAAUUCAUGAGCAUUUCGUCAGUCAAACGCUGAACAUAUAUUCUGCAGUGUUGUUUUCAUUGACAAUGACGUUGACGAAAUAUUUUCGUCAACGUUGUAUGAGUAUCCCUGGUGUGUCUGCGCACUGUAGGUUGAUAUCAAUCUUGCAUGUCAUGAGAAUUGAAUAACUUUAGAAACCAAACCAUGAAUUUCAGCUCAAUGAUUUUGAAGCUGCAUUAAAGUGGAGGUGAGAUUAUUAUCAGACAAAUUACAAUGAUCCGUCAGUGGAGAAAUAAUUCAACCAGACUAAUGAUUCCUCGGCAAGAACUGUCUCAUAUUCAGCACAGUCCUCCAUAAUCAAUGCUACUUCACUUGCUCCCACUUUAAUGAGGUGUGGAUGUCAAUAUUUGAACAUUUGAAUCUGCACAAAGGAGAUCUGACGAUGUGGUUCUGCUAGUUUAGACCGACUUAGAUAUCUGUAUCAAAAACCUCCAACCAGCUGAGUCUGGAAGACUUGAUACUGUAAUGGAGAGGUGCAGAGGUGACUCGCUUUCCUCAGAGGUCUUAACAGCCCAGUGCGCUUAUUCCCAGGAAGUGGAAAAGCAGGUCGUCUCAUCUCUAAAGGAAAGAAACAGGGAAAGAGCUCUUGUGUUGUAAUCUGAUAUCAAGUGAUGGUUUUUCUGCACACAGCCUUGAAGUUCAGGCAGCAGAGAUGCGAUUGAGCUUGAAUUUCUGUUUGUGUUACUUAGAAAAACAACCAGCAGGCAGAGGGAACAAGAGAGGUGGAGAUCAGAGAGCAGAGUCCGCCCCUGUCAUGUCUCAGGAGGAGGUCAUGCGUCUCCAAGGGGUUCGGUUCACAUGCGCGGUCCGGCUUCAGCUCAUCACCUCACCUCUUGUCUCUUCUCCUCAUGCGGAGAGCAGCAGGAAAUCACUCCUCCAGAACCUGUGACACUUUUUAAUGACAUGUCAGGGAAGAAUGUCACAGCACUGUGGAAAACUCAGGGAGGGAGGAGGAGAAAUUUAGAAGCCUGGAGCUCAGUGUGUUUGUGAGUGUGUGCAUUCAUCUUUUUGUCAUGAGCUUGUGAAUGUGCUGUGAGUUGUAAGCUGCAGGCUAUAGAGUGGAAAAGUAGAAUAUUGAAGGUACUGAGUAAAUGAUAUACAAUUUUCUCUCUCUUUCACUGUCAUCUACAUACUGUGACACCAGGUAACAGCCUGAAAAUGCCUCAGAGACACAAGGAGAGUGAUUGAAAUAAUGAUAAUUUACCGUGAGGCACAAAACAUUCAAUCUGCAUGACAUACUACAGCCUAUUAAUUAUAACAAACCUCCUAAUCUGUAAUAGGAUCUUCUCAGUCAUAGCUUCAAGAAAUCUUAUGAAGGAUCCUAUCUCAAAAGUGUUUUCAUAUAUUCUUUCCCUGGUCAAAAUCUCAUCAGCGGAGAUUACUUUACAAAAACACGACACCUCUUAUCAACCUUAGUGGAGUAGACAGGAAGUAAAAGCCUGAUUUUUAUCUGUAUGAGCAGCUGUUUGAGCCGGGUAAUUUACAGCAUCUGUGACUAGAGUGCGCAGGGACCUUUCGACAAAUGACUUCAUACAUGAACGGUGGUAUAAUGGAGCGGACAGGGUCUGAUGCAGGCCGCUGAACUCCAGACCUCCAUCCUCAUCUGUGUCCUUUUGUCGUCUCAGAGCGCCUGCAGUCCUGAUGUGUGCAGCCAGUUGAACCAAAGUCACUCGACCACGGCGACGGCAUAUCCAGAGCGAGUCAGCAAAGUCUCGUCCCCACACUCUGCUCUCAUUUGACUCUUUUUUUUUUUUUUCACUUAUUUACUUUUUUCUGCAGUGUGGGUCCAUGUGGGUUUGGCACACACUCCAUUGAACACACACUUGUGAGUCUUUUUUUUGUUGAUCUUGAAGCUUCAGAUUCAGAGCACUUAAAGCUGCCUUUUAAGCAUCUGAAUAAACAUUUUCCAUUCAUAGGCAGACACGUUCUCCUGUCUGUUCAAAGCAGAGACAAUAAACAUGACUGAUUGCGUGUCAUUUACUCGACGUCGCCAUGGCACGUACUCUUACACACACUCAGCAAGAGGCGUUAGUCCCCCGCUGACAGUAGUGAAAUGUGGAAUACUCUGUGGACAUUUAUCGUCUCUUAAGUGCGUGGCAGCUUCCCAGCUGCUUCUCUGCUGCCUCCGACAGAUCCGAGAGGCUCCCUGUUAGACAUUAUCCCGCCUUUCACCAGGAUCAACCCUUUCACAUCCCCUGUCCACCUGUCUGAAUGUGUCGCUGCAAGGUGUUUUAAACCACUGAUGCUGAGCCUGUUAACCUGGGGCUGUAUGCACGUUGCUUGGCAAAACGCGUUUAGCGGGCUAAACGCGUUUAACGGGCUAAACGCGUUUAACUCCUAAACGCCAAAAAUGUCGGUAUGCACGUCACUUCGUAUAGCCGUUCCUAUACGGAUUUUCGCGUUUAAAGUUAUCGCACCUCUGGGGGUCCAAUAGCGGGUCUAAACGUGUUUAAAUACGGCGGCACUCUUGUUGUUCCAAGAAAGACAGCGGCGACAAUUGCGUCGAAACAGGAUUUUUCGUGACAGAAAACACCCCUUCGACACGUAUGACGACCACGAAGUGUUCCGUAAGUUUAGAUUUCGACGGCACCAUAUUCUCGACCUCACACAGGAGAUUUCCGCUGAAAUUGAACUUUCGAACCGAGGAUUCACCCUCACUCCAAUACAAGUCCUCGUAACCUUACGGUACAACGCCACUUCUUCUUUCCAAGACGUGUGUGGGGAGUUGGUAGGAGUGGAUCAGUCGACAGUCAGUUGAACCGUCACUCGAGCGUCACUCGACCCGUUUAAGACACAGUAAACGCGGUUAGCUAUACGGUUCCGUUUACAGCAUUGUGCAUACCAAAAUCGUAUAGGAACUAAACGCGUUUAAGGCCCGUAUAACUAAACGUGUUUAAGCCCUAAUCGCGUUUACGCUAAACGCUUUCAACGUGCAUACGGGCCCAGAUGUGUUUGUGUAUAUGUCUUUAAAUAAGCGUAAGGACUCCUUGCAAAUGACCCUUAUUCAAAGGAAGGGUCUGCGUGAGUAGACAGGUUAAUGUUUUUCUUUCUUUUCAGUGGCACGGCAGUUUUUACGACCUUCUUUCCCUUAAUGCACUGGUAGAUUUUUCAUAUCAGGCAGCAAGAAGUUGAAUAUAUUAUGUCAUUGUUAGUGUACAGGGACUCAUUCCCCAUGGCUGCCUGUGAAUAACAGUCUGAGCACUCAAAGGGUUGUUGCAGAUAAGUUGCAUACAUGCCGCCUGCUCUAACUGCUAAGUGCAGGAUCGUCUGAUGACUCUGAUUUACCCUGUCCGUGCCAUACAUACUCUUUUAUAUUUUAAUGCACAGUGUGAAUCUUAGCCUUCACCUUCCUCUCACCGUGCUUUUAAAGAGGAUGAUAAAAGCCCGCACAGCAUAGUCGAUACUUAAAAACGGUUUAAAGGUGAAAUAAUCUCCUGACCUGUUGGGAGAUAUUGAAGAGUCAGCCUUGAGCUCAUCUCAGGAAAUACAAAGAGAGUCUUUUAGCCUGUCCAGUGAUAUCAAGAGCAAGAAAGCGAUUGAGUCUCAUCUCAUCAGGAGGGAAUAAGCUUACAGAUGCACAAAUUAAUGCAUUUACAAAGUGCAUGUGUCAGGAUAGCAGAAAAGAAGUUCAACACUGAUCACCUUAAAUAAACAAGAAGUCAGAGGAGUCAGGAAUGUAUUAACACUAAUUCAAGGCCUUUAUAUUCUACAAUUGUCCCUGUAGUCUCUGUAGUUUCAGUGGCUGGAAAAAAGCAUCUCUUUCUGUGUUUAUAUGCACAGAUCUGUUAUCUGUGAGCGUUUGCGUUUUCGGCGGGUAUUUAUGUGGUAGCACUCCCUACUUUUUUUGUAGAGAACAGAUGUUGCAUCUUUGAGGUUGCUUUGCUGACAUUUCAAAGAUGUUUGGCGAGCCUAAAUAGGCUAAAGCAGAUGUGGGUUUGUGUGGAGUUGAGAUUUGCAGAUGGUACAGUCGUAAACUUGUCUUUAUUUUCUUUUUAACCGCUUUUUAGAGACGUGUGCGAGUGCCUGAAGGUGUACAAUUUGUGCGCCGUGUACUGUUGCACUGAAACUCCAUAAUGACUUGAACCUCUGACCUGUUGUCUUUGACUUAAUUUGCCAAAUUCUUAAAGCAAAUAGUUUCAUAUAGAGCACCCAAAUUCCCUCUCAAGGUCACUUUAAACAGAUGCAUUCUCAUUUUUUGCGUAGUCCUCUGCCUACUUGAUCUGGACUGUAGAUGAGACCAGAAUAUUUUGGAUGAAUUCCUUUUAACAUGCAGAGGAUAGGGGAAGAAGAUGUGAUGUCCACCCACCUGCUACUACAAGUAGAUGCAAGAUUUCCUCCUGCACGCCCAGAUUUUAAGCACAUUUAUUCCUGCUGUGUCACCACCUGGCUUAAAGUGGCUCACGUACAGCUUUAAUUGAGCUCCCAGGGUCGGGAUGUUCUGCUGUGGAUUUUUUCAGAUGACCUGGAGAUGCUCAUGGAAGGUCUAACACAGAAAAAAUGACUUUUUUUAUCAUUCAUAAUAAGCAGCAGGGCUUAUUAUGAAUCUGAACCUCAGCUGAAUCAAUCAUUUAGAGCUCCAUCAUGUUAACUCUCAAAUAUAUGAAAAUAAAAACCUUAUACAGGCCAUAUUUCCGAACAUCAACACCACUUUUUUCUUUUCACAGUCACUCAAAUGACUGCUAGAGAUGAACCCAGUCUCCAUGAAAAAUCUGAUGCUCAACCAAAACAUCUUCCUGCAGUUUUGGGAGCUCCUGAUCAGCACAGAAACACCCUUUCACUAGGUUAAUCUUCAGCUCAGCACAGCCAGGUCUGCCCUUGAUUUCAGAGUCAUGAGUCAACAAUUCAAUAUUUGCCUGAUGCAGAUAUCUGAGCAGGCAGAGGCCGUGUUUGUUUAUGUCAUAAAAACCCGAAGAAUCAUUCAUGAAGUUGCAAGGCGCCUGCUAAUUGCCUCUGGCUGUUACAUUUUCCCUGAGGUUAUGCAGGACUCCCCUCUCUCUCUCUCCUCGCCCUCCUGUAAAGAGCUGUUUGAUUAGAGUGUCUGUAUUAUGAGCCUCACAACACCUUAACCAAUCUGUAAAAGUUCUUUUCAGCUCGGUAGAGUUCAGAUAAUUACCAAACAAAUGGCACUUUAUAGAGAGAUCUGUUUAUGGGCUAACAAUGAUUUCAAACCAGGUUUUUUUUUUGCCAGUAAACAAACAUCAACUUCAUCUCAUUACUCAUCCUUCAUCCAGGGGUUUCUCCUUAUAAACUUGUCCUCCCUCAGUCAAUUCUCAUUGUUUAGUUCGAUUAUAUCUCCUGAAUCCUCCAGUCACAUUAUAUAGGCUGAAGUGUCUUUCGAUUCAUAGCAGAUUUUGGCUUUAUAUACAGCAGAGAUGCAGAAAUGCUGUGGGUCUGAAUACAUUCAUGAGGCGUUAUAGUAGCUGAAGCUGAAGUUGCAUUUCUGUGCUGUUUGUUUCCAAGUGUGCAGGCACUCUGGGGUUGUAGUGUAGACAUUAGGACCUCUAUAUGUUCAGGCAGGACAUCAAGACAGACAAUGAAAGACUAGAGGGAGAUUAUAAGGUAGCAGGGCACUGUUUCGAUACACAGUGGAUGAGAGAAUGAGGAGUCAUGAGAGGACAGAGUUCAUGAGAGGGUUGACGAGCAGGAAGGGAGGUCAGAGAGGAACCUAAUUCUUUGAGCUUGUGUCUGUUUGUGUAGUUGUAAUAAAGUAUGUGAGUGCUCACAAGCAGGUGAAGCACCACCUGGGUUUAGCUGAUAAGUCUGUAAAUCAGAAAAAGAAGAAAACUGCCAUAUGAAAACUUGUGAGUGUGUAUGUGUGUGUGUACUAUAUAUGAGUAUUGUAUUAUACGACACUGACCAGAACCCCUCCUGUGUGAUCACGCUUUUAGCCCAAAAGUUAACCCUUUCAUGUGAGUUUAUUGCUGUAUUCUAAACUUGAUUGCUAAAGUUUGCUGAACCUGUAUCUUCAUCUUAAGGUUACAACAGGUCAGUUUUGUGUUAAAAGUUUGUUUCUCCUGUCUUGAAGAGGCCAAAAUAUCAGUUAAAGUAACUGAAACAUCAGCCAAAUAUAAUUUAAACUAUUCAAGCAGUUUUCUUUAAGAUGACUUCUAUUGUGAGGAGUUAGGAGUUAGUGCAAGAUGGAGUUAGAAUAAAGUGAACUCCUUAUAUUUAAGUACAAUCAUAAUUAAAUAUUCAUAAAUUAAGCACUUUGAUUACGGCUGUUUAUGAACCAGUAAGGACUGAGAUCGUAUGAGGAUGAUUCCAAACUAACUCAGUUUUAUGUGAACUUUAUGAAGCAGACUUUUGUUUCCUGAGAAGUUAAAAAUAAAAAUAAAAGUCAGACCAUAAUAGGUGAAGGAAAUAUUUCCACCCUUGCUACGGUUAUAAACUCUGUCAUACCGAAACAAGAGCUGUCAAGACUCUGACAGCCGCUCCUGUGAGGCUUUAUUUCUAAGUCAAACUCACACAGACACACAUAUAUAUGUAAACCAAUCUUAUUGCCCGUCUCAGCACUGCUGCUCUCCUGUGUUGUUUUGUUCUGACAGGUCAUUGUCGGGUUGUGUGGGUUUGUGAAAGUAUUCAGGGCAGCCUCGACAUCCAGAUGUGAAUCUUCCUGAUGUGGACAAGUGAGCAACGUGCACAUGUGUAUGAAGCGACGAUAGAGACUUGGAUGUGCAUAGAGGAAGAAUUCAGCAAGUUGAAGUUGUUUGUGGAAUCGCCUAAGUUGAUCAAUUAGACACCAGGGAGGAAUUUAAAGUGGGGAAAUAAAAGGAAAUUACUGCUUUGUAGGGUUUUCUGUUGAACAACAUCAGACUUCAGUGAAAAAUCUAACAAACUAGGGAAACUAGGGAAGUUGAAUUGAAUAUUAGUUGAAUAUAAAAAGUGUAACUUAGAUGAUAGGACAUUUUCAAAGCUUUGAUCAGUGUGCGCACAGAAAAAUGAAACCCCAGUUUGGCCCUGACAUAAACCGAGAAAAGUUCCAAAGUCAAUUGAGUCAGUCGAUAUCAUGGGAUGAAAAGACGCAGAUGAAAAGAGAUUAAAAAGUUAAUCCUGAAAGGCGUAGAAAAUAAACCCAACUGAAGUUGAUAAAUAGAAAUGUAGAGUGAACACAUGCAGAAAUAGCAGCAAAUUAAUCUUGAAGAAGAACAAUAGCAGAGGAGAAGUCAGUAUAAUUAAUGUGUUUGUGAAAGUUUGGUUGGAAGAGAGACAAAAAAGCUUUAUUCUGCUUUUUUUGUGUGUGUCAAAGACCAUUUGGUGUAUCUGUGACUGUCCUCGAAAAAUACAGCCACGUUUAUUUGCUGUGUUUCCAAGGUCUGUUGGAGGUCUUGUGAGCUGUUUGAGGCUCACAGUCCUGGGCGUGAUGCCAUGAUGCUGUGCGAACGGAGACGUGAUGGAAAUAGGUUCAUUUCAGUCCUGUCUAGUACCUCUCCAGAUUCAAACAGACCUCUAACUCGCUGCCAGAAAGAGUCGCGCUGGCACAACUUCUACUUAUUUCAAAUGAUGUCAUGAUAGAUUUUUAUUCAGCUGUGUCGUAGACCUCUAUCUGAGCAGUGACAGGCACAGUUUUCCCUUUCGCUCUCUUUUAUUUCUCACCUUGUACGGAGCUUAAAAAAUCUCACACAGAGAAAAAGAGCUCUCAGUCUGAGUCUAUGAACCUGUAUUUAGCCUGUUUGAGUGUAUAAACAACAUGUUCGUCCACAUUAGGGCUGAGCGAUAAACCGAAAAUUUAGCGAUACUGGAAUUUACGACAACAACCGACAUCAUUUUGCCCAUAUUGGUAUAUUUGGUGUGAAAAAAAUAGAUCCAUUAAAAGUUAGUUUUGGAUGUGUGCAGGUAGGCUAUGGUGUCAUGUCCCUUUAAGACGCUGACUCCACCCCAUCCAGUCCGUAACAAAAAGGAAAAGACAGGUGAGGAGAUGGAGGUAAAUGUGGGAGGGGGUGAGCAGCUUGUGGAGUAGUUAACGUCCAUUUAUUGUCAUCAAGGUCAACUGCUCAAUAUAUUGUGAUAUUGAUUUGAGGACAUAUCGCCCAGCCCUAGCCUGCAUGAUAUGAGACAGAUCUUUGUUAACAAAACUUAUCCUCUUUUAUCUAGUUUGUGUGUUUCACAGUGAGUGUGGGGGCGAGCGGAUGUGUACAUCAGCAUCCGCUGGACAGCAUCCAAACAAACGACAGCACCAUCCAUCUUUUUAAUUGAGUUACACUUUCUUUAAGUGAUUUCCUUCGCUACUAGAGGAAACUUUUCUGUUUUGCAUUAGUUUUUCAUUUCCCAAAAAGCUUAUUGACUCAAAGAAAGCCAAAGCUGGACUGAAUUUAAAACAACAGACACAUAAUCUACGGCCUGUGUCAGUGAGGAUUCAUGCGUCAGGGCUUUUAAUGGCAAAUUGAAGUUCCUUAUGAAGGAUGCUGCUAUAUGUGUUCAAAAUCUCACCUUGCUCUUUAAAGCAUCAAAAUAGUCAAAUGCAAAACAACAUGCUUCCAAAUCUGUUUGUUACUACAGCACUCCACUUUCUUAAAAUGGCCUUGAUUCAACCUUAAUCUAUGCUUUUCUUCUCAUAACCCUAUCCAGUUUAUGAAAUUGAAGUAAAAUCUUUUAGUUUUUCAAAGAUGGUGAUGUUGAAAGGUUUUCUACCUGACCUUUGAAAACGGUUAUAACUUUUAUAAACUUCUCUUCAAAAAGGGAAAGUCUCUUAUAUUUACUUUCUGUGGUGCAUGCAUCUGAACUUGACUUUUUUCUCUGUCACUGCGGUGUCAUUCAGUUCAUUUAGCUCCACACUGACACACUGUGCUCUCUGUGACUCCCUCUAUGAGGCACCUUUAAGUUGUCUCUCCAGAGACAGACUGAAUUUCUCCCUCCAUGGUCCAUUUGUGUCAGAAUCCCUGCACAGUGCUCAGACCUUGACAUUGCACUGUAGAAAUACAGCAGGAUUUGUCCUGUGUGUACCUCUCCUCCCCGACUUUUCAUAUAAAUGUAAAUUUGUGUUUGGGUCGGUAUGUGUCUGCUGGGAGUCAGACAAGCAGAGCAGAAAUCAGAGGUGCUGUAGCCAGCCAAUCUACAGGCUCAGCUCUGUAACCUUCCUCAGACUCAGAUCGGGAUCACCAAGUCAUGGUUGGUGUUACAUGACAAACUGCACAGCUUUCAAACACAAUAUAGACAAUUGAAUGCAGUAACAAACAAUCUUCCUUCAAAUACAAGCGUCUUAAGUAGGGCUGGGCAAUAUGGCCUCAAAUCAAUAUCACGAUAUAUUGAGCAGUUUACCUCGAUAACGAUAAAUGGAUUAUAACUACUCCAUGAACUGCUCACCCCCUCCCACAUUAACUUUGUCUACUUCAGCUGCUCCUACAACUUUUGAACUGUCCUCCAUCUCCUCACCUCUUUGUCUUUCCCUCUUUGUUACAGACUGGAUGUGGUGGAGUCACAUAUCCAACAUAGGACAGCGUCUUAAAGGGACAUGCGACCAUAGCCUACCUACACACAUCCAAAACCAACUUUUAUUUAUUUAUGUUUUUGACACCGAAAAUACUGACAUGGGCAAAAUCACGUCGGUUAUUGUCGUAAAUUUCAGUAUCGGUAAAUUUUCGAUUUAUCGCCCAGCCCUAGUCUUAACUUUUAUGCAUCACCCUGCAAACCCUCCUUAUAUAUUUCCUAUUCUUAAUUCCAGACCUGAUGUCACCUGGUGUCCGGCCUGACAGUAAUUUGUUGCAGACACAACAUCUCGGUCUGUGACAGAAAGUUAUACACCACUGAGGGCUGGAGGUAUCAGCAAACCUGGACCCCGUGGAGAGGUGAGAGUCACUCGACAUCAACAGCAGCCUGUCUCCAAACAACACGCGCCUCUAGCAGCUCCCAGCUGGCGUCUGCACAGUGACACAGAGCUCUAAUCUAAAUCUGUCAAUCAUGUUGGAGUUUGUUAUUCCAGGGAAAGUCAACCCAUGCUGAACACAAGCAAAUACAUUUUUUUAGAUUGCAUGCAAAAUACAGCAGGUGAUGCAACACAGCAUGUUGCAAAAGUGUCUGUAAAGGUGUGUUAACAUUUCCUGCAAGAGGUGCAGGAUAAUUAACCGGAGCGGGGCGGUAUUUAACGGUCACAGCUGUCGGUGUGCAGUCACAGAGCUCCUCUACUUGUUUAUGAGUGAAAGGUAUUUCUUCUAGAGAGCAGAUCGGCACAAUGCGUCUGAUUCCCUCCACUUCAGCCUCAGCACAACAUCAACACUCCACGUGAAGGUCGUCUCCUGAUGCCUCUUCAGCCGACACUUUUCUUUAGAUUCUUUCCGUGUUUUUGUGUUGGAAACACAACGCCAGACAAAGACAGUUCAACAAAUUUCUAGUGACUUCAAAUAUGAAUAGAGUUCAUUCAUAUUUAAUAGUGUGAUCUACCACCACUUGACUUUGAUAGCUUUCUCCGUGACCUUGGCUGAGGAGUGCGUUUCAGCUGAGAAGCAUCUUCCUGCGCAACGGAUCAAGAUAAACCAAAGUAAUCAAAAGGACAUUACUGGGUUUGUUACAGUCUAGCAGCUCAAUUGAUCCCAAAGCUGCUCAUAUUGCACACUCCUCCAAAUGAAACGGUCUAAUUUGAUAUUUCCUCCAAAUGCGACCGAACAGUGUCUUUCUGACAGGGUGGAUAUUUGCUGAGUAAUGGAUAGCCACACAUUACAUUCCUCCGUCUCUGAACUGACAGAGUAUCGAGGGCAUUAACAACUCAGAACAGAUCAAUUUUUCAUACUGCAUAUCAGUAAUGUUUUAACCUUAUGAUAUAUGUGUGUGUGUGGAUUUAUGAAGUUGCUCUGAGGCCCACAGCAACUGGACUCAACUUAUCUGAAAACUUUAACUCAGUUUGUCUGUCUGUAAGCAGUCCCAAAAGCCUCCUCUGCUCAGUAUUAAAGCCCUGGUGCUGCACUAAUGAAAGUUGCCAGGGCCAGAGAGAACCAACCCACACACAGAACAAAAAAAAUCAAACUCCUAUUAGCCAGGAAGAAAAUGUUUGGUGCUGUGGCUGUUUAAAAAAAAUAACCGAGGUCAGGGUCAGCGGUCUGAUCAUCUAAAGGCUAACGAGCCUCUUGAGCUUUUCAGACAAACAGUGUUAAAAGUCAUAAGGUUUGUUUCUAAGCACACAGACUUUUAGUUUGUCUUUUUGAGUCAGAUUCUGUAAGAGGGCUCAGACUGCAGAAUUUAUUUCUGGCAUAUUUGGCUAUAUCAGAUUUCUAACUCUUUAGAAUAAUAGACUUACUGUUGUAUUUUUAUGUAAGAAGACCCAGAAGAAACAAGUAGAUAAAAACAUGAAGGUCACAAAAUAGAAAUUUGAAAACUACAGCUGUUUGAGAAAAGAAACUGACCAAUCAAUACUUCUUCUAGCACCCCUGUCAAACUGCUUAUUCUGUGAAAUUGUAAUAGAUAUCAGUUUAAUAAUUUUUGAUCUUGAUUUAUCACAUUUCAAAUUUCAGUAUUUUGCAUUUCAAACACUUUUUAAGUCUCUAGCAACAAUGUAAAGCACUCAUUACUAGUGUCUUGAUUUAACUAAGAGUAAUGAAAUAGGGAUGGGCGAUAAAUUAUCUUUCACAAUAUAUCGUCAGACAAAUCCUCCAUGAUAAAUAUGAUAAAUGCGAGUUGAUGAUGUAAGCCUGAGCCAUGGACUCGCAGCCAUAGCCCACACAGAGCAGAAUUACAAUCAAACGUGGCCGAGGAUAAUGAAGAAGACAUUUCUGAGCAGCUCGUUAUUAGACGAAGCUCCACAUGAGGGAUUUCCUUCAAGUUUGGGGCUUAGAUGAGUGCAAUCAGGUAUGCCUGACAUUGGACGGUGGAUCUGCUGCUGUUCAUUCUGUGCAAUAAGAGUUUUCAACAAAUGUUUUCACAUUGAUAUCAUUAGCUUUCUCCAUAACCUAUCACUCAAACUGGUUGAAAUACUGGUGGUUAAAUGUCUUAUUUGACUCUUCCAACUGUUGUUCUCAAGAUAAAAUAAGUCAAAAAUAUAGAUUGGAAUUAUACUAGUUUUUAUCAGGACAUUUAUCGUUAUCGCCAGAAGGGCAAAUCUUAUCCUGAUAAAUUUUUUAGCCCACAGCGCCCAUCCCUCCAAUGAAAUGUACUUUAUUGAACUUGACUGCAACAACAGUAUGAUCCCAAACCAUGAUAGAGGGGUAGAAGACAGCUUCAAACUUAUGACUCUACCCUUUAAAACACAGUCAGUACAUUUACAUGCACAUGCAUUUGCACUUUUUAGGAACUCCACUUUAGUUGCUUUCUCUGUUUCACCACAAACAAUACCUUUGUAUCUGCCUCUGCACACUUUGCAGCACCACUUCAUUUUCAGUUUCAUAGUUUAGAUAAAAGACCUUUACAUCAUGACAUAAACCUCACUGCUGUAAUAGAGUACUGGGAUCACUUUCAGUCCUUUUCCUGAGGCAUUUGUCUUUGCUGUUUUGGUGAAUAAGUCCCUUUUACUGCUGGCCCUUUAUUUUCCGUCUAACCACCAGGUUUGGCAGGCUGGUAUCUGCUGUGAGACUCAAUUGGCUCUGCUGCAGCUCAACAUUGUUGGACCGAAAUUCAAAAGCUAGUCGAGACUCCAGCAGUGAGGCAGUGAGUCUGCAGCAGGACUAAAACCCUGAGCGGAGAAGAUAAGGAAGCUCAUACUCAAACAUUCAUUUGUCACCUCCACACAAUGUGGAGGGGCUGCAUGGAUCUCAGGAGCAGUUUGUAUUGCAGUGAGGAGAUCAUAUUCCGAAAUCAUUAGCUUGCAUGUGUAAAUAUCUACCUUGACUGAUAUGUAGACGCUGCUGGGGAUGUUUCUGACUGCUGAGGAAUGGUAUGAAAUGGUGCAAUGGCCUGAGUUUGAUUUUUACGCUCACUCAGAAAGUCUAUUUACAUGCACCAUUGAGUCAAUUAGGUGAUCUAAUUGGAUUGCUGUGAAUGAAUGAAUGAAUUUCCCUUUAGGGAUAAAUGAAGUUCUUGUAUUGUAUUGACUCUGUCCUUGUUUAUAACGUCCACUUCCCCUACGAGUUUAGUUUACUACUCAGCCUCCUAGAAACACCAUUACACUUGCAGGUCAAAACCCGGUAUGCAAACACAGGAGCAUGUGCAGAUUGUUUAAGGCCAAUUUCAGUAUGAUUGAAGCUUAGGCAUGACAGAGAAAAUUAUACAAACCAUGUUAUCUAGGUAUGAUGGCCUUGAUUAGGGCUGGGCGAUAAACCGAAAAUUCAGCAAUACUGGAAUUUACGACAAUAACCUCCGUCAUUUUGAACAUGUAAAUAUAUUCGUUGUCAAAAAAUAAAUAAAUAAAAGUUUGUUUUGGAUGUGUGUAGGUAGGCUAUGGUCUCAUGUCCCUUUGAGAUGCUGUCAUAUGUCAGAGACGUGACUUCACCCCAUCCAGUCUGUAACAAAAAGGGACAGACAGGUGAGGCGAUGGAGGACGGUUCAAAAGUUGGAGCGGCUGAAGUAGACGAAGUAAAUGUGGGAGGGGGUGAGCAGCUUGUGGAGUAGUUGUCGUCCAUUUAUCGUUAUCAAGGUGAAUUGCUCUAUAUAUCGUGAUAUUGAUUUGAGGCCAUAUCGCCAAGUCCUAGCCUCGAUAGACUGUGAGAAGUUCAAUUUAGUGAAAUUGUAGUUAAACUAUUGUCUUUACAUGCAUUUUAAAGUCCAGUCCACUGAUUUCCUGUAGUUCAUGUACAUAUUUAUACCUCUGUGUUUGCUUCAGCCAGGGUUUCUCACCUUCCAACACUCCGACUCCUAGUUUGCAGUCCUCCCCACCUCCAUCCCUCUCAGGGUUUCACGCUCCCAACUGUGAAAUUCACCCACAUUUACAAUUGUGUCUUCAAUCAGAGCAGUCUCAAAGCCAGCUGAAUGCUGCCUUUCAUUGGAUCAACAGGAGGUCCAAAUCAGUGCACAGAAGACCGAGUGAGUCCAUUCCUGUCCCUACUUCUUUACUGAUGACUGACAGACUUUUAGGGACAGGGGCAGUAGAGUUCAGGAGGCUUUUAACUUUUCCACCAUCAGCACGAAAGGCCACAAAAAGGUGAUGACUAAGUCUGAUAUAAAAGGCCUCAACAACUGAACCCUGAUAGAGAGGACGGAGAGUCCUGCUUGAGUUUGAGAGACCACCUAUUGUUUUCGUGGAAGUCAGAGGCUACAGAAGUUCACUUGAUGCUCCAUGCAGCGUUAGUCAGCGACCCCGUAAGUCUCUUGUUGAUCCCUUUGAAUCACCUGCACUCAGCAGUGUCUGAUCCUCGAAUCUAAAAUCUAUGAACUUCCUUGAUGUGGUCUGAAAGGUAAUUACAACCUCUAGAGAAUGAAACACGUCUAAGUCCUUCUGUCUCAGUCUGAUACUCAUGUGGGUAUUUGAAAAUGUGUGUCCUUGUUUUACUGGGUUAAUUGGCACCCCUCUCCAGCAAGGUGUAUCUUGCGUUAUCAGCCUCUCUAACUGUCGAUUUCAACUCGAUUUAAGCAUCCUCAGACCCCACUUUAUCUACCAACUUUCUCGAAUUGAUGUGGAUACAACCAGUGCCUUCAGGUGUCGUUAAAAUUCAACUUUAAGUGCCAAAGCCAAGCAGCUAAACACCCGUAUACUUAAAUAAAUCUCUGCUCUGUUUGUCUUUGAUACUGUAUUAGACAGCCUGGGGAAUAUCGUUGCCGGUUUUAAUUGUUGUCAACCACAGCUAAGAGUCAACUUUGAUCAAGAUGGCUGGCUUUGCUGUGAAUAGCUGUGUGUUUUAAUCCGGGGAACCAGGAUCAGUUUGUGAGUCUUUAAUGAGGCUGCCGGCGGCUUUGAUCAAUGGCCUGUGCGCGCAAGGUUACACGCCAACACACCGCGUUAAUGAAGCCAGGGGGUGUAAAACAUGAUCAGACACACCAAACACAAACACAAACAGGAAGUCAAGAAACACACAUAAUGAAGCACCUUUGACAUGUCGGUGUCUAGUUCGCUUUGCCAAGUCUUUUUAUCUGGUGGGACCUGUUUGUGCUGGGUUGGGUUGGCUGAAAAUUCACCCUAAAGACAGCUAAACAGGAAAUUUGUGUUUAUACCAUUCCCAGUGUUGCGUACAUAUCUAUGCAAAUACGUAUACAUGCACAGAUAUUUGGUGUGCAUUAAUUGCACAUCCAUGUAUUCAUGUAUGUACAGGGCUUGACACUAACUUUUUUCACAUGGAGCACAUGUGCUUCUAAGUUGAAAAAGUAAGGAGCACACAAAGAACUUUAGGGGCACAAUGAAAAUUGAUCAAAUAAUGAAAUCAAUUUUAGGUCAAUUGGUUACAUGACAUUGAAGCUAUUGAAGGAAAACAGCCUUUUUUGAGAACAUCAACCACUAAUUUAUUGAUGGUCCCUUAUUCAACACCGGACAUUGACAGCGAGGGUGCCGAGUAGAUUUAGGUGGACUUUACACGAGUAUGGAUUUGUAAGACACCGGUAAAAUAAACUAUCGAUCUGGUGAUAUUGACACACAGAGACGCGUAUUUGUCCAUGACUUUGCAUCUUUUUUGAAAACGGGUCUGCAGGUGGAUAUCUGGGUAUCUGUCUUCAUGCCGUAGUUGGCCGUAGCUGUUGUUUACGUUCAGAACAGAAGCCUGGACAGGAGGGAAGUCGACCUUGUAUACACAUGCGCAUUCUCUGUUUUUGGUGCUUUGUGGCAAUUUCACAGUGUCACCUUUAGGCCGGGCGUAUGUACUACAGGAUUUUGCGUGGUCAUGUAAAUGCACUAAGCCUAUGUACAAUACGAUGUGUGAACAGCAAUACAUGUUUUGGUGCCAACGCAAAGACAAUAUGGGGCCAUCCUCUUGCCAUUUCUGGUUAUGGAGAGUUAGAAGUCACCGGUAGAUCUGCAGUGAAUGUCCGUUGAAUAUCCAACCUAAAACUAACCUCUCUGCGGUAUUUACAUGAUAAAACAUUUGUUGCCUCUGCGGAUUUUUUUUUAUGUGCACAUGUGCCGCUAAAUACAUUUUGCAUUUCGCACACAUCUAUUUUUAGUCACAAAUGUGAGUGAAACGGUCGCACUCUCAAGCCCUGAUGCAUUAGUUGUAAAGCGAAACUGAGGAUUGAGAUGCUCUUUUCCAGCUGCAGAGAUAGUAGAGUACCUCUGACCCAGUGUUUGGAAGAUGGUUGGGCCUGCUGCAUCUGUUUGAUCAAAACAAGCCCUCUGGCCUAAAGAGAGGCAAAAGCAAUUGAAUCAGACUAAUCCCUGAGAAGAUUGUAAUCAAGAAGAAUACCAAAAAUGCCUGUUGAGGGGUUUUGAUCUAUUGGUCAAUUAAGCAUCUUAGAAAAUACAUUAAAAAUCAAUGUCCAAUAACCGGAGAGCCGUGGGCAAAUUCAGGAAAAUAUGAGCUUAAGUUGCCUGUGAACUGUUGCAUCUAUUUCAUGUAUCAACCUGUGUUUGAUUUAAAAAGGUGGAUGUGGGUGUAUUUACUCCCCCAGUGACGAAGCAGAAUUGGAUUUUUACUCGUUUUGAGCCGUUGUGCCGAGCUUUUCAACCCCUUCAACUUAAAACAAACAGAUUUCUCAAACUGUCAAGUAUUUCAAAAACUUUAAAUGUCUUUAUCAUGACUCUAUUAGAUUUAGGAUGACAUUUAUGUUACAUUAAGGCAAUUGACUGACUCUCAGUGCAAAUAGCUGUCAGACACUUUCUCAAUAGAGGAGAAUUAUUUUAUCAAACUGUGGCAUUUUUGCGCUCCAGGCAACACUCAGAGCAUCAGGGUCAAAAACGUGUUUAAAUUCAAAUAUUUCCUGACAGAAAGACGAUCUUGUGUAAUUAAAGUUCAGUCAUGGAGGCGCUCCCCUCGGCUCUGCGACCCAGAAAACUCGCUCUCUGUUAUAAGAGCUUUUUUAGAGCAAGACGACAGUGAGCAAAAUUAUGAUUAUGUAACGUGCGUGUGUUUGUGCUGGAAGCUGAAUGGUAUUACAGGGUUGGCAAAGCAGCUGGCAGGAGCGCAAUUAGAGAGGAGUCUGGUGAGAAGCACAUGUGUGGAGAGACACAGACGCGCAACACGUAUCCUGACCUCAUCUCAAUUAAACCUGACCUGAAACGGGUCCGCACAAACAUGUAUGAACGAUAAUGAGCCAGGAGGUUAUUCUGUGUGUAUGUGCGAAUGUUCCUGCAUAGUUUUUCCAUCCUCUUAUAGCGCCGACACAGACAGACAGACGGACUGUUAGUGUGUAGAUGAUCCUGCGUCUGACAGCCAGUGAGCCAACAGAUUAUGGACGGGUUUAGAGCUUCCUGUAAAACUUGGACGGUGAUGAUUUAAGUGAGCCAGUUGGGAGCAUUUCACGAUCAACCCGCUGAUUCACUCCAUCACUCUCUCUCUCUGUAAUCUCCCUGUUUGCCUCUCUUUCUCCCUGAUCGUGUGUGUGUGUGUGUAUUGGUGGUGUGUCUCCCCUCUGCAUAAACCACCUCCUGCAUGAACUGCAAAUUGGGUUUCACAAACAUUUACCGGGACUGACGUGUUCUCUCCUGCAGAGUGAGGAAUAGUAUAACUUGAGUCCUUUAACAAGUCUGUUUGCAUGUGUGAGCCCUGCAGCAUUUGAAUAAGCCUCCGUCCUCCCGUGCAGUAAACAACUCGGGAUGCCUCAUUACUUUCCUUAAAAAGGUCCAAGAGUUUGAUGUAUGGCUGAGAUUUCUACACACAUACUUUUGCACGCCUUAAAUUUUGCAUAACUGUCUCAAAAAUCAUCACAACUGUCAUAAGAAUAGAAAUAACUCAGUUUCUGUCACCUACAACAGAGUAUUAGGGCCACAUUAAGUAAAAAAAAAAAGACUUUAUUCUUGUAAGUAAUGAAGUAUUCUUUUAAGUACUCUUGUAAGUAAUAACUUUGCUACUAAUUUCUCAAGUAAUUAUUUAUUUGCAACUUUGUUCUCGUAAGUAGUUACCUUGCUACGACUUUAUUCUCUUCAUUAAUUACUGUAUUAUGACUCUGUUCUCGUAAGUAAUUCCUUUAUAACAACUUUUUUCUUGAAUAAUUACCUUGCUACGACGUUAUUCUCAUAAGUAAUUACUUUGUUAUGACUUUAGGAUUCCUUAAUACCGACUUUAUUCUCGUAAGUAAUUACUUUGCUAUGACUUAAUUCUCUUGAGUAAUAACUUUAUUACGACUCUAUUUUUGUAAGUUAUUACAUUAUUAUGACUCUAUUCUUGAAUAAUUACCUUGCUACAACAUUAUUCUCAUUAGUAAUUACUUAAAUAUGACUUUAUUCUCGUAAGUAAUUACUUUAUUAUGACUUUAUUCUUGCAAGUAAUUACUUAAUCACGACUGUUUUUGUAAGUAGUUCCUUUAUAUUGACUUUAUUCUCAUAAGUCAUUACUUUUUUACAACUUUAUUCUCGGAAGUAGUUACCUUGCAACAGCCUUAUAAGUAAUCACUCCAUUAUGACUCUAUUUGUCUAAGUAAUUACCUUGCAACGGCUUUAUUUUCACAAGUAAUUUCUUUAUUACGACUUUAUUUCCUUCAGUAAUGACUUUAUUUUUUUAACUUAACAAUUUUAUUUUCAAAAUCUUAAUUUUUCUCUUUAUGAUAUAUAACAAUAAUUUAAAGCACUGCUGUUCCCAGACUGUCUUUUGAUUGUGUUAGUUAUUUUCAACUCGAACAAUAUGGCCAGAAAAAUGUAUUUGCAAGGCUGUUUUUUUUAUCAGUAAAUCACAUAAUAAUGCACAAACCCACCCUUACAGCUCCCUCCAGUAAUCACCCAGAUGCAUCCCCCCCCUGCUGAUAGACAGACGUCAGACAGCUGCUGGGCUCCAGAGUACUCAAAGCAUCCGAGGCUGUGAGCACAGACUGAACCAUCCGGAAAUCGACAAUCAAACAAAAGAGCCGUACAGGCAACACACAGGGCAGAGAGGUAAGGCAUGAGAGAGCAAUAAUGGAGGUGGAGAGAGAGGAGGGGGAAGUGACAGGACUGGGGGAGAGGGAGCGGGAGAGGGAGUGUUUGCACAGGGACCCUGACUGAUAGUACUACUCACAUAUUCCUCAACAUCCUUUCCUGCUUGUCCCUGUCAAUGCAGCUCCCUCAUUCUCUCUGCAAAAAGGAAGCAGCAGAGGACUGUCAGCACCUCUUCCUCCAUUAUUGUUAUUUAUGUUGAUGCUGGCUGCACAUUUCCCCGCUGAUAUGCGAUUUAUACUGCUGUUUAGGUCUUUAUCAGGCAGAGCGGUCUUAUCUGGAUCUGCACUCUGCUGGAACGAUCCAGCGAGGUGUGAUAUAUCUGUGCUGCUGUGUGGGAACGUCAGGAUGAAAAAGUUGCAGAAAAUAAGUAAUUAGUGAGCAGCUGAAUUACUGACUGAGUUGCUGAUCUGUGGAGGGAAUAAAUUCCAUCUGAAAUUAACUUUACUCUUAUUAUCCUGCUUCUCCUCUCUGCUGUAUAGUCACAUCAGUUCUUUGAAAGCAGCUCCACAGUUGGCUUGGUAUAAUCUAAUGUAGUUGUCGGCCGUCUAAAACAAAGUAAUGAAUAACAAUCUCUAUUAUUUCAACUGCUUUCUUGAAUAUGUGGAUUAAGACUUAGACUUGACCUCAGGUUCCAGACUCUGUUUCAGCCUGUGUUGACCUGCAGGCAAAGCUGUUGUUCUUUCACUAAACCUUUUUUCUCUCCUGUUUUUUGCCUGAAAUGUGUUUUUCUCUGUAUGGUGGUCAGUUGAUUAUUUUUCGGCUGAGUUUCUAACCCCAGGUCUCCAAAUCCAGAUGAAAUCCUCUUUGAAACUCGAAGUACAGCAAGGUUCUCCUCAGGAUUAGAAGCUUUUCAGCCAACGCAGACUUCACUUGUGCCCUCUUGACUGUAUCUCGGUGUUGUUUUUUUCUGCAGAAACACACAUUCCCCUCUCAAAGACUCGGGGAUGAGAGGAAAGCAAAGUUGUGAAGAGAUGUUGACAGCAGAACUUUGUAGGUCGCUCAAAUGAGAGCAUGGUACACCUGCCUGGUAAUUCUCAAACACUCGAACAGGUCCAGGAGAGAAAGUGUUGAGAGAUUCUGUUUGGAAGAACAGAAAGGAAGGUUUGUUCUUUGAGAGUAUCAGCUAUUAUUUGGCAGGAAGCAGAGAAAUGAGCAGUCUGAGUUUGAGACCAACACAGAACUUCUAAAGGCUUUCGCACGUACACAUUUACUCAGACGUGAGCUGUUUAAGAUUGACAACAGUGUCACUGUUGUGCAACAAUCAUGCAACUCAAGGAGCUGGUUUAGAUUUAUUAUAUCGUUCAUCUAACCAUAAAAAUCUUACCUUCUUUUCUCAACACCCAAUUAUUCAGUGUUUCUGUUCCCACCCAUAAUUUGGGAUUAAAAUAUCUUUUGGGGACAUUGUUUUGUAAUUGCAACCAUCCAGGGUGACUCUGUGCAUAAUUCAACCAUUAAUGGCUUUAAGAAGUUUAAGAAGUUUCCUUCUAAAUGGCCCAAAGUGGAGAUUGGUGUUCUUGAGCUCUGCGGCUGCUGAUUGUGGGUAUCAGGUAAAAUCACACAGUGUUCACAGCGCCACCUUUAACAAACUCUUUUAUGCUGAGCCGUGGGCUGUGAUAGAGCGAAUAGCGUCAUUGCUCCAAGCUUUGUUUCUAAUGAUGUUCAAAUUUAUGAUUUAGCAGGUGUGCACAACUAACAACUCUCUCGCUUUAGACGAGGUUGUGAAGUUUUGGAAAGAGUUCAUAAGUAAAACACUUUGGUUUUAAAGGCAGCCGUGUUAAUUUCCCUGCUAAUUUCCCUGCUUGUCACCAAUUUAAGAGGCAGGCCCGAUAAAAGCUGGCGAAUUGCUGAAAUCAAGCCUCUAAUGGAAUCUGAUCAUUAUCGAUUUUUUGUACUUUGCCGGUUUAAAGCGAACUCGAUAGAAGAGGCAAACUUCAGUCCUCUUUUUCUAACUUUAUAUGAUGCUUUCUGUCCGUCUCGUCUUGAACACAUCACUUCUUUGUGUCCUCUUGCUUUGUCUCUCACAUUUUUUACAGCUGUGAAGUGUCUCACCAGCGCACCAGAUGUUGGUGUGUCAGACACCUGCACGUUCACACGUACACAGACGCUUCUAAGCAAGAGGAGCAGCAUCACACUGAGCUGUCUCAUUAUCCGUAGCCACUCUGAACACGAACACGCCACAGAGCAGUUACAUGCUCACCUGUGGCAAACAGAAGGUGCCUCAGGGUGAAUAGAGGGCCGGGAUUGGGCAUAAGAGCCGACUAAUGAGGUUGUUACCUGGACGAAUAAGAAGGUUUAAUGUGUAAGCUGUGAAAUUCCCUCAAGCUUCCACCUCCUCAAAUGAGGGGAAUAGAUUACAAGAAAAUUCAACUUUGAUCGGAAUAAAUGGAUCCAUCCAUAAAUCCAUCCUGGAUGGAUGGUCCCUUCUCGAUAGAUGAGGGUUUCUGCUGGUCUCCAUCAAAUCUGAAACUUUGAAGAAGUUCAUCCUGUCUUACUGAGCUGUCAGUAAAAAGUUACAUAAGUGAAAAUGUAGGAUGUAAAAUUCAUUAUUUGACUUCUAAUCCAUUAUAAUUCACUCUAUUGUAAACCAAUGGGACUCUGACGUUGGUCUUUGGACUUAUUUAAGCUUUUUAUUUCAUUUUUUGGAUAAGCAGUUUAUGUGUCACAACAUAUCACAUGUACUGUAAUAAACACCAUCUAUUUAAAGCUACAUUAAGGUAUAAAAUAGACUAAAAAUCAUAUUGAUGCCCUUUUAUGAUAUUCAAAAGCAAAUAAAAACAUUAGCAAAAACUUUUCUUCUAAUAUUUUUAAUGCCUGAAAUUGGUGCAAAGAAGUAGGCGUCAGUAGAGCCACUCAUAUUUUCCAUGUUAAGUAUUUACUUUGUCCAUUAGGGGGCUCAAAAAGUUCCUCACAGGAGCUUUAAAGUACUUAUAAAUUCAUUUAUCAUUAUGGCGACACAUAAUCUGAGGUUCUAAUUCACCUAAUAAAGGAUAACAUCCUAAUGUUAAUUAUCUAACUGAUUAAUUAUUCAAAUCCAGAGAGACCCCUCCUCCUCCUCCUCCUCCUCCUCCUUGGGGAUAAGAGCAGAGCACACAACUUGUAUAUUCUACUUUCAGCCGCGUGUGUUAUCUAAAAAAUCCAAAUGUCACGGUUGUGGAUCAUCAAUCUAAAUGCUCCUGAGAGAGUUUCCGUCACAGUUCCUCCUGAGACUUUAUUAAUUAGCCCAACCGAGGUGAUUAAUUUAUGAUAUUAUUGAGUCAGUCAUGUCUCAGUUAUGAAACAGCCUCUAAGUGAAGGUGUAUCUGGAGGUGAAGAGGCCAUUUUUGUAAGUAUAAGGAAGAGAUACACUGUUAAUCUGCAAUCAAGUCAUUUUCGGGUUGAUGGCUUUACCCUUGUCUCCUCUUGGAGGUCAGUUAAACAUAUCCUUGUAGAUUAUUUCCCGCAGAGAGGAGCCUAUCUGGAGCUGUUUUGGUAUCUGCAGUUUUAUAGGGCUUUUAUCUGGGUCUCCUCUUCUUUUUUUUGCCCAGAGCUGAGAAAUGCCUAUGACAUUUGGAUUUUCAAAAGCUGAGUAUCUUCCUCGAUCAGGUGUGAAAAGCAGUGGCUGUUUAUAAGUUGUGAUUCAGAUGGUCAGGGCAGCUUCAGUCAGCCAGGGGGUGAAGAUGGAGACCUUGAUGCUCCUGUUGAAGUAAGAGGAAACACAAUCAAGGAUCUGUUUUCCAUCAGUCUGCAUGAACGGCACUGUCAGUUUCUCUCUUGGCAUCCACAACCCUUCAUCUCGCCACUCCCUCCCAAAGGAGCAGCAGAAACCUCAAACCCAUUACCUGAGCCACAGCCCCAGGUUCACAAAGAGGACAUCACAUCAUGGAUCUGGUUCAUGUAAAGUGUUCUCCAUUCGUUCAUAAUUAACACCCUCCGGUUACUUUUAUCCUCUACAUGAGAAUAACUGACUUUAUUUAAUCAGAUUUCUUUUUCCAGCGUCAGUCAAACAGUGGAUAAUUCUUAACUAUAAACCAAUGUGUGAUUAUUCUUUCUCUUUAUUAAUGUAGGAGUCAGAUGUUGGAAUUGAUUCAGCUGUUACAUUAAUAAGGGCGCUGCAUAAUGAACCCUGCACUGCUGUUUUCUUACCUUACCCAUGAUGCUGUGCGUCUCACGUCAAAAAUAAACACUGUUCCCCUCCUUAUUGCCAAUAAAAGGACAGAUUGUUUUAGGCCAGUUUCAGUACGAUCAGAGGUUGGACAUGACAGAAAAAAUUAUCCACGCUAUAUUAUCUAGGUUUGAAAACCUCGAUUAGGGCUAGGUGAUAAACCAAAAAUGUACUGAUACCGAAAUUUAUGGCAAAAACCGACGUUGUUUUGUCCGUGUCUAUAUAUAUUAGAUGUCAGACAAAUAAAUAAAUAAAUAAAAGCCUAUUUAGAUGUUGUCCUACGUCGGAGGCGUGACUCCACCCCAUCCAGUCCGGUGAGGAGAUGGAGGAUGGUUAAAAAAUAGCAGCAGCUGGAGCGGCAGCUGAAGUAGGCGAAGUUAAUGUGGGAGGGGGUGAGCAGCUUGUGGAGUAGUUAUCAUCCAUCUAUCAUUAUCAAAGUUAACUGCUCAGUAUAUUGUGAUACUGAAUUGAGGCCAUAUUGCCCAGCCCUAGGAUAAAGCAAUCUAAGUAAAGAUUUGCCUCAGUCUGGUCUGGUAACACAGCAGCAGUAGUGGAGGAUCAGCAAUGCAAAUGUGUAAGAAAAUAUAUUUGCCAUCAAAAAUUCAAUAAGUGCACAUCCAGUAAAAUCUAAUUUCAGGUGCUGUAUGAAGAAUCCUUGUGUAAGCAGUGUUUAAUUUAAUAACACUUUCCACUAACUCCUGUUAUCAUCCAGCUGUGACAACAUGAAUCCCUGAGCAGACCCAGAGAGAAUCUAAUUUGUAAUCAAUUUGGAAAGCGUGGGACUUCUGACAAAGUGUGGCCGUCCUUCUUCACAGUCAGCGUGACAGGUUUACAGAUCACAGCUUUGGUCUGACACUUAGAGUGUGAGCAAACAUAGCAGUUUUAUCUACACGUUGCCCCCGUCCUCCUCCUCCUCGGAGAAGCAUGAGCUCUCUUCCAAUAACCAGACUGAAAACGUAUGAAUCAACGUAGUCGAAAUCCCUCACAGCUCCUGCCUUACAGCCUCUCCCCCGGAAGACUUGCAUAUCCUGCUCUGUAUGUACAAGUGAGCCCAGACUAACAUCUUCAACAUUACUUGGAGCUGCUGGUGCAUUGGGGCAUAUCUGUCUUCAAAGAAGGAAGCACCACAGGCACUGACAUCCCACCGGCCAUUUACUGAGCAGCAGAGAGGAGAAGGACAGGAAUAAAUAGAGGACAGGACUGAAUUAAACCUCCAGUUUCUUAACCUUAAAACUUCUUGCCUCUUUAGGUUUGCUGUUUAUUCGUUCCCAGUCUUAUUUUAAGCCAAUGAUGUGCUGCCUCACAGUCGUCUCAUUACUCUGGGGGCUAUGAGAAGGGUUAUAUAAAUAUGUUUUUUGUUGCCUUUUGACACUGUAAGGCUUGCUAGAUUCCUAAGCUAAAAUACUGUGGCUUUAUGUAAAGUGUACAGUUGCAAAAUUGGGAUUGAUCCUUAUCUCACAGUUGAUAAUCAAGUAGACUUGCAUUUCCAGAAAAUGUUGGUCUACUCCUUUCCACCAGGUACAGAGUGGCUCUGCAGGCCUUCAGGGGAAAAAUCACGGGGAAAGGAAAAGGAAGCAGCUCAGCAGUGGAAGUGACUGAUGUCCUUCAUGACCAGGAGCAAGACUGGGAUCAUUUAUCGAUCAGGACAUUUCAUCAAGUGUCAGAGUGAAGUCUCACACUGGGUGACAAACUGCUUUCUUUAUUUCUUUCGGACCCUGAAGCCCUGUAUCACCAUGACAACCUCCACGGCUCUCUGUGUCUCCUGUAUCUUGACCUUUGUUUUUUUUUCCUCGAUAUUUUGCAAACUAUCUUAAACUCUUUAAACAAAUUUAAUACUUGUUUUUCUCGAUGCAUCUUUCAGUGUUUUUAUGUUACAACUGCAGGUGAGACUAGUUUAUUAGUCUGAAAAUUAGACUGCAAGAAGUCUGAGGAGGCAAGUACAGAUUGUUCAUUAGCACAUGGUAACACACACAUUACCAAUAUUCAUCUAAAGGGAAGCACUUGUUGCAUGAUUUCCAUUUUUUACCACUUGUCAUGAUAGUAGUUUUAACACCAUAUUACAAAAAUGCAAUUAUCGCUCUCAGAGUCACAAUUAUUAUAAGAGUGCUACUUCAUAUUUUGCAAAUGUGAGAAGAACAAAAUGUCAGAUUUGCACCUGUAACUGUUGGGUAAAGGUUAAGGCUCUGAUGUUUUUACAGUGCUUCAGCGUAGAGCAUCUGCUUCAGCCAGAUGCUGAUUUUAAAAAUACUGACAUCAGCUUUUAUAAUGCAUGAAGAGAGCUGGCUUUGACAAUAACAACGACAGGAAGGCACAAUGACAUUAAUACUUUUCAGCUGAGUGCUGAGUUAGUCUGAUCCGAGCGCUUUUGUCGGGAAGUCUGCAAAUAUAUGAUCAUUUUAGUGGAGUUCAUUUAUAGCGUGCUUUUGUCUUUUUCAGCAUUUUUUUUUUAAGGGGGGGUGACACCAGUUGCCUGGCAACCAAUGAAUGGGGAAAUUCAGAGUGUUACUUCUCCUGACUUAUAAAUGGUCUGGCAUGAAUCCCCUCCAAAAUUGUGAUAUGAUGUUGCUAUUGUUGUAUUUGAGCUUGUGAACAUGUGAUACGUGUAAACAGACCCUGUUCAUGAUGUACUUUAAGUAAACAGUGUAUGACUUGUCACGACCAGGCUCCUCAGCCGCGACAAAAACAACGGAAGAUGCACUAGUUAACGUAAACGUAAUGAAUUUAUUAAGAAAACAGUAUAACAGCAACUUAGGAGGUGAACACAAACAAGUCAUGGGGUGUGAGGAUCAGUAGAUCAGCUGUGUAGGUGCGUGCAUGCAUGAGUGAAUACGGGGUGUAAUGUGUGUUAGGGUGUUGGAUGCGUAAAACAAAAGACAAAGCCAUCCGCCCGGAGGGAAGGAGAGAGCGAACUGGUGGAGAAGGCGGGGUAUUUAUAGGUUGGGAGACACCGGGCCCAGGUGCUGCCAACCUCACUAACCGAUCGGACCGCCCCCUGGUAACCUCCUGCUUGACAGAGGGAAAAGCAUACAUUAGACACCAGGGAACCGUCACACCCACCCCCACAAGAACGGGGUCCUGAAGGGAAUCCCGGGAUUAAACAAACCUAAGCAAACAGACCAACAUAAACACAAUACCCCACAGUAACACCAUAUCAGUGCAACCGUAUCCAGUCAACUUUUUUUUUUUUUUUUUUUAUUUAAAGUGCUAGUCUAAAAAACAACCCAAACCCAACAUACAUUACAUCCUUACAGGCACCGUGAGCACAGUGGAACACUACAAGUCCAGGUACCAGACUGUUUCGUUGGUCCAACAUCCCUUAACCCAAACUCCCCACCCCAGCAACCGGUGCACCUAGGAAGCAAUUUAAGAGAUUGAGAGGAGGCAAGAGUAGAACCAAAAGGGAAACAGUUAGGCACAGUCGCCACGCGGGGGAGCCCGAGACAACGCGUCUGCCACCACGUUCUCGGCCCCCUUCACAUAGCGAAUGUCCAGAGAGUACGACUGCAGGAACAGCGACCACCUGACCAGCCGCUGGUUGGGACACUGCAAGGAGUUAAGAAAAGUUAGAGGGUUGUGGUCAGUGUACACGAUGGUAGGGGCACCGCUGCCACCAACAUAAACGUCGAAAUGUUUUAAAGCCAAAAUUAACGCAAGUGCUUCUUUUUCGAUAACCGCGUAAUUUAACUGACACGGGUUAAAUUUCUUGGAAAAGAAACUAACAGGUUUAUCGAUUCCCAAAUCAUCCGUCUGCAUGAGGACAGCUCCUGCUCCAGCGUGACUGGCAUCUACAUAGAGUUGAAACGGCUUGUCAAAACGCGGGGCAGACAGGACAGGAGCAGAGCAAAGCAGCUCUUUUACCUGUACGAACGCUUUGUCGCAAGCCGGAGUCCAAAUAUAUUUCGCCUUUCCUUUCAACAGAUCAGUUAAUGGUGCUACGACUGUUGAAAAAUUUCUACAGAACCCCCUGUAGUAGCCGACGAGACCAAGAAAGCGCAUAAGUUCUUUUUUCGUUGCCGGAACGGGGAACUGUUUCACCGCCUGAACUUUAGCAUCUACGGGCCGCACCUGGCCCUGCCCAACCACACGGCCCAAGUAUGUAACGGUUGCUCUGGCAAACUCACACUUUGCGAAGUUAACCGUGAGCCUUGCCUCCGCCAAACGAGUGAACAGUUCCCGGAUACGCUCCAGAUGUUCUUCCCACGUAUCCGAAUACACCACUACGUCGUCUAGAUAAACCGCACAGCCCUGCAUGUCCCCAAUGACGCGGUUCAUAAGACGCUGAAAGGUAGCAGGCGCAUUUCUAAGGCCAAAGGGCAUCACUGUAUAGGAAUACAGACCGGCUGGUGUCACAAAAGAGGCUAUCUCACGCGCACGCGGCGUCAAGGGCACCUGCCAAUAUCCCUUUAACAGAUCAAAUUUACUGACGAACGCUGCUGAACCAACCUGAUCUAUACAAUCGUCCAUCCUGGGAAAUGGAAAAGAGUCAGGCUUUGUAACGUUGUUAACUUUACGAAAAUCUGAACAGAAACGGGGCGUGUUGUCAGACUUUGGAACGAGCAAGCAGGGAGAUGACCAACUGGAAGAGCAGGGUUCCGCAAUCCCAUUCUCCAGCAUGUAAUCAACCUCGGCAUCCAAAUGUUUACGACGAUCUGCAUUUACUCGAUAAAAUCUUUGUUUGAUGGGCGCAGCAUCCCCCACAUCUAUGUCAUGUUCAAUUAAGUGAGUGCGACCGGGUGUAUCACUGAAGAGGUCCGGAAAACCUCGGAUCACCUGGAUCAACUCUGCUCGGCGCGAUUCUGUUAAAUGUGGAAACAGGUUAUCCAACCGGGCCAUAGCCUCAGAAUUUUUAAGCCGCCCAUGUAACAGAGCCGAGUCAGGCAUAUUUAAUUCGUCAUCAGACUCCGAAUGACUAGGAUUAGAACACACCACUGGGGCCACCGCGCACACUGCAUGGAUCUGAACACUUGGCUGCGGGUCAACGGCAACUGUCUCCGAGGGGCGCGCGUAGUACGGCUUGAGCAAAUUUACAUGGCACAUUUGAGUCGGUUUCCUACGACCCGGUGUUGAAAUCACGUAGUUAAGCUCUGAAAUUUGUUCCAACACUGUAUGCGGCCCAGUAAAUUUUGCCUGGAAUGGUGAAGUGACGAUUGGAAGCAAAGCCAGCACUUGGUCCCCAGGACUAAAAACACGGCGCUCAGCCCCCCUGUCAUAUAGAUGCUUCAUCUUGCCCUGAGCUGACUCCAGCUUCUCCUUGGCCAAUACCCCUGCAGUGUACAGCCUGUGCCUAAAGCCAUUGACGUAAUCAAUUAAAUUCUUUGGAGGUUGUGACUCUACCCAGCCGCUAGACAGCGCAGCCAAUGGACCUCUGACAGUGUGUGCGAAGACAAGCUCAUUCGGGCUAAACCCUGUACUCUCCUGUGUCACCUCCCUUGCUGCAAGCAUUAACCAGGGCAACCCGUCCUCCCAGUCUCUACCCAGCUCCGUGCAAUACGCGCGCAAAAGGGACUUAAGAGUCUGGUGGAAGCGCUCCAACGCUCCCUGACUUUGAGCGUGAUAGGCAGAGCUCUGGUUAUGCCAGACUCGCAGCUGUUUCAGCACCUGCUGGAACAUUUGAGAGGAGAAGUUAGACCCUCGAUCUGACUGAAUCACCUUUGGGAUGCCAAACACAGAUAUAAACUGGGAGAGCGCCCGUACCACAGACCUUGUAGUUAUUGUACGCAGGGGAUACACAGCAGGGUACCGGGUGCUCUGGCACAUUAUAGUCAAAAGAUAAUUCGCACCAGAUUUAGAGCGGGGCAAUGGACCGACACAAUCAACAAUCAAGUGCUCAAAAGGCUGUCCGACUGCGGGUAUGGGACACAGAGGCGCAGGUUUCAACGUUUGAUUGGGUUUGUCAGUUAACUGGCAUGUAUGACAUGUUUUAAUGAAAGUCGCGACAUCCCUCUUCAUACGAGGCCAAAAGAAGUGUCUCAGGAGUCGGUCAUAAGUUUUUCUUACUCCAGAAUGACCUGACUCAUCAUGAGCAACUUUCAACACACACUCCCGCAGCUUUACUGGCAAAACUAUUUGGACCACUGGGUCCCCCACUACGUUCGCGCUGUGUACCCACUUUCUCACCAAUAAAGAGUCGUGGCAAAAAUAACCGGAAGCACUGUCCCACACCUCACUCGCCGGUCGAACCUGGUCAAACAGCUUCUUCAGGGAGGGAUCAGACUGCUGCUCGGCCACUAGGUCACUGCGAGAUAUGGACAGAGGAAAGUCAGACAGGGGCAAUGCAAAUCUUUCACGGACACCCUCUUUAUCUGUGUCAACCUCGGACUUUGCGGCCACCAUAGCACGCGUAACGGCGCAGGCUGAAAAAAUCUCCGGAAAAUCACGUUCAUUUUCAUCCGGCUUCAAUCUCGCCAACGGUGUCGGCGCCACCACGACGGGUUGUGAUACCCCUGCCCAGACUCUCGCCCCUAACAAAUCGUUUCCGAGAAUAACCGACACACCUGGAAUAGGCAACGCCGGGCGCAGCGCGAGACCAGCCUCCCCCUGAAACAAAUCACACUGAAGCGUUACGUUAUGUACUGGGACCCACAGGACGCUGAGAUCCAUUCCCCGGACAGGAACAGAGCUCCCCGUCUCUGUGUCUUUCGACAAAGGCAAAACUCCUACCCUGAUGAAUGAAUCGAACGCUCCCGUGUCCCUCAGAAUAGUCACCGGCACCUUAGUAUCGCUUCCUACCAUAGACACAAACCCCUCGGUGAUGAACGGUCGGUACGAAUCCAUCUCCGGACAAGAAUCUGUAUCAUGCACAACCUCAGAAGUGACGAACUGACGCGCGGGCACAGCCAAAGCGACCCCUUUCGCAUGAUCCCCAAAAGUGCUCUUAGAUUUAGACCGCAGCCAUUGACAGUCUGCUUUCCAGUGUCCGCGUUUGUGACAGUAAUUACAAAGUUUGUCCGAAUCACCUAGGUGACUGCCACUCUGUUUAUCACUUGGAAAGUGUUUAAGGGGUCGGCCGAAUGACUCCCUGUUUACACUGCCCAGCCGGGGCUCACUAAAACUAUUCCGAUGAGUUAACACAUAAUCAUCUGCGAGAGCCGCCGCCUCAGUCGCGUUUCUAGCUUUUCGUUCACUGAGGUAGGUUGCCACUCGCACCGGCAGUGAAUUUUUAAACUGCUCCAAUAUGAUAAGCUCACAGAGACCAUCAAAAUCAUCCACACUCGCCGCAGCGCACCAGCGCGUAAAAUGGGUAGCCAAAUCGCGUGCAAAUUCUAAGUGACUCUGCCUUUCUCCCUUUUUCCAAGCUCUAAAUCGCUGCCUAUAGGCUUCUGGGACUAAUUCAUAAGCCCUUAGAACUGCCAAUUUCACCUGAGAGUACUUACGACUUUCCUCCCCUGUUAAUGCUGAGCAGGCCUCCUGUGCUCUGCCUGUGAACACACACUGUAAUAAUAGCGUGCGCACCUCAUCCGACCAUUUACGUGCAUCAGCGACCCGUUCAAACAAAGAAAAAAAUGAUUCAGGAUCUUUCUCACAAAAUUUUGGCAAAAAACGCAAAUUGCCCAACACAUCAAAACUAUCGGUGGACUGACCCAAAACAGAAUCAUUGGCCAACUCACCCGUAGCCAUCAGCUUUCCCUCUUUAAUCAGUGCCAAUUUAGAAUGCUCAAAUUCCAAUUUGGCCUGCUCCGUUUGCUGACGCAUCCUCUCCACAGCCAGUUCUUUCUCCAGCUCCGCUUUCUGCUUACACUUGUCAUGUUCCAGCUGCAACAGAAGCAGCUCCUUCUGCUGGUCAAAUGUAAGCCCCACUGCUACUGAGGGCGGAAGCAACUGGGCGACUGGAGAAACAACUGGCGGUUCUUCGGUCAAAACUUUUCUCUCAAACAAAGUUGAAAUUAAUACUGCCCUUACUCUGUCCUUUAAACGUUUGUCACCCACAUCAACUUUGUAGUGCUCUGCUAUUUUCAACAACUGCUCUCUCGUGCACUGCUCUAAAAACUCCUCUGACGGGGAAACAAAAAAUUCCUCCACACUUGCCAUCUCCGCUUACCAGUGUGGGUGUGUGUGUGGUGUAAUCAACGUAAUGCACAGUGCAGCCAAACCCGGCACAAAACAAAGGCACAGUUAUCAAACGCCCACGAGUGUCCCCCCCCUCUAACUCACUACCUAACCCAAAAUCUACCUACCUUAACUCACCUAGUCUUCAUGCAGUUACUGGCGGCGGGUAUUUAUGCACUAAAACCCAAUGGCUAGGAAAAAGCAACCACUAGCUGGCGACUCCUCCUGAACCACGGACGUGCUCCCGAGCGCAAUGCUCCAACCACGGUCUCCGCAGCACUACUAAAACAAUAAACAGGUCGAAAUCCAAAGGGAUAACGCCUCUGAGCCUCACAGGGGGAAAACACACGUUUAGUCUUUCCGAUGCCUUAACACACAGCCGACAGCACCUACUUUACAUCGUUACCAUUUUUACACCCACACCCAAACAAAAACCUCCCCUUCUAUCCCGCGAAACAAAUUACUUAUUUAAACAAAUACCCCAAAAUACAUAACUCAUUUGCAUCUCCCGAUUCCUGCCGCAGUGUACAAAGACAAGACACGCUGCAAGCCGGAAAAACCCCAAGAGAAACCCUCACAACAAGCUAGUGACGUCACCCACUACGUCACUUUCCAUUCACAAAAAUCAGGCCCACCAAUGCUACUACUACUUAGCUUACCAUUCAACGCGAAACGGACCUAAUCAAGACGGACGAGCCCCCACUUUUGUCACGACCAGGCUCCUCAGCCGCGACAAAAACAACGGAAGAUGCACUAGUUAACGUAAACGUAAUGAAUUUAUUAAGAAAACAGUAUAACAGCAACUUAGGAGGUGAACACAAACAAGUCAUGGGGUGUGAGGAUCAGUAGAUCAGCUGUGUAGGUGCGUGCAUGCAUGAGUGAAUACGGGGUGUAAUGUGUGUUAGGGUGUUGGAUGCGUAAAACAAAAGACAAAGCCAUCCGCCCGGAGGGAAGGAGAGAGCGAACUGGUGGAGAAGGCGGGGUAUUUAUAGGUUGGGAGACACCGGGCCCAGGUGCUGCCAACCUCACUAACCGAUCGGACCGCCCCCUGGUAACCUCCUGCUUGACAGAGGGAAAAGCAUACAUUAGACACCAGGGAACCGUCACAGACUGAAUAGAUGAGGAAUACAGUAGGGCUUGGUGAUAAACCGAAAAUUUACCGAUACUGAAAUCUACGACAUUAAAUUAUGGCAAAAAUAUAAAUAAAUAAAAGUUGGUUGGGAUGUGUGUAGGUAGGCUAAUGGUCUCAUGUCACUUUAAGAUGCAAUCCUAUGUGGGAGAUGUGACUCCACCCCAUCCAGUCCCUGGACGGGACGAGACGGAAAGACAGGUGAGGAGAUAGAGGACGGUUUAAAAGUUGUAGCGGCUGAAGUAGACAAAGUUAAUGUGGGAGGAGGUGAGCAGCUUGGGGAGUAGUUAUUGUCCAUUUAUCGUUAUCGACAUGAACUGUUCAAUAUAUUGUGAUAUUGAAUUGAGGCCAUAUUGCCCAGCCCUAGAACACAGUAACCAUAGGUCAGUUCUAACGGUAAUGUAAUAUUGAGAUCAAAGACCCACAAUACUCCUGCUGCCUUCGAUGGAGACACAUUAUGUUUUUAUGGCCCUCUGAGUGUCAGGGGCCUUUUAUAUUAAUGAAUAGCACAUAAUAUUGUAUAAUGCUGUAGGCAUGGGGUGCAUCAAAGUUUCCCUUUAUGGGCUUUCUGGAAACGGAUCUACAAACACUUCUCACCCUCAUUAUUACAGAUAGUAUGAAGCAGCAGAUUUCUCCACCGACCAACUUGAGAGCAGGAUGUUGUUUGUAAGAAAAAAGGCUUUAAGAAAGAGACAGAAGAGGAGGAAAUGGAGGCUAGACAAGCAGAAUUCGAUUGAAACAACCUCAUAAUGAGAUAGAGGAUAGAAGUGAGAGCAGACAAGCUCAGGAGCAGCAAUGAAUCUGGACUCAAAGUUUACUAUGAUCUAGCUUUAGUUACUUCACUUGAAAACGCAGAUUUAUCUUCCUCUCUCUGCAAAAUUUUACCUGGAUUCAAAGGGAUUUUCAAGCGAUGGUGUUAAUUAGUUUUGGGACACCGGGUAGGCACAUGUGCAUACCUUCACUUCUGCAGGUUUUAUCACAAGCUGUGAGCAAGUUUGGUUUUUCUGUUGUUUUUCAGUCGUUCUGACUUAAAAGUGCAUCUCAGGGGAGUGAGAAGGGGCAGGUGGGGGUUUUCACCCAUUUUCACUUUGUUCUUUCCAUUUUAACUUGCUGAUUAUUUGAUCGUAUAACUUGAUAAGCAAUUAAGCAUGUUAACAAAAUGCACUCAGUUUGAGACAUCCAGUCGGCGCUUCGCCUUCUAAUUAAGAUGAGAAAUCAGAGUUUGAUUAUCAUCCAGCUCUCCUGUUUAGCUUUUAAAAAAGAGAAUGCAUGAAUAAUGCAACAUCAUUAAUCCAGAAUACAAAAGAGGAGUAUGUCAGUGUUGCACAGUUUGAGGAAUAUCCAGUAACUCAUGAAGUGAACAUUUAUGUACACUCUUUUAACUCCGCUAAGAUAAUUCCAGCUGUCAUCUAGUGAUAACCAUGCUAGUUUUGCUGUGAUAACGAGUACAAUACUAUCCCCAGAGUUGCAAAAGUACAGAACAAACAUAGAAAAAGUUUGACCUUACUUGCUAGCUCUAGUCAAAAAGUGUUUCCAGUGUGCUCCUUGUGUUAUUUGAGGUCAUAAGGGUGCUUGUUUAAAUGCAUGAGCAGUAUGGAUGAUGGCGUUUCCAGCGCCCUCUCAUCCUCUCUGUAAAAGAAAACAGCUGUUCUUUAUUCCUCCUCUCUAAAUUGAUCACUUAUACUUCCUUUGAUUUGCUUUUCAUGCGCUGACAUUUAUGCAAAAGCUUCAGAAAGAACCAGUCCCGGCGUUUCCGUCGGCUAGAAUGGCGUGAAAAAUUGCACUGACCAUCACAUUCAGCUCAGCCCUGCUUCAUUUGAGAGCCGACUAUUCAUGUUAUCUUUAGUGAGCCAGAAGAGUUAGCUCCACUGGCUUUUUCCAUUUUCGGCCCGGGCUGCCACGUGCUGUAUGCUGCUCAUCUUAGAAACACGGCUUCAGGCGUUAUGCCGUGGCUUUGUCCUUCAUCCUUUCUAUAGCUUCUAAAAAUAGAAAAUGUCAGAACAGAAAUGGUGUCUGGAUAAUAAGACGUCUGCUAUUGUUAAAACUGGGCCUAAGAAGUCGGCACAUACAUUGAAAAUCUUCAUGAAAUGGGGCUUCAGCAUGGAGGAAGAGGAAACUCAGCCAUGGGUAACCAGCUUUAAGCUUCAUGUGAGCUGAUGCUGUCACUCUCUCCUCCUCACAUGGAUAACUCUGACUGCUCAGGCUUAUUUUGCCUUUUCCAUUCACACUUUAGUCAUGUCACAUUGUCUCUCCUCUCUUCACUUUAUAACUGUACAUUUGAGCCCCAAUUACAGUAACAGACUAUGUUCACAUCUCUCGAUCAACAGGUGUUGUUUUCUGCAGUUUAUGACUCAAACAUGAGCUUCUCCUCACGUCACUGCGUCCACCAGCAUGUGUCAAAGCAAAAAAAGAGCAAGUGGAGCAGCUCCAAUGUGCUUUGCACAGUCACACUGGGGUCCCGGCUAAUACCCCGAGUGUAAAUUGAAGCCUUGGUUCAGUGGGUUCCCCUGACAGCACUUCUCACUGAUCAGGUGGGGGGUGUUUGGCUCUAGGGCGCCCUGUGGUGUAAUUGAUGUAAAAGAAGUGUCUUCUGACACGAGUGUACUUCUUUCCUUUGUGCUCCAAAGUGACAUCCAGCUACCAAGCUAUUAUCUGGUGGCUUUUACCCGUGUCCCCCCUGAGUGUGAUGAAGACAGCAGGGUAUGUGCUCUGUCUUCCUGAACUUGACUCUCUCAUUCAAAGUGAUUGACAGGCUUUUCAGUUGGCUUGAUCUGAGUGCCUCAGCUGGCUGCCCCAAUGAAGAACCGCACACAGAACUAAUGUGGAGGUUUAUUUGUUGGAGAGGGGAGAAGGGAUAUCUCAAAGAAGCAUAUUGUGAAAAAAGUUCACUGUGAAUGAUUUUGUUUUCAUUCCUGUCCGACAGAAGAAAUUCAAUGUUAAAUAAGCAGGAGGAGUCGGUGUUUGCUCACAGGGCCGAGGCUGGCAGGCUGUCUGAUGUGUAUUUUGGCCUGAAGUGGGUGGUGUACUGCUCCAUCAGAAGCAUUCAUUGACUGUUGAGAGCUCACAAUUUUUUAACUUUUUAACUUGAAGACUUUAAAUCUGUCUGUAAUGAAACACCAUCAGAGUGUAUCAAGUUUGUUCACAGACUCACAGCCUGUAGGACAGAGAUAGUUUCUACAGUCAGUUAAUGCUCUGAUACACUUGACAAAAUUGCCCUGAAACACUGACUGCAGUGUGGCUUGUUACUAAAUGAUCAAAAUCUCUAUAGGAAUAACUCUGUCCUCAGGCUUGUCUGUCUUGCUGCUCCCUAAUGUUUCUGAUAGUCAGCUGUUUGCUUUCAUCAGUAAUCAGACACUUGUCCACAGAUGGAGUGGAAGAAGUGAUGCUGACGAAAUCUGGCCUGGCAAAUUUUCCCUCUAUUUGACAGAGAACACACAGAUUAUCGCCUACUCUGCUCUUUUCUGGAGCAGCUGCUUACGAGGAGCGAGUGUUUCUGCUUUCUCGCUCUCUGUACGAAGUCUUCCCCCUUCAUGUUCAGCCAUUACAGUAUUUUAGGAUCUCCUGUUUUAGCCUGUCAACAGAAAUGGUCUGCUUUCAUUUAUUCUCUUCAUUUUCACUCCUACGAACAGCAGGAGGCUCUCCGGCAAAGUGGCCAUCAUGCAUAUAUCAGCUGAAGAAGUGAACGGCUUAAUAGCAGUGCUGGACCCGGUUUUGAUUUGCAGUAAAAACAGAAAGCUGCUUUUAUUUCCAUUCAAUCUCAGUGAUGGCUUUGACAAUGCGGCCGUUUUCACUCGCAUAGCCGAGCCUGAAUGUGAGAGGCAGCGGUGUAAACAGCUUGCAGUAUAAACCCACUCUGCUUUCUUGAUAUGCUGAAGUAAUUGCUCUUCUGCCAAGCCUUUUAGAUGAUUUAUGACACCCUUUUGCAAUGAUAACACCUUAAUGCAUCCCACUCAUAAAAAAGGAACUACUACAUACUUUGCUUUCCAGCCCGCUAACGUCUCACCUAUGAUUUCACUUAAAAUGGACUUUCAAAAGGGUCACAUGAUAAAAACAUUGUUAAAGUCCUAUUAUUUGAAUCCUUUGAAUGUGUACUUACAACAAAAAUAUACCGCCUGGCUCUAAAUAGCUGCUCUUACUCAGAUCUAUUCACUUUAGGUGUAUGGUGAAAACACAUUUACAUAAUGUGCAACAGAGCUUGGUCAGCAUGUUUCCAAUACGCACACCGUGUUUGCUCUACUGUACUCGGUUCCUUUUACUUUCACCAAACUUAACUUUUCAUUUGUCUUUGUUGUUUUUGCUUUCAGUGCAUUAUUUUGACUUAAUCUCUGCAUCAGGUGGAUUUUCAGGCCUGAGCAGAGGCACGUUUGGUUUUUAUUUGUUUACAGGCGUGGGUUUCUCCUGCAUUAUUAGCCGGUGUUUUGGAUCUCUGCUGCCUUGAAUCCAUAAAAUAUUCACAUCCUCUCCUGCAGCCUUCUUACCCCAGAUAUUUUCUCAUGACUUGUUUAUUCCUUACUGAACAGGCUAGAUCAUUUAUCAUCGCUUGAACGUGAGUGCCAAAUUAAGGUUAGAAAGUAAAGUCCGACUUUAUGACUCUCUGCAGUUUAUUAUGAAUAUUUGGAGUUUCUUUUGGGUCUAUAUGGCCUGAGCUACAACAACAAAAUCACCUUGUUCAUGAUUUCAGAGCAGGACUGAAUACCUGAUCAUUGCCUCCACACGGCUGGAGAACUUCAACUGUUUAUGCCCAUAUUUGGCUCACUCAGGGGAUGCAGUCUGAACUUUUAAACUCGAUCAGAAGUGGUUUGUUGUCCUGAGCUAACUUUAUGUUUCACAUUUUCACUGCAGUGCUAAGUAGUUGGUUUGUUUUGGACAGUUGCUGGAAUUUUGAGGCCAAAGCUGAUAAUCAUAUUUUGGAAAUUAGAGUGAUAACAAGCUCACACACAGAAUAGGAAAGAUUUUGACAUCAGGGCCCUAGUUUUUGUUACCAAAAAGAGAAACUGGAAGAAAACUUGGACCUGGCUCUCAUCUGAUACCUUCUCUGGCUUUGGUAUAAUCAGAAAUAGCAGGUUAAAUGCUGAUUAUUGAAUUAGGAUUGACUUUUUAUUGCUUAGGUUCAGGAAACAGUCUUUAAAUAUUUGAAUACUGUUAUAUUUUUCAGUAUAAAACCUUAAUGUUUGACUUUUUAUUUCAUGCACUUACAUCUAGGGCUGAGCGAUAAACCGAAAAUUAACCGAUUCUGUAAUUUAUGACAAUAACCAACAUCAUUUUGCCUAUAUCCAUACAUUUUGUGUCAUAAAAAAUAAAAAAUAAAAGUUGGUUUGCGUGUAGGUAGGCAACGGUCUCAUGUCUCUUUAAGAUGCCGCUCUACAUCGGAGACGUGACUCCUCCCCAUCCAGUCUGUAACAAAGAGGGAAAGACAGGUGAGGAGAUGGAGGACGGUUCAAAAGUUGUCACGCCUGAAGUUGAUAGUUAUUGUAGGAGGGAGUGAGCAGCUUAUGGAGUAGUUAUCAUCCAUGUAUUUUAUUGAGUUGAACUGCUCAAUAUAUUAUGAUAUUGAAUUGAGGCCAUAUCGCCCAGCCCUACUUCCUGCAGUUCAACAGUGUUUUUAUGCUGGCGUAUUAAAGCACUUGAAAACGUAACACUACUGUAAUGAAAUAAUACAUUUAGUUUAUUCAUAAGAUGAAUAUGAAGUCCAAAUUAGACCUGGCAGAGCGCACAAGAAGCGGUCUACACCUUUUUCAUACUUCAGAGGCGUUAAUAACCUCAGUGUGGAUAUUUCUUUGCACAGCAGAGGUAGAGAUCAUUUCAUUUAAUGCGCUGAGUCCAUCUUAAUGUGAUUCGUCAUAACACUAUCUCAACUGCAUUACCUGUGUGACUGAGUGCUCUGUGAGCCACAUUAUGUCACUAAAACUUGAUUUUCUUCGCCUCAGCAAAUCACCAUCCACCAGCGUCACAUCCACCAUCAAAAAGGCAGUCAUGGCAUUUAUGGGAACAGGAAAAUCCGAAUUACUCGGUUCUAUGCUGGAGAUGAGAAAAAACAGUGAGGUGAAUCAGAAAAAACAGGGGAGGGUUCUUCUUUUAGAGGCUGAUUUCGGAGGUUUAAUGGUGUGACCCACGACUGGACUUGUGUCUCUUAGUGAUCAAGUGGGACUCUUCACUGUAUAAUAUUAACUGCCAGUCUUUGUGCACGAUUCACAGGCUAUAAGAGUUUUAUUUGUAACAUACUUAAAACACAGAGUGGUGUUAGAUUAAACAUAAGAAAGCAACAUUUUUAUGUCUCAUGAGUAAAGACGAAAACUGGAUAACAAUUUAUUUGACGCCUAUCUGUAUAACGCAUUAUGAAUCUAUGUAUAAUGCGUUAUAAUCACGUUAUAGCACUGUUUAACUAUAGUUAUAAACACUCAUAAAUGAUCAUAAUGCUUUAUAGCAAUAAUCAUAACCCAUUAUAAAACACUUUAUCAUGACUUACAUGGUCAGGUAUUAUAAUGUGUUAUAAAUGUUAACAACUCACAGACAAUGCCCACAUAGAUAAUGCAAUGCAACUGUUGUUAACAGUUAUAACACAUUAUAAUACCUGACCUUGUAAGUCAUGAUAAAAUGCUUUAUAAUGUGUUUUCAUCACUGCUAUAAAGCAUUGUGAUCAUUUAUGAGUGUUUAUACAGUGCUAGAACAUGAUUAAAACGCAUUAUACAUAUAUUUAUAAUGCGUUUUAGAGAUGGGCGUCAAUAAAGAGUUACCGAAAAGUGCAAUGAAGUUUGUAUGACUAGCAACAUUUUGGGAUUUCAUCUGUUUGAGUUUUUUUUAAACACCGUAGGGUUGGUCGAUGAGAUUACAAUGACAUUCUACUGAUAUUUGAAGGGCAAUCUAACAAUCCGGCUUGCAUAGUACUUCAGUUUAUAAAAUGAAUAGUGUACUUGUCCUGUCUGCUGUGUCAACAAUUAUGUGUGUAGAGAGAGAGGUAAGCGCAGAAAGCAUCUUGAGUACAGAUGGAGGAGAGGAAGAUGAACAGGGAGUUCAGAGGGGUUUAAGGUUAAAUGGUCCAUGUCAGCAGCCGUCUUUAACACGUGGGAUUACUACCCCUUUGUGUGCAAUUCAAUCACUGAGCCCUGUGUUACACACACUCACCAUUUAUCCCACAGUGUCACAGAGCUCCCGAUCAAAAUGACAGAAGCUGAGGGGUGCAGAGGGAAAAUAAUUCAAGAGAAUAGAGGGAGAGAAAAUACAAGAACCGAAAAUGUAUCAGAGGGAAAAGUGGUGAAAAAAUAGGGUUGAAGGGCAAUUGAAGAGUGUGCUGUUCAUUAAACGUAAGAAUAAGGAGAUGGAAAAGAAGAGAGGGUGCACCCAUCUUAUAUACUGUAUGUGUUAUGAUGUGAAAUUCUCUGUGUAGCUCUGCUGUGACCUUCUUUUUAUCAAAGUACCUCUUUGUUUGAAUAGACACACACGCGCACAUACAGACUCUGCUUUAGUAAAACACGGGGUACGGGUCAGUUAAAGGGACUGUCCAGAGUGUUGUAUUUAAAGUAGCAGUGAAAUGUAAACUCUCUUAUUAUGAUUCGCCUUAAUUAACUGUCAAUCUGAUAUUAAUUACUUUUGAACACAGCUGACCUCCAAACACUUCAUCUCCAUGAACCAACAUUACCUAUUAGCCGGUGUGAGCACUUAUUCAACACUGUCUGGCUCAUUAUAGUUUCUCCAAACACUUUUAUAUGGACACAUGUAAAUGUAGAUAUGUCCUAAUGAUAGCUCCCAAUGUUUCAGGUAUUUUAUAAUUAAUGUGGUUUGUAUUUUGUAUUCUGGACAUGGUGGUAAAGAAGAGUGAAUGUUACGUCUUUUUUUUUUCAUGUUUUAUUGUCGAGAUCUCUUUACAAUGUUCCUCUCAAAAAUAGCUGCAGUGUAUUUUCCCGGAAUCCCAUCUGGUCAUCUGCUGCUGCUGUAGAUGUCAGCGCAGACAGCUGGCCAGAACUGGCAGCAUCCUGGUGCUGGUAGCCAGGACUGGCUGUCAGGAUGUCAGAGAGAGGAGGCAGCAGAGAAAGAGGGGGUGCAAACAGUCAGCCAGGUGGUGCCAGGUGCUUUGGUUCAUUUUAUCCCACAAGACUAAAAUUAGUGAUUGUAGAGCAGGGAUGCCAGCUUGUUGGCACGUGUUUUGUUUGCCUGUGUUUCCUAGCACACAUCACGCAGCAGGUUACCUCCUUAUUAUCCAUCAAACUGAACAGUUAAUCCAAGGUUGAUACUUUUAAUCUGUCUGUCCUAGCUUGGUUCGGCUUGGUCUGCACCUUACUUAAAACCAGAUGGACGAAUGUGAAGAAAUGCUGUAGAGAAACAGAGCUCUGCAGGUCUGGUAUCAUGAUAGUUGGAUAAAGUCAUUUAAAAAUGAGGGUGUCAGUGCAGAAACCUUCAUAGACUGUCUCCUGUUUUUCACAGAUAAAAAGGUGAUCAGGCUUCAGGCGGAUAGACUUCACAUCAGAGGUGCAGAGCAACAAAGCAAUGAGUUUAUUAGAAAUUUAGAGCGAGACACUGCAAACAGAGAAGUGUUAUACCAUCAGUGUGUCUGAACACCGGCUCUUUCAGGGGAGUUUCCUCAUCAGUGACUUUUAUGCAAGCUUCAUUUUCCAACAUUUAUACAUUCAGAUUUUGAACCUUUGUGACCUGGUGCUAACAGUUUUAGGGCUGCGAUAAAAGGAUGUUAAAAAUAAAGUGGUAAAAUCACAUGCACAUAAAUCAUCAACAGGUGUCCACUCUUUUUUUCAAGAUGGUUUCUCUGAAGUACCAGUUUUUCUGGUGUGUGGGUGAGAAUCAAAGAGAUUUCAACAACAGAUUGAGUCUUUUUUGCUGGAACAGGUUUGUAUGAAUGAAGCAGUCAGAGUGGUCUCAAUGAGGCUAAGAUUCAAGAGCACUCACUCUAAGACACAAUGUUGAACUCAGAUGUAUUCUUACAAUUCCAAAAAAAUGGACACUAAAAAAAAGCUUUUUAAGGUUUGCAAACAACUAAAAUCUUAUGUUACUGAAAAUAGUGCAAGGUGCAGGCAUCUAGGAAUAUCUGGCUGAAAGCGUCAAAGAGGUGAAGUAGAGAUGGGCCUUACUAACAACGCCAAACCCCCAUCUUUAUAUCUUAAGAGCCAAAGAGGCAGACAAUAUUCCUGUACCAGGUUGUGCAAUUGUUUAUUUUUACUGUAAGGGUGGGCAAUUUUGAAGGUUCUGUUGGAGCGUUAGUGUGUCAAAGCAAGGGUCAAAUGUCUCUUUGUUGCCCAGGGCGACAUGAUGCUUCCUGUGGUGAAGAUCUUCCCAUUCAGGAUCACAGUGCUGCAAGAGCAGACAGGAAUUAUUGAGGUAUUUUGAUUAUCCAUAGUCUCUUUCAGGGCAGACUAGAAAAUUUCUUUCACCUCCACAUCUUUCUGAUAAACAGGAGUCUACAUUCAUUUUCUCUUAAUUUAGGUAUGGCCUUUAAUGACGGUUGUUAUUUAGCUGAUUGCAUCCUAAAUGAUGUCUAUUAAUACUAUUAAGAUAAGCCCGUAGGACUGUAUAUAGAUCUAACUCCUACUACAGGCAGUAAUGAGUUCCUGAGCGCAGCUCAAAUCAACCCUGCAGCAGCCAAAGAGUAAAGUCCAAAGUGGAUUUGAUAUCGGAAAGCUGUGACUCACAGCAGCAGGAGUGUGGCUCUAAUUGUCAUUUGCAAUAAGAUGAAGUCAGAUGAGACAAAAAUCUAUAAACUGUUUAUAUUCUUUGGGGGGGCAGACAUGAGGGGAUCCAAAGCAGGGAGUUCACAGGGCAAAGUCUAGAGAUGCAGCUCUCCUGCAUGAUGACUCUGCUAGACAUCAUCCUUACGCACAGGAGAGAAAAGUGCUUUUUCCUGCGUAUUACAUGUUUUCAUGUUUUGAUCCUGUGCUGUGUGCACUGCCCUCCCUCCCCUCUGUGAGUCAGACUUAGUUAAAUGCCACAGAACAGCUGCCUGGUGAGGGCUGGCUCAGCUACCCAAUAACUAUGACAGCAUGAUUUAUGUUGCACGUUCAGCGUGAGUUUACAGGCUGUAAUUGUUUGCUUCUUUCUUUCUCGGCUACUGCAAAAAAAUCUAAAAAUGUCUCAGGCCCUAAAAUCAGCGGGUUCAUUAUUCUGCAAACUGCACACCUCAGUGGUUCACGCUGAGUGGAAUAUUAGGAUGUGAUUCUGCUGCUGUUAAUAUUCAUUUUUUCUCCCUUUUUUCUGCUAUGUUGUGUCCGCAAAUUGUAAAAAGCAAGUGGAAUUUGUUUUCUUUUAGAGCAGAAUUAAAAAGCUAAAGAUGAUUAGAUUAUGCAGUCACUGCUUUUCUGGAGGAUGCUUUUUUCCUAUCAGCAUGACGGGCAUUCUUUAUAAUCCCUGCUGCUGUCUAUCAGAAUAAAAUAAAUGUGGGUUUUGGAGACUUACUGAUUGGUUCCAGUUUCAAAACGAGGUGAUGUCAACUACUUUAACACAGCCUAUAUAGUCCACAUUAACUACCAUGUGGUUACCUUUGGAUCAUAGAUGAUGUGUAGGCUCCUUCCAAGAUGGAAUCAAACCAUUCAGACUCACUGCAAGAGCAUAUGAGUCUUCACACCCUUUUAGCCUGUCCAAAGAUUUACAAAGAAAACACAAAAGCAACAUCAAAUUUUUAUGCAAAGGGGGUUAGGGCCACAGGAAGAGAAAAAAAAAUACAGGAGGGAGAUAAAAGUCGAAAUUUCGAGAUCAAAAAUUAAAAUCUUGAGACUAAAGUCGAAAUUUUGAGAUUGCCAAAAUGUUGACAUGUCAUGAAUAAUGUUGAAAUUACAAAAUUAAAAAAAAUUAAAUUUUGAGAUUUAAGUCGAAAUUUCGAGAUUAAAGUUAAAAUUUUGCGAUUAAAAAUCUAAUUUAUGUCAACAAAGUUGAAAUUUCUAGAUUAAAAAUUGAAAUCUCAAAAUUAAAGUUUAAAUUUUGAGAUAAAAAAUGUUGAAAUGUCGUGAAUAAUGUUGAAAUUCUGAGAUUAAUAAAAUUACAUUUUGAGAUAUAAAAAUUUCGAGAGUAAAGACAACAUGAAUAAAGUUGAAAUUUUGACUUUUACAUUCGGACUUAAAUCUCGAAAUGGAAAUUAAAAAAUCUUCCUCCUGUAAUUGUUUUUUUUUCUCUUCUUGUGGCCCUAAUCCUCUUUCAUAAUUUUUUCACCAGGCUUGAUAUGCAUGCAAAAUUUCAUGAGCUUUUGAUGUACAACUCUAAAUAUGCAAUUUACUAUUGUCAAGAAAUAGGAUUGCAAAGAAGAUAGAAUAAGCAUAGUGGACAUAACAGCGUUCUUGCACUCUCUGUGCUUGGUGCCCAAAAAUUAAGAAAAGUAUGGAUGUACCAGGAACAUGUGUAUAGUACAUUCUGCAUAAUUCAAUCUGAUGCAGGAAAUAGCUCUGUAAAAUUAGAGCUGUGGCUUAUGCACAACCACUGGACACCUGCAGCUUUUGACAGCAGCCUCGCUGCGGAGGAAGAGGAGGUAGAUUUUAAAGUCAGUAAUUUUCCCUCAGCAGACCACAGCUGGCCAAUUUACAAGCAGCAUGAAUGAUGAACAGACACUCUGCUGGGAGCAGCCGCCCUCCUUGUUUGCUGCCAUAGUGCACAGGUAUCCCUCGUUUGUAGCGGGAAACAGGAGGAGUCGUUUCUGAUGCUUUAAUAAUGGCAACGAAAGGCUCUAAAGGCUCAUUAUGUUGUGGGGAGUCCUCCUCCUUUCUCUGUCCCCCAGCUGCUGAGAGGAGUCUGACAUUUUUAAUUAACAGAUCACCUGUGGAGGUGAGAGGGGCUCCUGCUGCCCUGCACACUGAAACUCUUAAUGAACAGCACUCUAUUAUGCUUUCAUCUGACACUUGCAUGAUAAAUAUCACGGCUCCAAAGAUGAGAUGGGACUUGGGACAGCUUUUUUUGGGGAUAAGACUUGUUGUGAAUUGGUGCCAUAUAAAUAAAGAUCGAGCUAAUGAUUCAUUAUUCAAGGGAGAAUCUAAGGCCAUGUUCACACUGCAGGUCAAUUCCGAUUUUUUAACCAUAUGUGACAAAUAUCUGAUUUUUUCAUGUAAGUGUGAACAGUGCAAUUCUGAUUUUUUCAAAUCCUACCCAGGCCUCUUUUGUAUGUGGAAAGAAAUUAGAUAUGUAUCCGAUGUGGCUGCAGUGUGGACGCUCAGGUCACGUCAUCCGACCUAUACGUCAUCAAUAUGCAACAAACGUCACCAUUGUUCGACAACACAAACAGGCGCGGAAAGAAAUGUGUGCGCAUGCGGGUCACUUCACGGAUGCAUUCCGUUCACAUUAGAUGCCACAUUCAUUGUUGUAAUGUGAACGACCACACAAAAAGAUUGGAUUUAACAAAAAAUCCAAAUUGUGCAUUAUAACCUGCAGUGUGAACGUAGCCUUAUAAUUGUCUAGGUUUGAGGUAGGGCUGGGCAAUAAACCUGAAAAUUUACCGAUACAGAAAUUUACGACAAUAACCGUCGUCUUGCGGCUGAAGUAGACGACAUUCAUUUGGGAGGGGGUGAGCAGCUUGUGGAGUAGUUAUCCUCCAUUUAUCGUUAUCGAGGUGAACUGCUCAUUAAAUAGUGAUAUUGAUUUGAGGUCAUAUCGCCCAGCCCUAGUUUGAGGCUCUAGGGUUAAAAUAAGGUUAACAACAGACCACAUUCAGCAAUAAUAAUGAUGAAAAAGAGGAAAACAAACAGAAAACAAGGUUAUAAUAAUUUGAUGAUAAUAGUACAGCUGUGCCUGUUGGGCAACAUGAGCCCACAGAGACUCUCUGAUAAAAUAACUGAGUCACAAAGUUUGGACCUCCUCAGGCUGAGGUCAGAGGCGGGUAGCAAAUUAAAGCAAGUGCACACAAAACACACACAGUUUGUAGCUGCUGUCUAAACAAACACUUCAUUGUUGCCUCACUUCCUUUCCUAUCUGAUUCCUGCAUCAACACUGCUCAUAUCUGGAUCUAUGAAACCUGCAAGAACAGCACAAACAACACAACACAAAGCCCUCAACUGUUGCAGCGCUGUUUACUGUGCUGAUCUUGAUAAGAGCUCUUUCCUGUAAAGACUCCAUAACAACAGUCAUCAUCGCAUGGCGUCAACAUAAACAUGUUGAUCUCAUAAAUGUGGAGGCAGAGGUGCUGAGGCUUCACAAGAAGUAAACUGUAUGUGAGGAGGCUUAUUUACACCCAUGUUUCAGGACAUAUGCUGCUUAGCAGACGGAUUUAUUGAAGACACAGACGAGCAGGUCUGCAGAGGCACCACACACCUCAACAGACGUGUUGAAAAGGACUAUUUUGGGCGCGAUACAUUAUUUCUGUCUCUGUGGGAGGAAGGGAGUCGGUCCUGAUAAGUGUUUGUGAAACCCAUUUGCAGUUCAUGCGGGAGAUGGUUCAUGCAGAGGGGAGACACACAUGCACAGUCAGAGGAAACACUCACAGCUGUAUGUAUGUCAGUGGAUGAGACUGAGAGAGAUGCAGAGAAGGAUAAGAGACUUGGAGAUCCAGAAGCAUUUCCCACUGGCUCACAAAAGUUACUGUCGGCCCGGUUUCAUAGCAUAAGAGCAGGGGAGGUUGUGUGCACCUGUUACUCCUUGUAUACAUACUUCCUAACCAGACUUUUCUCUCCUUUUUCCCCCGCAAGCUGCUCUGUCAGCUCUUGAAUUUCACUCAGCUUCCAGCGCACACACACACGUUACAUAAUCAUAAUUUUGCUCACAGUACUCUUGCUCUGAAGAACCUCUAAUAACAGAGAGGAAGUUUCUGGGCUGCAGAGCUGAGGGAAGUGCCUCCAUGCUGCUGCUUUAAUGACAUGAGAUCAACUUCUUGUCAGGAAACAUUUUGAAUUCAGACACUUUUUUUUGACCCUGGGUUUCUCUCUGAGGCCUGCUGCUCUGAAUGUUGCCUGCAACAACGAAGAGCUACAAUUUGAUAUAAUAAUUCCCUGUUAUUGAAAAGUACUUUGACAGCUCUUUGCAGUGAGAAUCCAUCAUGUGCCAACUUGUUAGAAUCUAGUGUAGGAUUUCUAACAGUGUGGAAAAUGUGUUGAAAUAAAAACACCUCUUUUGUUACAGUUCUAAGAGAUUAUAAUCAAAUUAUACUCAAAUAUAGGCCAUGUUUUUUUGUUUUUAUUGCCUCAGGUGCCAGGCCUUGUGGCCAUAUGAGACAGGCUUUUAUUAGAGGCAGGCCUUUAUAUCAAAUUCUCUGUUAUCUUUUGGUAAUAAAGCAGGACAGGGAAAAACACAGAAAAUCAAGAAAAUUAUUGGAAAAUUAUUCUUUUUUAGUUUUCAGAUAUACACUUUGUAGUUAACUCAGAGCCAGCCCAAGCCUCAAUGGGGCCCUAAGCAAAAUUUGAUUUUGGGGCCCUCUAUUUCUGCCAAUAAUAUUGAUUGUUGAUCAUUCACACACCUUCACAAAUCUCUUUGAUUAACAUUCCAUGACAUGCACCUGAAGGAUAUAUCCUUUUUUACGACAUUGUUUUCGCCCCGCAGAUUGUGACAUAUUGACAUAUCGGCAGCACUAAACAGGUUUUUACUUCAUUUUAUUUUGUUAUUACAAUAAUAUAUAUUUGAUCAUACAGAAAGCAUCACUCACACAUGCAAAAAAUCAUUAAAAAUAUAUAUAUAUAUGCAUAUAAAUUUUGAUUGCUCUUGGGGGCCCCCUAUUAGCUGCGGGGCCCUUAGCAGGCGCUUAAUUCACUUAUGCUUUUGGCCGGCUCUGAGUAAACUGCAUCAAUAGCAAACUUUCUUGUCCUGAUACAAGGAGGCGAGCUCACCAACAAGUUGCAUGUUGAGAACCUUUCGUUACUUCUGUGUGUGGACCUAAACUGACCUCCCGUGGACACACUUGAUCCACUACUGUCAUAAGACCCUGGAAUAAAGCUCUAGUUCAUUUUGAUCAGAAUUAACAAAUUAGCUGUUAUUAAAGUUAAACAGAUGUGCAAACAGAUUACUAGUGAACAAGCAAAAUUUUGGACCAACUGUGCCCACCUCUGGUCAUAACCCAGCUUUAGUAGUCAAAUCCACUAUGAGGAUCUAUAAUGAACUACUAGCAGCACUUGGCAAUACUUUGCAGCCAGUUAUCACUGGAUCAAACUCAAAGAAAAAUGCUAAUAUUGUUAGCAGGGUUUAGAGGUAUAGAAUAAGACUGACUAUUAUGUGCAAUUAAAGCAAUUAGACUGAGGAACUUUUGUUUGGAGCUACAAUGCAUUCAUCUCUGCAGAGCUUUGGAUCUUUCUCAUUGGGCGUCUUUGGAUGAGAUCCAGAUAAAAGACAAUGUGAACAAGACACUGACUAAUAAGAUUAUGCGCUUGUAAAAGGUAGAUCUGGACUGUCUUUACUUUCCAUUUGUGUUUUUGUGAGUAUUCUGUGCCCUUGGCUCCAUUAGCGUAAUCUAUGUUUGUUAGUUUGCAUGGAACAUUAGCUAAUUAGCGCCAACAAUACAUUAAGCUGGGACCAGCCGACAGACACUUCCAUCCUUAGGCUAUGCUGCUAGCAUGUCUGGAAAUCAUUUGAAAAUUAUUCAUAUAGGGAAAACCUUGGCUUCCAUUUAUUCAGAACAUCCUGCAUUCAGACAUUCAUGCUUUGAGCAUGCAGCGUCUUCAGUAAGAGAGGAAUUAGAUCCUUUAAUGGGCCCACAGAGAGCUGAUUUCCAUGUUUGUAGGUAUAGCACUGUGUCUGCACAAGAAAAACUUAAUCUCAGUCGAAUAAGCUGUAAAAGAAAACUCAACCUCCAUCCACCAGAGUCAGUGCUGUCCCUAUGUGUAGGUGUCUGGGUAUUGAGAUGGUCUGUGCUCAGAAGUUGCUUCCUCAUGGGGGUCUGCAAGCUGGCGUCCUGCAAUUUCUGCUGUAUCUGUCAAUUUUUAACCUCUGAUAAUUGGCUGCUGCAGGCUGGCUGUAUGGAAAACUGGAUUGCAGCCCUAUACAAGAGAGGAUGAGAUAUACAGUAUGUUUCAAAUGUGUAAAACUGGCUUUGUGAUCUGGACAGAGAAAUGGAAGUUGAAAGAGAGAAAAAAAGAGGGUAGAAAAAAGCACAAAAGCUGAAAGAAAGAGAGAGAGAAAAAUGAUCUGCCUGCUGGUGAAAGCCGGAAAUUGUUCAAAGUCCAGCUCAUCAUUAAUCAAUGAAAGAGAAGCACAUGGAGCUCAUACUGCUCAUUACCUGCAGCCUCUCUCUGCCUUUCACUAAUACCGUCCUCAGGCACCGCUGCUGCUGCUCGCCAAUGUUUCUCUAACUGUCACACACACACAUGCACACACGCACACACACACUCUUGGCAUCCUCCUCCUCCAUAUUUCAGAGACCUCAGCACCCAUUAGAAGAUAAGGAAGAGGAGACACCGCCUUUGCCUUUCAGGCCCCAAAAUACACCCAUCAAGUCCUGCCCACCUAAUCAGGACUGCGAGGAGACGAGGGGGACAGCGGGACAGAAGGUGCAGGAGAGGAGAGACGGUGGAUAGAAUAAGAAAACAGGGGAAAUGGGCGAGAUUGAGAGGAGGAUAUUUUGUAUGUAGGAGAGAUGUGAUGAUCUUGUCCUAACCCCUUAAGGAUAUGAUUAGUUAAAGAUAGAUCUUAUUCAGGUGUGCAACUUUGGACAAUUUUAGGGGCAAAGCUGCUGCAGAGUUCUGAACAUUUUACCCAAAACUUUUUGCUUGUUCACACACAUCCCUAAAUUCAUGACAGUUUUCUCAUGGGACAAGAGGAAUAAGAGGUAGGAGGCAGAGGACUGGAGAUGAGAGAUUUUUAUAUUCAUAGCAGGGUUACAUAUGCCUUCGCAGACAUCCUUGCUUUCCUUUUCUUGAGAUGAAAGAAAGAGACUGAGGAGAGUGGUGCUGAGAUCGAGCUGGAGGCUUUAAUGGUGCCUCGACAGCACAAUAGGGAGCAGCCCAGUGAGGUUGGUUAAUCCUGACAAGCGGGGAUCAGCUCAGCAGGGGGUCUGGGAGCCUGUUGUCCACGACUACAGUGUCUUACCCGGUUUGCCAACCUUUCCCUACCUCCUGAACUAGCUCCAGGAUCAUUAUGACCCCAUACAAGACGGACAGAUCCACCCAGCUACACACUUACUCGCAGAGGAUGAAAAAUGUGAGAGAAAAAUUUGAUUAUUGCUGCACAGAGGGAGCUUAUAUAGCUGGUUCCAUUGUUACUGAGUACAGAAACAAAACCUAAGCGACAACGCUGCAAACUUUCUUUUGUCUUUGGUUAAUAAUGGGCCUGUAUUUAAGCUUGAGUAUAGGGAACCAGGUUCAAGUUCACAUCAAGUUGCACUUAUCUGUUGAAUUUAUCACAAACAUGCAAAUGAAGCAGUAAGAAAAGGAUAAUGGCAUUUUGUCAGAGCAAGGUGAAAACCUCCAUGAAGGUUGAAAAAAAGCAGAAAUUGGCAUUGGGUGCCUUUACAAGAGCACAUACAGUAACUGUAAAGAGCAGGGACACUUAGUUAGUUAAUUAACCUGAACAAUAGAGCUCCCAAUUAGGUGUAUUACAGCCGCAAUUACUGACGUACUGCAGUCCAAAAGGUCAUUUUAUUUUGAAAAGCCAUAAACGACCCUGAGAACGUGAUCUUUGCUAACUGUUCCUCUCGCCUCCAGACUUGUUAACCAAACAACUCAACAUCCCUGAUAAGAAAAGCUGAUGGGUAUAUCGAGCGUCAUAUCACAAACGGUCUUCAUGCAAUAUUAACGUGCAAUGGAGCCUGAAGGACGCAUAAACCUGGUUAUAGUGCCCGAUAAAUAAAACAAAACCAUCUGUGAUUGACACAUCAUUAGAUAUCCAUGAAUUAUUCAAUAUCCGCAAUCACGUCGAGUUUUGCCAAAGAAUAAACAUGCUGAGGCCCAGAGUACCCAAUUACAAGUUCAAAGCCUCCUGAACUCAGCCGCUCCCCGUCCCUAAAAAUCUGUCAGUCAUCAGCGAGGAGAGCAGAGACAUAAAUGAGCUCGCUGACUCCUUUGAGCGCUGAUUCGGACCUCCUGUUGUUCCCAAAGAAAAGGCAGCAUCCAACUGGCUUUUGGACGGCUCUGAAUGAAGACGUAAUUGCGAGUGUGGGUGAAUUUCACAGCUAGAAGCGUGAAACCCCCAGAGAGAUGGAUGGAGAGAUGGAUUGAGUGAUGGGAAUAGGAAGGACUGCAAAUUAGGAGUCAAACUGCAGGAAGGAGAAGAGCCCUGGCUGAAGAUGGCUGAUGUAUGCAGGCAUCAAAAUAAACAAUAAACAGAGACAUAAAGGUGUAUCUAGACAUAGUUUUGCAGGACACAAAGAAAUGCAGGCUGAAAAAAUGUUUCCAUGUGUGUAAUCAAUUUACCCAGAUCACAUUUCAUGCUGUUUCCCAGCCUUCAAACACAACCCCAGCGACCAUGCGCACUUCAAAUGAGGCAACCAUUCACCCUCACUGACUAAUGAUUCCUGCAUAUCAUCUCCUCUAUCUGUCACAAAGUGCUUGAGAUCUGUGCAGCUCUUCCUCCUGGGGGAAGUGGCAAAAAAAGGGGAUUUAGUAACAGCUUCCUUAUCUUCUCCGGUCAGGGUUUAGUCCUGCUGUGGACUGGCUGCCUCCCUGCUGGAGUCCCCAUCAUCUUUAGAGUUUUGGACCUAAAGGGCUGAGCUGGAGCCAGGCCUGCUGAGUCUUAGAGCAGAGACACACCUACCAAACUUAAAAUGAAGGAUUGGUCAUGAGCUGGGCUCAUUUAUCAAAGCAGAUGAGAAGAAAUGAACAAAGGAGCUUUAAUGUUUAGUUAAAAUAUUCUGUUUUUUGUUUGUUUCAAAGUCGGAAGCAAAUACCAGGCAGCUGUGUGUGGGAGCAGGGGCAUUUUUAAGGUUAAGAAGACUUUGUAAGGUUAUAUAGCUGGAAGAAGUGUCUCUGAUAAAGAUUUUAUAUAUUAAAAAAAGGUAUCAGAUAAAAGUUAAUGUUUGAGUCUUUGAAGACAAACUGCUGUUUUAUCUGCCGAGCUAGGCUACAAAGUAUCAGUGCUCCUUCACUCUUUAUGAAUACCAUUUAUUUGAUAUAAUGUCAGAGGAUGAUAGCUGUAUUCAAACAAGUAUAGUCUGACAAAACUUUUAUUGUAAAUGAUGCAUAACACCGCGCUUUAGUUUCGCCUCAGAGACUCGACAAAUAACUGCUCUUUUCCAAUAAAAGCUUCCACCGUCUUUACUUUUCAUCGGAAGCAAGAUAUUCUUCUUUACAUAAAGGUAAAUGCAAACUAAGUCUUCAUUGAUACACCCUGUCUGGGGGAAAAUGAAGAGUAGUCAAGUAAGACAUUUUAAACAAAUUUGGCUUGUCGUCCUUUGCCGUGCAUGAGGAGGAAGUCUCUCUGCUGAAACUCGCUUCUCAGCUCAGGUUAGAGGAGUGAGGAGAAAUGAAAAGCAGAGUGAUAAAAGUCAAGAGGUAUAACUCAGAACAAUGUCUAUUCAUGCUUUAAGUGAGUAGGAGUUCAUUGUACUCCAUGGGGGAAACUGUCUGAGGAGUUCCCACAGAACAGGCCACAGAGGACGACCUUUACAUGAAGUGGGUGCAAUCAGAGAGUUGGUCCCUCUGCUCUCUGGAAGCAAAAGCUCUCACUCACAAACACAAGUGCUCCAACCGUCGCUGCACAAGGACACUCACACCCGGCUCGGAUUCACUCCCCUUUUCCCGCUCUCUGAAAAUGCUAACCAACCUGUCCAAUCACUUUUACAAGCUGCUGCAUCGCAUCCCCGCAUGACACACCACCUGCUAUAUUUACCGCAGAGUGAAUAUUUAUUUGUGCAAACUAGAUUUCUUUCUGCAGAGUCACCCCUACUUGCUGAGAUGGCUGUCAGAUCGAGGUUAUAGCUGUGUGUGUCACCAGCUGGGAGCUGCUGCUGCUGUUGACGAUGCUGUAUGACUCCCACCUCUCCAUGUAGUCCAGGUCCCUGACAGUCCCACUUAGUGUUGUGUUGUUCAUGAACGAUUCAUUCGAAAGAACGGAACAACGUGAAUGGAAUCACUCCAAAAACUGAUUCGUUCCUUUCUCAGUUCAGUUGAGCUCAGCCGCGAGCUUGGUGUGCCCGUCAGGAGUGGAACUGCCGCAUGUGACUCUUUGGUGAACGACGCACAGCGAGCCAGCGAGUGAGUGGGCAGGCGGAGUCUUGUGAUUUGCUCACAGAGAAUGAACGACAUGUUUCAUACAGACAGUAAAUGAAAUGAACGACUCCCGAACGACUUGAGGCAGGCAGAGGAGGGAGGAGCGUAGCGACGUUCACGAACUUCUGAGCACCGGUUCGUUCACUGUGAGUCUCGCCACUUAUCUGUGAUACAUAAAAACGAAGAUUCACGCUCUUUUAGCAGGCAUGCUGCUUGCAGCUGUGUUGCUUCACUCGUGCCGUGUUGCAAACGUCGGUUGCACACACAGAAGUGAGUUUUUCAGGGCACAAGAGUGAUUCUUUCUUCAUGACUUGACAAAUGAACGACAUGUGUCAUCCAUUGAACGAAGCUGUGACUUCAGCAUCAGGGGAGGGGAGGGGCCUGUUCAACUAACAAACUUCUGAUCUGCGCUGCUGUGUCACUCACUUGUGUACUACACCCAGCAGGACGGGGCUCCGAAUCACUGACUGAUUUCGUGAAGGAAUCUUUUGAAUGAAUCAUUUUAAUGAACGUAUUCUAAAGAUUAGGUACAGUCAAAAGAACUGUUCUUCCCGUCACUAGUCACCCAGUCCUCCAAUCAUGUAGAGCUUUCUAUCACACAUACACUUCCCUCAGAAGUUUUAAAACUGAGGGAGAACUCAAACAAAGAGCUGACAGAGCCGUGUGGCAAGUGAAUCAAACAACCAUCUAAACUGUGUUUGUUUCAGCUCCCUGUAAUUUUUUUUAACACCAGCCAACACUGGCACUUCUUGACUGGCUGACUAGAACACCUCUGACUUCUGCUCUGGUUGUCUUGACUCCCAGCGGACACAUGCAGACCUGCUCCAAUGCCCAAAACACAAAUUUACAUUUAUAUGAAAAGAGGGAGAGGACAGGUACACACAGGAUAAAUCCUGCUGUAUUUCCACAGUGCAAUGUCAAGGUUUGAGCACUGUCUCCACAGAGGGAGGAAUUCAGUCUAUCUCUGGAGAGACAACUUCAAGGUGUUUCAUCGAGGAAGUCACAGAGAGCACAGUGAGUCAGUAUGGAGCUAAAUGAACUGAACAACACUGCAGUGACAGCGAAAAAAGGUCAGGACCAAAGAAAGUAGAACAGACUUUUUUUUUUGCAAAAAUCACUCUUUGAACAGAAUAAAAGUUAUCUUAUUGCCGAACAGUAAAGCUACAAUCGUCCCCCAGUAUAUUCAGCUCACCUGACCGGUAGAUGUUGUCUCCGGCUGAGAUGACACUGAAGAAGUCUCGGUCAUAGAAGGGCAGGCUGGCCAGCGGGUACCACUUACUGUUCUGGGGGUUGAAACAGGUGACCGCUGUCAGGGAGCGCUGGUUCAUCCCGAUCGUUUGACGCCCUCCGACCAGGACUAUCACCUCUGCUACACCUGCAGGACAAAGUAGAGAAGGAGGAUGAUAAGGGAGAAAUUAACCAUCAGGGAAGAUUUCUACAAGUAUAGAAAAGCUUAGUUGAAUCAUCAGCUCUCUGAGACACCAGAGUGCUGCAAUAACUUACAGGUUUGACAUUUUAGAGGAUUCUGCUUGAGGCUUUCUGUGCUUUCAAGAGCAAGGUAAACAUUUGUGUUCACUUAAUAAUAGCACAGUUAAAGAAAAGCUUCUGAAGCCUUUCAGUAUUCUGACAAGAACCUUGAUAAGUUGCAUAAACAUUGUCCUUCGCAGGCAGUCAGAUCAUAAAUUUGCUUGCUUGAAAGUGGGGACUCAUUUGUUUGUGAAUAUGGGUUUCAUAUGGACAAAUGUGCAGAGGACCUUGUGUACUUAUGAAAAUACAACUACUUAUACUGUGUUGCAGUUACCUUUGGAGUUGGAGCUUGGAAUAAUGAUACACCUGAGAAGAUAGUGAUCCAGUAAACAAGUCGAAAAACCAAGAUGGAUACCUGCUGUUAGCCGUUGUUGUUAACAAUUGUCAGCUGUCAUUAGCCAUUGUCAGCUGUUGUUGGCAGUCGUCAUCUAUUGUUAGCAGUUGUCAGCUGUUGCUAGCGGAUGUCGACUAUUGUUAGCCGUUGUCAACUAUUGUUAGCCGUUGUCAGCUGUUGCUAGCGGUUGUCAACUAUUGUUAGCCAUUGUCAGUUGUUGUUAGCGGUUGUCAACUAUUGUUAGCCGUUGUCAACUAUUGUUAGCCGUUGUCAGCUGUUGUUAGCGGUUGUCAACUAUUGUUAGCCAUUGUCAGUUGUUGUUAGCCGUUGUCAACUAUUGUUAGCCGUUGUCAGUUGUUGUUAGCGAUUGUCAACUAUUGUUAGCCGUUGUCGGUUGUUGUUAGCGGUUGUCAACUAUUGUUAGCCAUUGUCAGCGGUUGUUAGUUGUUGUUAGCGAUACCAGUUAUAAACAUUGCAUGACAGUAUUUUACUCUUGCGAACACCAUAGCACCAUGUUCACAGUUAGACAUUGGACAGUACAACAUACACCACUUAUUUAAUUUCACAAAAACAAAACAGAAGUGCUAAUAAAUAAUACAUUACGAGAGCUUUAACUGUUACUUUUUGCUGUUGAUGCACUGCGAUGCCAUCUUGGAUUAUGACCUUGUCGGGGUUGGUGAGGAUCGUCCGACUUUUCGAGUCGGAAAUCUGACUUCAGGGCUCCAGAAAGCAGAGAAGAGCAGAAGGGGGGAGGAAGAGGACAAGAGGAAAAGACAGAGAAAGGUUCAGAGGGGGAAGUUGGCUUGCACUAUCUUCUUGCACCUUCUUCUUGCUGAGAGUUAUAAGUCUGUUGUUCUCUGCACAGGUCAAAAAAAAGAGAGUGAUGGCUAAAGAAAAUAUCUGCUUUGAUGGAGGUCUGGUUCACAGCUAAAUAAAGAUCCAUCAUGAUAUAAUGUGGAGCUGUGCCAGCGCUGCCCUUUCUGGCAGUGAGCUAAAGGUCCGUUUGAAUUUGUAGUGAUGCUAAAAAGGAUACAGGUCAAAUCUAUUCUUGUCACGCGCCCACUGUCACGGCAUUACGCCAUCACGCCCAGGACUGUGGGCCUCAAACAGCUCUAAAGACCUCCAACGGACCUCGAAACAAAGCUGACGAAUGUGACUGUAGUUUCCGGACAGUCACAGACUCAGCAGCUGCUCUUUGACGAAAAUGAGAAGAAACAAGGUCUUGAUCAUCCCUCCAAAACCGAAUUUCUACAUGCGCAAUUACUAACUCUAAAACAGACUGAGGCAUGUCCAGAAGCUAAAUAUCCUGUUGGGUCAAAGACUUGAAUUUUUACUAAUUCUCAUAAUGUGCAAACACAGAGAAACUUGUGCCUCUGUGAAUGAAUAAAGUCUUUCUUAUCACUUGGUGCACAUGUGCAGGCUGUCGCGGGAGAGUCCACACCUGUGCACUGAGGCUGCAUCUCAGUUCUGACCAUUGCAGCCCUUCACACAUCCACAAGCUGGCACCGACCUGUCAGAACACAACAACACAGGAGAGCUGACGAGAAGUCUCAAUGCCAGAUCAAAUGGUUGUGUGAGUUUUGACUUAAAUGAGGCCUCACAGGGACAGCUGUCAGUCAGUCCGGAGUUGGAUGAGAGCUGGGUGAAGGGAUGGAGGGAUGGAGGUGUGGAACUGGGGGCUGAAGAGAAGUCUGGAAAGCUCUUGUUUUUUUGGUUUAGUUUGUACUUUUGAAGGUCAGACUUCUGCAACGAUUCUCCCUUAUUUCUAGUUAUAUGUAGCCAAUCUAUAUCAAGGAGAAAUAAAACCAGCACAAGGUAAGAGUAGCUGCUUUCCAAAGACACCAAAUGAGAAAAUGCAUUAACUCUUUGAUGACUAACAUAUGAUUUUAGGCCUGCGAACAGAGCUGAAUAUUAAAUCUGGUUUUGGACUGUGAUAAAUCCCCUGAAAAGAAGUGCUUUGAGGAAGAGAAAGGUUUGCGUGAGAUCUCACAUUGAAGUUGAUGCCCACCCACUGAGUCCUCACAUAAAAUCACACACACACGCCUUAACAUGCACAAUCACAACACCUGAGAGUGCGUAUCACUUCUUCUCGAUUUACGUUCAGCUGAGUGACACUUAUCUGUGACAGCACGCGCUUUACCUCACGCUGGAAAAGUGUGAACCUCGCUGUGUGCGUACACACAAACACACAGACGCACAUAUUCAGCCACUCCAGACGAAGAGAGAAGAUGACACAGAUACGAAGAUGCUGUCGUUUCCUUUUCCUUGCUGACACACUCUCGCCCUUAUCUCACCUUCUUACAUGUCUCCUCACUCUCUGCCCCCCUGCUGCGACCUUACUCUCCUCAUUCCUCUCCAUUUUUUUCUACCCUGCGGCUGACACUACCCGCUUCCCUACCACGAUAUCUCCUCAAGUCAAACCCCAGAAGUCUUUGCUUUUUUCCUCUAACCUCCUCUCUCCUCUUCACCCUCCUUCACUGCAUCCUGCUCUCUCCCUCUGUGCACUUUGUACUUGUCUCUUUCAGUCUGCUGUGACCUUUCUUUAACCAGACGUACUUUGCAGCAGGUGAAGUGAGGUGAAGCUGUACCGACACGCACUGACACCUGGUAGUUACUCUGCAAGGUUAAAUAUAAUAGUUCAGGCAUCUUUCUCGAGAGCAUGUCAUGCAAAUGUCCUCCCAGCUCUAUAUGUCCCUGUAGGGAAGUGUUUCUUUAAAGGAAAAUGUUUGUGGGGCAGAGUGCAGCGGAUCAUUUCCAUGAAGUAAUAAUCAUUAUAAUAAUCAUUUUGCACUGCAGACACGGUAGUUCUUCUGCCUUGGCGUCUCAGUCUCAUUGCAUUUCCAUGAAGAAACGAUCAUAAAUUUUCCACUGCACUUGGUGUUCGACUCAUCAGGAGAGUGAGUGAGUUGGUCUUUUUGCUAAAGAAAUUAGGCAAAGUUAAAAAGAUGUUUGGUGGCUAGUACUAUGGCUGGGACCCUAUAUGUCCUGUUGAUGAAGUUAGGUGCUGUUCUGAGCGUUAUUUGUGGCUUUCUGGUUGAGGUUUGCACGCAGAGACAUGGACCGCUGUGUAUUGCUAUCGUGCGGUAUUUGCUAAAGUUGGUGUAACAAGGGAAGCAAGCAGUCUGCAACAUUCAUCUCUCGAGGGGGUGUCUAACUUGAUGUUAUGGUGUGUUUGACCAUGACUUAAACUUGCGCUGGAAUAUCCCUUUAAGCUCUAAGACAUAAUUUGCAUUCGCUGAAUUCUGUUGAAAUUAAAUUAAAUGCUUUAUCAUGUGUUUAAGUAAACUUUGCUCCUUCCUGCAGAAUGUGCAUCCCAGACCCAGCGGUAACAGUAGUCUGUCUCUGUGAGCUGUUUAUAUCUCACUGCUGGUCCAUAACCGUUUCCUCUUAUCAGAGCUUCUCCUCUCUAAUCUCUCUCUUUUGGACUUUUUUUUCUUCCCUAAUCCUUUGAUUUCUCUCCCGGGGUGUUAAUUUGUAAUGGUGAGGAUCAGGGAGCAAAAGGCUCCUCUAUAAUCUCAGAGUCCAGAGAGGUGGGUUAGAGUAUGUAUGUGUGCUAUUAACACUCUGGAAAUGUGUGUGUUUACUUAUCUGCUGAUAAAAGCCUAAAAAAUCAAGUAGUGGAGCUUUCUCUUUUGACCUCAUGUGUCCUCAAACUGAAUCAAGAAGGAGAAGUUACUCUCACUGCAGACUUAGAUUUAUUGACGUCAAGCCAGUCGGAUACUUUUGAUUUGAUUUGUCAAGAUUUCAGAUCAUACAAUGAAGAUUUUCACCAGAAUAUUAUACCGUGUUUGCUAAAAAUGACUUUCAAAACUGAACAGCAGCGUCUCUUUCAGGAAACCGUGUCCCAGAUAACCAUCAGACGUUGCCAAAAAAAAGUGGUGGUGGAACAACUUUUGCCAAAUAAUUAGUCCCUGUGGAAUCUCAUCCCAUGUUUUCCUGCUAAACUUCCAGAAUAACUGGGGCAUCAACACAUAUAUUAUCUUGAAAGUUUCGAUACAAGGGGUAGAAAUAGACACAGGAGGUACAAAGAAACACACAUCAAGAAUGAAUUGAGUGAUUCCUUGCGACUUUAAGGACAUGAUGCAUCGUAGAGCAGGGUCUUCCAGCCUUGCAGCAGGUCAAAGUGCUGAAGCUGAUCCUUGUUCCUGUAAAGCUGCUCGUUUUGAGUUUGAACACGAUCCGCAGCUCUGGGAACAAACUGAGUUAAGUUUUCAAUAUAUCUUCUCUUUCCUCAGUUCCUCCUCUGCAGCUCAGGCUGGCAGCCAUCACCCCCUAAAAAGGUCAAAUGGACAGAACCUUAAUUUAGGCGGUAGCCCCAGCAGAGUUUCAGCCUAGAGGUUAUUCAAUGUGGAUUUUCUGCCCAUAUGUUUGCUUCCCUGAUAAGCUGCAAGAAUAUCUGAAAGUCAAACUCCAAUUCUCAGGUGAAUAGCUGCAUCAAACUUUAUCUAACUCUCCCCUUCCUGCUUGCUUGCUUGGCUUCUUCCUCCUACUACCCUAGAAUUAUCCUCUUAGACUACAGAAGUAUUAUAGGGAAAUGAUCAGCGGAGGGGAAUGUUCAUUAACAAAGACUCUCUAAGCUUCCCCAAUGUAAUCUCCUUACUUUGUUGCAACUAUUGAAGCUGGAAAGCCAAAAAGAAAAGAUGACAAAUGAGGUGAUAUUUUCAUAAUCUGCAAAAGAUAUACACAAGCUAAAUGCUGAAAAUGGACCCUGACUAGGGCUGCGCGAUAUAGCCUCAAAUCAAUAUCACGAUAUAUCGAGCAGUUCACCUUGAUAACGAUAAAUAGACGAUAACUACUCCACAAGCUGUUCAACCCCUCCCACAUUAACUUUGUCUACUUCACCCACCGCUACAGCCGCUACAAGUUACCGUCCUCGUGGGGCGGAGUCACGUCUCCACCGUAGGACAGUGUCUUAAAGGGGCAUGAGACUACCGCCUACGUACACACAUCCAGAACCAACUUCUAUUUAUUUAUUUAUUUGAUACAGAAUACAUUGAAAUGGGCAAAAUGACGUUAUUGUUAUAAAUUUUGGUAUCAGUAAAUUUUCAGUUUAUCGCCCAGCCCUAACCCUGACAGAAUAUUAUUCAAGGACGGAUGAUAGGAUGAAAUGCCAACUCUCAAGACAAACAUGGUUCUGUGUAAAUCCUUAUUCUCCUGAAUUAAACAUCUAAAACUAUCAACCAAACAAAACCUACAAAAGUUUGUUUUUUUUGCUAAAUGAACCAGCUGGAUAACAGUGUUGGCCGGUAAACUAAUCUCUCCGUGAAGUACCACCAGUUUGGCAAUUAUCUCUAUCCCAGCAUGCAGAAAAUAACUUGUGUUGGGUGGUAAGGUGUUAUGAGCCCAUGCAGACUGUAAUUAUUCAGCUCUUUACAGAGGAGGAGUGGAGUCUUGAAUGACCUAGUGGGGGUGGAGGGAAACACUAAUGGCUGGGGGAAAUAAACACACACUUUCCUAAUGGCAUGACUGAUUCUUUGAUUUUAAUAACACAAACAAACAGUCUUUAACUCAAAGGCAGGAGGGAUUGACCUGGCUGGUGUUGGGACCCUGAGGAAAGAAGAAGCUUACAAAACUUCACAGGUCUGUUGUGGUUGGACACUUUCAUCUUUUCAAAGUUAAAAGGAUCGGGAUGGUUCCCUGAUUGUUGAAAGAAAAAAGCAAAGCUCACAUUUGGAGAGCACGUUUGGUUUAUACUUUUAAAUACGUUCAGUAGUUGAGCAGGAAAUAUUAUGAAGCUCUAAAUCACUGGUGUUCAGCUGUGGGCUAAAAUCAAUAUGACUCAGUGGGAAGUCAAGGUUCUUCUUCUGCAGGCCUGACCUCUCUGUCAGUGUGCUGCAUUAAAUAUGAAGAGUGGGUAUGUGUGUGUGGGCAUGAGUGGGCGAAGGGAUCCUGGCGAUAUGAUCCGGGUAAAUUGCAGUAGAGAGCGGGCGGAUGGUUUCACCUCCUUGUUCCCACAUCACUGAGGUCAAAGAUAGUGUAGUCAGUAGUUUGUGUUUGACUGUAUAUGUAGGUGUGUUUGAGUUAGUGUGUGUACCUGCUGACAGGGUUCUGGGCAUCAGAAUCUCCUGCAUUCUGGGGGCAUUGCGUUUGGCCUUCUUGACCAGAUCCAGACAUGUCUCUGAGGUCCUCAUUCUCCAGGUAUGUAGGGUGGAUGAAGCACGUAGCCAACAGCUCAGGCAAACUCUGACAAAGUAAAGACAGAAAGUUUGUAAAAAGUUGCCAAACAAUCCUCAGUUGUAGCAAAUACUCUCAGUGUGCGUGGUUCUGUUGUUGUCUGUCCACAUUCUUGCAUGCUUAUGCGUUCCAGUUACCUCAGAAGUCGGAUGUUGGAGCUGGGAACGACAUUAGCGGUCCAGUUGACAAGUCAGAAAAUCAAGAUGGAUGCCUAUCGUUAGCCGUUGUUAGCUGUUGUUAACAAUUGUCAGUUGUCGUCAGCCGUUGUUAGCAGUUGUUAGUUGUUGUUAGUUGUUGUUAGCUAUACCAGUUGUAAACAACGCAUAACACAGUAUUUUACUCUUCCAAACACCAUAGCACCGUGUUCACAGUUAGACAUUGGGCAGUACGACACAUACCGAUAUAUACGACAUUUAUUUAAUUUCACAAAAACAAAACAGAAGUGCUCAUAAAUAAUACAUUACGAGAGCUUUCACUGUUACUGUUGAUGCACUGCGCUGCCAUCUUGGAUUAUGACAUUGUCAUCAAUACAGGGUUGGUGAGGAUUGUCCGACUUUCCGAGUCCGAAAUUCGACUUCAGUGGGGCGUUCCAGACGAAUUUCCGACUCGGGGCUUGGAAAUCCUUACUUUGGAGUAAAACUGGAACACAGCAUUAUACCAUGUGUAUGUGUUCAAACACAGUAGCUGGACCUGCUGCUGCCAUGGCAACCAAGCUUAAAGUUUUGAUGUCAAAAGUUUUUUUGUGUUUUUGGACUGUGUGUACACUUUAUAUGUGCCAGUCUUUGCCCCAAUAGAGCCUGACCCACUGUACGUCUACAGUAAACAAGCCUGGACUGAGCAGCAAUAAAUUUAGCUUAAGGGAUUAGUUUAGUUUAGCUAACUGAGGGAUUAGUUUAUUGACAGAUACAGAUAGGUAAAAUGUAAGUGAGGACCUACUAAGAGGAAAAGAGGCCAAGACGGGGAGAAAACAAAAGUGAAAUUUAGUGGGAAAAGAGAGACUAAAAUGAAUCAGCAGGGAUCAAGGAGGGCAGCAUGGUGAUUUCAUCUAAUAGUUAACAAAGAUCCCACUCAAUAAUACAACAGGCUCCUUAAAAUUUGUGAGAUAUUCUUCGGGGAGGAGUUACGGACUCAGGAGAAACUUUUCAAAUUAAAGUGUCUCCUUGGUGGGAAAUUUGUCCCCCCAGUUACUGAGUCACGUCACACUUAAAUGAAGGAGACGAAGCUUCAGGCUAACUGCUCUAACCUUUCUGUCACAACCUACUCUCCUCUAGCUCUGCAUUAUCAACUUUAACUACUUUGGUGUGAUGCUGCAACAUCAUGGUGCCAGAAAUCAAGUCAAGAAAAGUUUUAAAAGCACAUACUUAGAACUUCAUUCCGCUUUGUUACAUGAAAUUAAUCAGAGUAGUAGGAUUUGAGGGCACAGUAACUUUGUAGCUGUUCUUAAGUUUAGUUUUAGCUCAUGAGAUCACGUUGGCAUUUGCAGGUCAUCUGAAAUAGGUCCACAGAGCUGACUGUUCUGACCCUGUGAGCUAAAUUAAAGCUGUAUGUGGGCCAGUUUCAGCCAGGUGCUGCCCUUAAUGACACAGCAGGGGAGAAAAUGUGCUGAAAAUCUGGGAUUUACUUUCUUCUCUUCUUUUUCUGGUUUCUUCUAAGAAAUGUUGAAAGAGACAACAUGGAGAGUUUGAACCAACUCCCUCUGUCUCUCUUUUUUUUUUUCACUUUGUCUCUGUGCUUCCUUUCUGCUUCUCGCUCUUCCUCCCACACAUGCAUAUAUAAUGAUGGAAAUUAGGAUGAGCUGAACGCCUGCUGCUUACAUUCAAAUCUAAAGUGUCAGACAGCAUAACAAGACGGAUUUCUGCUUUAUACCGAACUAUUCAAGCAGGAAUAAAUAAAGACGGUGUUUACUUCUUCUCAAUUUCUUUCUUUUUUUUUUUGUAGUUUUGUUCUCCACACUUCAAUCAAUCGAAUUACUUCUUUAUUCUGAUGCAUUUAUGCAGUUGUUGGUCUUGGUAGUUGACUCUAUUUUAAGUUAUUAAAGCCUUUUGAAUAGAGUGAAUUCUCACAGCACUAAUAAACCCACUCAGCUGAAGUGACCACAGUUCGGUGUCCUUUUAAGUGUGUUCAGGUACUGACUGUGUGACUCAUAAACACUCCAAAAUGACCCUUUAUUCAGGUUCAGGGGGUCCACAUCCAGGGGUGUGGUUAUGAUGAGUCAGCAGAUAUUGGUUUUUAAGGCAGAUACUAUUACUGAUUGUUAGGAGCUCAUGAGACCGAUAAUUGAUAUUUGCAGCUGAUAUGCAUUCACAGUCAGAUUAAAAUUGUCAUAAACGUGAACUAGUUAUUAUGUGGUGUCUAGCCAAUCAGAGCAGUUGUGGGCGGGGCACAAGUUGAGACCCACAGAGGAUCCCAAAGCGCAACCGCAAACAGACAACUGCAAAUCGUCGAAGCUGCCCCUGUUCGUUUUUAGGAGAGUCCACAGAAAGAGCCGUCUCUGACAAGUUCUGUUUUUUCGAGUGACUGCGGUUCAACUGUCUGAGCACAUCAGGACAUCAGGCGCUCUGGGACGCCAAAGGACACAGAUAAGGUUAAGUCCACAGUUCAGCAGCCUGGAUCAGAUCCUGUUCAAUCUCAGGCACGCUGAGUCACAGCCGGGCUGCUUUACAAGUGAUUUCCAAUCUUGUGUGAAUGAUUGAGCACAGGAGUAGGAUACGGGGAGUGACACGCUCUGCAUUCUGCAUUUGUCUGUUACUGUAUGUGUGCAAGCCUAAGAUAUGGAGGAGGAGAGAUACGGUGUGUCAUGGAGGAAGCAUCAAUCUGCAUUUUCCCAGGGUUGUCUCCUAAAGAAACUGUUAUUCAUGGCCCACAAGUUCAUCUUUUCUCACUUCUCUAAGAAGAUCAUACGAAAAAGGAUUAGGGCCACGAGAUGAAAAAAAAAGAAUUACAGGAGGGAGUUUUUUUUAAUUUCCAGUUAAAAAUUAAAGUUGAAAUUUCAAGAAAAAAGUCGAAAUUUCUGCUUAAUUCAUGUCGAAUUUAAUCUGGGGAUGGACUUUAGUCUCAUUUUUUAUAUUUUUUUCAAUUUUUAAAUUUCAAAAUUUUUCACAUUUUGCAUUUUGGACUUUUUGUAAUCUCAAAAUCUCGACCUCAUUGACAUAAUUGUGAUUUUUUUAACCUCAAAAUUUUGAUGUUAUUCAUGAAAUUUUGUAAUAUCGAAAUUUCAACGUUAUUAACAUUUCAAUUUUAAAUCCCCAAAUUUCAACUUUAUUGACAUAAUUUCCAUUUUCAAUUGGAAAUUUCAACUUUAUUCACAACAUUUUGACAUUAAGUAAUCUCGAAAUUACAACUUUGAUCUGGAAAUUGUAAAUUUUAAACCAAAAAUUUUAAAUGUAUAGACAAAAUUUAGAUUUUUUAAGAAGAAUCGACGUUUAACAACAUUUUGACAAUUUGUAAUCCAGAAAUUUUGCCUUUAAUCUAGAAAUUUCAAUAUUUGAUCCCAAAAUUUCGACUUGAUUUACAUACUUUCAGUUUUUUUAAUCUUGAAAUUUGGAGGUUAUUCAUCACAUUUUGACAUUUUGUAUCCUCGAAAUUUCAACUGUAAUCUCAAAAUUUCAAUUUUUAAUCUAAAAUUUUCGACUUUAUUGACGUGAUUUGAAUGAUUUUAAUAUCGAAAUCCGACUUUAAUCUCAAAAUUUUGACUUUAAUCUCCUUCUUGUAAUUAUUUUUUUCUCUUCAUGUGGCUCUAAUCGUCUUUCGUAAGAUCUCAUUGGUAGUAUAAUGAUUAAUGGCUCUUGUUUUGAACUUGAAGCUUAAAAAAAUGACUAAAGUAAAAGUGAUGCUUGUGCUGAAAGGAUCAUUUCCAGUUUUAGAAGUAAAUAAAUCGUGAGAUUCAGUUUAUUUCCUCACACAGCCUCAAAGCCUUUCUGUCCUUUGAUUAUUUUCUGCUCUGACUAUAAAAUUAAAACGGUUUCUUUUUUCUUCUUAAUGAGAGCUGGAGGGGAAAAAAUAUCACAUGGCCUCAUAGCAAUCAUCAACUGUUUAAAGCCUUUUGGAGAAUAUCAAAAACUAAAGCAGAUAAAGUGAUGUAUUUAAAAAUAUCAUCCUUUCUUUUGAUGAGUGGACAGCUGGUUUUCUCUGAUGUCCUUUUUAUGAUGAAAUCUCAGCCUUUACUGUUCUCUGAGCUGCCACUUUAGUCAGCCACUUUCCAAAGAGCCAAACUAAUCAUCCCCUUUUGUCAAGUGGAGUCACCUGCUGAGAUGACAUCCUUUAUAAUAAACGCUGAAGUGAGGACUGAUGGAGGUCCUGUUCAGAGAUUUGGCAGAGCCUGCCUGCUGUAAUUGGACCCAUGUGUCUGUGGUCAUCACAUCAAAGACUGCUGAGUGAGAAGAAGGACAGGUCUCUGUUAGAGAGCAACACACAUCACACUGUUUUCUAGUCUGUUGUUAAUGAGACUAAUAGGGCGAGUGUCUACAGACAUGUUAGUGACAGCACAGCGGAGGAUUAUUCACAGCACACCUUUAAUAUUUCACUUUUCCUUUCUUUAGCCUGCAGCGUACAACCCACCACACAUACACAUACAUGCAACCUACAAAGACGAAUGAAAACAUGCACAAACUUCGCUCCAGGCUUUGAGUCAUACCGUCUUUUCCUGCUGUGACAUUUCUCCCUGACAUGUCAUUAAAAAGUGUCACAGGUUCUGGAGGGAUUUCCCGCUGCUGUCUGACUCCACAUGAGGAGAGGGAGGGUGGGAGAUGAUGAGCUGAUGCUGGAUCAUGCAUGUAAACUGAACCUCUUUUUCCUGCUCUGCUUCUUUCUCUCGCUGAAACUCUCUCUCUCCUGCCUCUUUUUUUCUCCCUGUCUUUUCAGGGACAGGCUGACCCUCCCUGGCGUCUCAUCUCAGGAGCAGUGUGCUGGGCUACGACAAACAAGGAAAAUGCCCUGGUUCUUUGUUUUUCUGUUUAAUCCGAGAGAGUCACCUCUGCACCUCUCCAUUAGACUGUGAGAUUGCAGGAGUCUGCCAGACUGAGCUGGUUGGAGGUUUUUCGAUGCAGAUGAUGGGGGUCAUGUGUCGCUUUAAAUUCUGUGCGUCAGCUUUGUUGUGAAUUUGCAGAACCACAAGGACAAACUACAACUGGAACUUAC
rnacentral:lncRNA from 1 species